UAGAACCUGUAUCACAGACUCAGCUCUUGGAUACCACGAUGAACACAGAGGGAGUCCUGUUGGCUGGAGUUCCUGGUGCAGGUGGAUAUGAUGCUGUAUUUGCUGUAACCUUAGGGGAUGCAAGCAGCACUAAUCUCACAAAAGCAUGGAGUUCACACAAUGUUUUGGCCAUGCUAGUGAGGGAAGAUCCUCGAGGAGUUGCUCUAGAAAGUAAUGACCCUCGUGCCAGGGAGAUCACAUCAGCUCUGUCGGCGAUUCAUGUUGGAUGACCAUACAUUUCAAGGUCCCCUAGUUCCCUUUAAAUCUAUUCUUAAAAGUUUACACAUCUACUUAUUAAAACUGAUUUCGUUGUGAAGACUUUCCGGCCGUGAAAAGUGCUUUUGCAUCGCAAAUUACGACAUUGUGCACUUCUCUGAACAAGCUGUAUUCUAAAGACCUUAGGCUAUCUUCUUUUCGUAACGGCAUUGUUGUUGUACAAGAAGCAGAUGAUACAGAAAUUAUCUAAGAGCUGUCUAUUAAUAGUUUUUUUUCGCAAUUGCAGCAUUUAAGAUCCGUAUUCUUCGAUGAGAAAGAAAUGUUGUAUUAGUAAAUUAUUUGGGGUGGGUCGUUUGGUGCGUCAUCAAUCUGCAACCCAAACAACCACAUUGAUCAACCAGAGUACAAACAUAAAUAAAUUUUCCAUUACAAAUUUUCCAAUUUCAACCCCGUCGAAUAUAUAUUUUAUAAUAUUUUAAGAACGAGCUUGUACCGGUAUUAUAUUUAGUGUUUUAUGUUGUGUUUCUCUGAUAAUAUCAAGAUUUCAUCAAAUAGGUAUUUUCUUUUCUUUUUUUGCGAUGAUGGAAAAGUCAAAUGAGGUUCACUAUACUCAAAAAAUGGUAAACGACAAGCUUAAGUGGAUUAACAUAUCAUUCCAACAAAUAAACCACUAAUCAAGAACAAUCGAAGCUGUAUCCUAGAAUAACACCACAAGUUCUAGAUAACAACAAAAACUACCACAGCUGAAGCAUGAUAAACGAGUACGUGAAUACACGUGUGUAGAUAGAUAUGAUUGUUGGUUUGGUCGAAUUAUGAGGCAACUGGGUUGUAAGAUUAAUUUUUAAAAUUUAUUGAUUACCUACUGAAUUAAACUAAAAUCUCUGAUUCAUCAAAAAAAUCUUCAAUUAAUUCUAAGUUGAUAAUUCUGAUUCCCAAUUUCUGCAAUCAUGACUUGACUUAAAAAUAUAAAUGAAUAUGUUAAUUUGCUAGUGUGGAUCUUUUAUUUGUCGAGAUUAUUUCUAGACUAACGUUACGGUAUCUAAAAUAAUUCCCAAAAUACUAAAAUGGAACUUCAUUAUUUUGCAAUUGGAAGAAAUUAUUCAUUUACAAAAUAUUUAACCUCUUCUAAACACACACAAAUUCACCACCCUUCCCUUUUUCCUUGACAAACACCACAUCAAGAUUAUAAAGAACCGGCACCAAACUCACCGAACACAUAAACACAAGAACCGGCCCAAAUAUCCACAGCAAAACCGGCAAUGCCGAGUAGAACACCCUAUUCCCCACCGUGUUCAACACGCACCCUUUCUCCAACAGCUCCGAAAUGUACGCCGGAGUGACCACGCGCGCCAUCGCGUCGUCCUGCGGCGUGUUGAUGAGGAAAUUCACCUGGUUUAUGAACCUGAUGGAGAGGGAGUGGCACAUGAAAGAGGCGAGGAAGAUUAAAAGGAGUGAGACGUAUUUUAGGGCGAUCAUGAACUCGCCGUGGCCGCCGUAGACGGUGUCGUUGAGGGGCUUUUUGAUGGAGUAGGUGCUGCUGACGACGGCGGCGAGGCCGGCGCAGAGGAGGAUGGAGGUGGUGGCCAUCAGGGUGGAGCCCAUGAUGGUGUUGCGGAGGGUUUGGACUGCUAGUAUGUUUUUCUUGUCAUUGUCCUGCAUGAAAAUUUGAUAUUAUUGAGCUUGAGAAAAUAUUUGGAAUUCAUAAACGAAAAAUAACGAGCAUGUUUGUCUCGGGUUUAAAUGAGAAGCUUAAAGUUGUUUCGGGUUUUAAGCGCAUAAACUAGAAACCGAUUUAAAAUCAAAAAUAAAUUAGAAAAAUUACCUACAACUAAAAGUUAGUUUGAGAUAUUUUUUUCGAUUAUUGAAUUUUUUAAUUUCUAUUUCUUUUUAUAAAGUUUGCCCGUAAUCAUUUUAUAUUUAUGAUUACACUUUUAAUAACCUGUCAAUCGUCAAAAUUAUCCAAACAGAUAUUUUAAAUUUUAAGUUUAUCCUAUUAAAUCGUGUUAAAUCUUAAAUUAUAAUUUUAAACUCAAUCAAAGAGGCUCUCUGUCUUCACUGAGAUCAAGUAAACGAAUUGAUAUGUACCUAACACUCUAACAGAGUAAAUAGGAAGGAUGUGUACAUUUUACUCUCCCUAGAGUGUGUUUCUAAAUUGGACAUGACUAAUGAGCAUGUCGAAUUCAUAUUUCAUCUGAACUCUGAUAGCAGUUUUACAGUGAAGUGUGUGUUUUACCUUCAUCAUGGCGGCGACCCACAAUCGGCGACCUCUUGCAUUAGUUCCGACGACGGUCGAAAGCGGCUGGCUUCGAACUCUGUGCCAUAGCCAUGCAUGGUAACUCACUGAUACCAGAAAGGCCAGAGGUACAAGUACAGCAUCAAGAUAACACUUCCUCCAUUCCAUGAUCACUUAUUUAGAAAAGUUCUAAUUAAGAUUAAUUUUGAGAAAUUUAUCUUUAGCUACUUCAGCAGUACUAGCAGCUUCUGCAAGUGAAUAUUGUUGAGGAAGGUAUUUAUAGAGUGGAAAAAGAGGGAGCUAGAAUGAACAUGGACAUGGACAAUGUCCUCAUGCAACAUUCAACCUGAUAAAAAGAGAGAAAAGAAAUAAAGCCAAUAAAAUAGAAAAGCUAAAUCCCACUCACUUGUGGUUAAAUUUACUACUAAUUUUGUGCACAUGAUUUUUGUUUUUUUCCUCAAACUUUGAAUUGUAUGAUGAAUGUGUGUUUGCCGCUUUUGCUUCAUCUGCAUCCCAAGGGGCAUGCAGCAUGUUUGGCCGAGCUUCUUUUCAUGGUUUCUGAAUUUAUAAGUCAUAGAUAUUUUAUUUGUAUCAUUUGUGUAAAAAUUUAUAAGUCACGAUUUAUAAAUCAAAAUUUGUUACGUUUAAAAUUCUAACUCUUUUUAGUAACUUUUUCCUGAAAUCUGAUUUUACAAAAAUGUAAAAAAUCACUUUAAAAGAUAAUUUGUUAUAAUAUAAUUGACAAUAUUUAUAUCCCAUAAGUUGUAAAUAGCAAAAAAAUUAUCCAAACACAUAAAUUAAAAAUUAUUUUUCGUUUGUAAUCAACUUUUCACAUGAAAGCAAUAAGCACUUCUUUAAGUUGAUCCAAAUGAUUCUCUCAAUAUAACAAAAAGAAAACACUAUGAUGCUGGUGUACCUGGUACAAACUAGUAUAUAUUCUAAUAAUUCUCCUUUACAAAUUAGUAUCCGUUCUAAUAAUUCUCUUUACAAAUUAGUAUCUGAUCUCGGGUGAGUUAGAGUCGAAUCCGGGUGUCCCGGAACAAUACAGAAUAAACCCACCACUUGACUAUCGAUUGCUCCGAGUAUUUCCUUCUCAUUUUUCAUUUUUAUUUGACAAAAAAAUGAGUUAUUCUUAAUUACAGCCUUACAGGCACAUACCUGCACAUAGUAACUGUCAUUAAGCUUGCCGCAUCUUGCCGUAUUGCUAGGACACUGCAAUGAUUAAUACAAUGUGCAUAAUAAUGGUGAGCUAGCUAUCUGUAUCAAAUUUAUGACCAUCGCUUUCAUGCCAUCUUCGGCAGUUGUGAUCCAAAAAUCUAAAUUUGGAUCACCAACUGAUUCAAAUUUUGAUCCAAAUUUUUGAUCAACUCCAGUUGAUUCAAAUUUUGAUCCAAAUUUUUGAUCAACUCCAGUAGCGUGAUCCAAAUUCUGAUCCAAAUUACUUUUUGUUUAUUAUAUUACAUAAAUUUUAUAUUAAACUAUAUAAUCAUAAAUUUAAUGUUUAAUCGCUAUUAACUACUUAUAUUAUAUUCAAUGCAUUUUAUGUACGUUUUAUUUUAUGCAUGUAUUGUACUCUUUUUUUUUUUUUAAUUUCAAUGAAAUUUGCUUUCCUAUUAUUUUAAAGUUUUUACUAAAACAUUAAUUUUAUUAAUUAUUAAUUAUAAACUAUUAUUAAUUAAAUAUUAAUAAUCGCAAAUUAAUUUUAAGUUCGAUAAACGAAAGAUUUAGAAAUAACAAAAUCAUUAUUUUAUAAUAAAGUAGGUGAUCCAAUUUUGGAUCAGUGAACAGUGGUGAUCCAAAUUUGGAUCAGUACUAUUCACUGAUUCAAAUUUGGAUCACUUUUUGGAUCACUGCUGGAGGAGAAUUUAGGAUAAUCUCCCAAAAUUUGGAUUUUUGGAUCACGACUGGAUUUGUCCUCAUUGUCACAUUUUCUGAACUUAUUCACGCAGUGUGAAGAUGGUGAGGUCAAUGAAUUGCACUUACAAAGCAGAUAUAAAUCACUUAUUGCUAUUAAAUAAUCUAUUAAAGAAUAAUUAGUUGAAUUAUUGGUAACACUAGUGGCGAGAAAUUUCCCAUUUUCUUGGCAAAAGAAUCCAGUAUUGAAAUUAUCCGUGGUUGAAAUCUAAAAUAAUAAUAAUUCGUAAUUGAUUAUUUAAGUUCGGCUGGAAUUUUUAAAGGAAAAAAUAUGACCGUUUUCUACUCGGUCGAGAUUUCAGAAUAAAUUAGUCCCGAUCUAGUUCCCCCGAAAGUACUAUAGCUAGGAUAUAUUAGUGAUUAAUUAAUCACAAAAUAGCUAAGCAGCAUUGUGAUAAAGGGAAUGAAAGAGGAAGAUGAAGAGAGAGAGGGGAAGAAAGGUAGAGUGGUGGAGGGAACAUAGUGAAAUCUGACUCGGGCGUUUGGUGCACAUAAGUGAAGAAUGAGAUAAGGGGCGGGGUGGGGUGGUCGGCCUAAAAGCAAUUUUCUAUGUUACAUAUAUUAUUUUGAAAAACAAUUAAUCGAGUAAUCGACCGAUGGAUUAGUUAGUAAUCAGACGAAUUUCCAUGUGAAUUGAUAAAAAUCGGGUCAAAAGAUGAUAAAUAUAAAAAUCGGGUCAAAAUAAUAUUAGUCGAUGACUAAUCGUUCAGAAAUUAGGUUGAUCGAGUAAAAACCAGCCAAGAUAUCAAAAUUUGUGAGAAUUUUUUUUUUAAAAUCAUAAAUAUAUUUAAUUAAAUUUCAAAUAAUAUUAAAUUAAUUCCAAUAAUUUUGAUUAAUAGUCGAUUUUCCGGUUGGCCAGGGCUCUACUAAUUAAAUCUGAUUAUCAUUUUUUUAAAUACCGAUUACAUAUUAUACAAAGAUAUAGUCUAUGAAAGAGUAUUACGAGUCUUGUGAUUAUUAUUUUCUUAGAUUCACAUUUGUGAAGGAAGAAAUCUAACAAUUUUAUAUUUAAUCACGCUUAUUUUCGGAGUUCUGACUUCAGACGUGUAGGUGCGCAUGUAAAAUUACCUAGCGAACACGACAAACGGCUCCAAACAGAUUUUUGAAGUUUGCCUCCAGAUUUGUCUAACUAAAUACUCCGUUUCCCCUAGCCCGUCUCUAAGGAUACAGAAAAUAUAUGCAACAAUUAAUGCACACGACAAAAUGAUAUCAGCUGAGAAAGCGAUUUCUUUUACUAUAAAGGUGUAGCUGGAAGCGGAACACGUCUAAAUGACAUCUGAAUUUCGAAAAUCGAUAUAUAAUUUACUUUAUAAAUUAGUAGAAAACUCAAUUUUGAUUAUCUUAUUGAUCUAUCAAAUUUAAUAUUUUGUUAUUAUAUCAUUUAUGUUUCACAUUCCUGAUUCCACCGCACUUAUAUACAUAAUUGAUAAAGUGACUACGAAUUUCAGCAAAUGAAAAUUAGGCAGGGAAAUGGAUAGAUUAAUCCAUAACAUAAUGCGCUUUGUAUGGACAAUCAUAUUAAGAAAUUCUCCUGUCGCAUACACAUGGUGUCAUGGUGAGAUACACGUCUUCCUUGAAAAUUGAUAAGCACCGGGAGCUGGGUGAAAAUAAAUGGAGAAAAUGUCGCGUAUAUCAUAAUUUUCUCAUGCUUAAAAUAAUAGAGUAAGAAGAAAGGGUCUAAAAUAUCACUUAUUGGUGUUGGAUAAUUCAAAUUUUGAUAUUUGUAAAAAACAUUUUAUUGUAUUUCGUUUAGGUAUGAAAAUCCUUAAGAAAUGUGACAUGAUCUGACGUUUUAGUGUUAAAAAAUCACAUGAAAUAGUAUUUAGGGUUUCAAAAUACUAAAUAUAGAUGAACGCUACCUGAUUUGGUGUUUUGAAUUGAAAAUGAUAUAUAAAGUCAUAUUCUCAUCAUAAUAUUUGGGAUCUCAAUGCAUCUGCAAUGUGAUUGAUUAUGACGGUCGACUAAAUUUAAUCUGUAAAAUUUGUUGAAUCCAAUAAAACAUUCAAUGAUACUGGUUAUAUUAAUCGAUUAUAUUUUAAGAAUAGCAUGUUACUAUUAUUUCUAAUUAUUAUAAAUAUAUAUUAUUUUUAAUAUGAUAAUACAUGACAUAAUAUUUAUUAGUAGUUAGACGAAUAUAGUCGAUGUGACUAAAAUUACAGACAAUGAAAAUGUAUGACUAUGAAUAUGAAAUUUUAAAGUUUUAAAGAAAUUAUCAAUAUAUUUUUACUUUUGUAUGUCAACUAAUUUGUUAGUUAAGAAAUUUAUAGAAUUAGAGUUGUCUUUAUACUUGAAGAAAAAUAAAAAAAAAAAUCGGGCCGACACCCAAAUAAAUGGGUCUGACGGAGAAGGUGUCCAACUAACAAUAAAAACGAUACUCUCGUAUCGUAAUGCUGAUUUUCUAGACCACACAAUCAAUAUUUAUCCGAUUGCCUUUAUUUGGGUCUUCCACCCACUGGACUGUGCUCCAUUUUCUCUAUGAGGCCUUACUUAAGUAAGAGGUUUAGCUAAACUCACGAGGCCCAUAACCAAAACAGACUUUGGAAGCCCGAGCCCAACCUCACCCAACUUACGGAAACAUCUAACAGAGUAUUAAAAUUCAAAUCAGUGAUCGAUCCCCUACAUCUGCAAUAAUUAUUCUACAUUUUUCUAUAACUGCAUAUGACUAUAUGAGUUGCUUGUAAAAUUAAAAUUUCUACUUGACAUUUACAAUUCAAACUUAAACUCAAAAUCACAUACAGCACUUAGCCAUGUGACAUGAACUGCCAGACUCUUGCACUCUUGCAGUAUAAAUUACUUCAACUUGUAACUUUAUAAUUUAAAUUACAAGUUGUGUAAAUUUCAAUGUCAUAUAAUAUUAUUUACAUAAUAAAAUAUGAGUUCCCCUCCCUACUUUGACCGACCCUUACCAUAACAAAAUUGCUAAAAUUUAAAAUACAAUAAAAUAGGAGUUUUAACAUGGUAUUUCCUGGAGAUCCUAAAUGCAAAGUGAAGUUGUGAACCUCAAGCCAAGGUGCCACCAAGCUGGUGAAGUUAUCGAGUAAGGAAACAAUAAAUGUUGAGUAUCAGAUUCCACAUGUACUUCUGUUGCAUAUGCACAGCAACAUAUGAUUAUUACAACAUAUUUUCAUAUUUAUUAUCACUAAUAAAUGAUAUAUUUUACAUGAAUAAAUAAAUUUGUUUGGUCAUUUUUAUAAAAUUUUAACUAGUGUAUUGAUUUUUAAGAUCACAAUUUUCAGAAAAAAUGUCUCAAAUAUUGUUGACGAAAAAGACAGCGCUAGACCUAUCAUUUUACGGUAAUUGUUUAGAUUUAUUCUCUUUCUUUUCUUUAUCCUACACAACCUAGUGAUGAGAUACUAUACGUUAUUUCAUGUAGUAUUUUAGUAAAAUGUCAGAUCAUAUUACGUUUAGAUAUCAUUUAUAGACCUAACGCAACACGAUCUAACAUUUUCUUCUAAAAAUCAAAAUGCUCGAUUAUCCAACGUUAAUAAAAUGAUAUUCAAGUCAUUUCAUCCAAUUAUGUUAUUUUGGAUAUUACUUAUAAAAAUUGUGAUAUAUGAUAUUUUUUCUCUUUUAAAUAAAAGUUUAGAAUUUAAAUUUAAAUAAAUAUAUUAUCAAAAAAUAAAUAUUUUGUAACAUUCAUUUAUCAUGUAGCCAACCUGCGUAUAAUAUGUGUGUAAUGUAUAGGUGCAUGGAGUAUAAAUAAAUCAACAGACUAAAAGCCAAAAGAAAAAACUAUGAGCUCCUUCCAAUAUUAUAUCAGAUUGUCAACUAACUCUCCCUUAAUAAUUAAGACCCCCUCCUAAUUGGCUAAUAAUGAAAGAGCAGUUGUAAUAUUAUAUGCCAAAUCUAAUAAUCUCCAAAUCAUAGACCUGGAAACCACUCAGUACAUGCAAUAAAAUAACAAUCCUCACAAGUAUUGUUUAUAGCACAAUCCCCAUCACCCUACUUCUAUAAAUUCCAAGACAGAUCAACACAUUAGAUUACAUCACUCACUAAUCAUUUCAAAGAGGUCUGAUCUCAAUAUCUCAUACACAACAUUAUCAUAAAUCAUGGAUUCCAAGAUGUCUAACAAGAUCUGUGAGAUUGUUAAGCUGCAGCAGAUUCUGAAGAAGUGGAGAAAGGUGGCCAGCUCCAAGAAAACCAGCCCUGGUGGAGGGGGAGGAAAGAGCAUCAAGUUCCUUAAGAAAACGCUGUCGUUUUCUGAUCACAAUGCUCUGCAAGGGAUGGCUAGGGACAGUGCUGUCCCGAAAGGGUCCCUGGCUGUUUGUGUGGGAGAGGAGAUGAAGAGAUUUGUGAUCCCUAUGGCCUAUUUGAGGUGUCAGGCAUUUGACAUUCUGCUGAAAGAAGCAGAAGAAGAAUUCGGGUUCCAGCAAGAAGGUAUUCUGAGGAUUCCAUGCCAGGUUUCGCUAUUUGAGGAAGUUAUCAAGCUGUUGGAUGAGAAUCAAGAUGCAGAGGUCAUUCAAGAUUAUGUGUUUACUGCAGGCAACAACACAAUGGCAUGCAGCUUAGCAGAAAGCCCGAUAACUAACACUCACCGUCCACAAAGUCCAGUAUGCAGAUAACUCUAGAGUUGAGACUUGUCAGUUCUCAACCUGCUUUGUUUUUUAUGCUGAAGCAAUUAGAGAUCGAGGGAGGCUAUGUUCAUCAUUCUUACUUCUGAAUAUUUUUGUUUGAUCACGUGAAACAUGUAUCGUGUACAAAUAAUGAAAAUGCAUUCACUGUUUGAAUUAUACCAGCAAUUUUGUUUCACACAAUCUAUACCAUGAUUAUUGCAUUAAAUUAUGACAAAACUGGCCUACAUUUGAGAUUCAGGAGCAGCCAGCACCAGCAAAACUGCUCCCAGUGCUAUUAGGUCUAAAGUCCGAAUCUCAGGGGCCCUCUCGCAGCUAUACUAAAGAGUUAAAAAAAUAACAGCUACCUUUCAGCAAAACCAACAGCAAACAGAUUCAGAGGGAACCAUGUCAAUGUAUGUACAAAGCUUCAAGCAACAAAAGCUAGAACAACAGAAUUAGUAUAUUAAGCAUCUUUUUAAAACUUACAGCUACUUAAAUGCUUACAAGAGCAAAAGGGUGAUUCUGUUUAUCUAAGUUGUGUAUAUAAGAUAAUAUAAUAGAGUCGUAUUGUGUUUUGUACGGCAGUUUAAAAGUUCUAAAAUGCAGACUACUAAAUCCAUGUGAUUCUUUAAAAAAAAAAGAAGAAAAUCCAUGUGCUUGAUCAUGUUCUCUUCUGUACACACACAGCUACUGAAUAAAACACUUGACAAAUUUUAAUGUCAUCACAGGAUCUCAGAAAAAGCAUAUCUCGUGUAUAACUCCAACUGUUUCUGUGUAUCAAGUUGCAUCUAAACAAUAACCACCAGGAUUUUCAAAUGAUAAUCGAAAACUAAGGACCACACAUAUGUAUAAGCACCUCAGAAUCGACAGUACUCAGGCUCCAGGACCUUUUAAACAUGGCCAGACAAAACUGUAAUGCUAAGUAAUGCAAACCCCGUCAUAAAUUUAUCUUUUUAUUAAUUACUUACUAGAUUUCUUUCAAGGACCUUAGAGUUUAUCAGAUUAUAUAACAAAAAUAAGCUUACAACGAAAAAAAUGUCAAAAGUGGAUUAGGUCAAGUGUGCGCAUCACUAACUUUAUCAAGCAUUGUUUAGAAAUGACAGCUGAUGAGAUUUGCAACAGCUUAUGAUGGGGUAUAGCUGAUACCACAGAAGUUUGGAUACUAGUAAUAUAAACACACACAGAGGCGGAUCCUUCUAUGAACUAUCUUUAAAGUAUUGCUUUGAACAGACGUGAUAGCGACAUGUAUAUUUAGCCAAACAAGAUCAAUGAGUGAGGCAUGUAACUGUACGAUCCGUAACUCUUGCCCUCUGCAUACAAUGUACUUAACUAUUGCAUGUGUGAUUAAUAUAAUACGCAAAUUUGCACUUCUAACAAGAGAGAGCAUAUGUUAUUUUCGCAGUUCACAUGCAGCAGCAGAGUCACUGACUGACAUUUGGCAUAGAUUAUUAACAGUGGGAUUAUAAAUGUAUAAUUUCACAUAACUGCUUACAUAGUAUGCGAGAAACCGACACAGUCAAGUCAAAUUGCCACCCUGAGAUUUCAUUUGAGGAAGGUCUCUCCAUGGAAUUUGUACUGAAACCCAUGUGUUAACCAUGUGUAAGUUCUUACAGAUUUUGAACUACCACCAACAUAUCUUAGUAAUAUAAACCUGACUAGGAGUUAAAAUCUGGGCACUUUUCUUGAAUGCAGAUGAUUUAUUUAACAGAAUUCUCCUUACAUUGCAGAAAUACACACCUUGUAAGUAGUAAACAAGUCAUGCUAAAACCUAGGGAUUCCUCAGGCCCAUAGACACAUAUUCAGGAAUGGUUUAUGAUUUGUAUCGAAGGCCUAAUACCAUCAUUACUAUCGAUCCGUCUCUGAAAUUUUUGAAUAUGAUUUCAGAGAACUCUGCCAUACUUAAAUUCCUGCACAGGGGAACUAGAUUCUUUAUCCGAAUCCAAAGUUUUUAGAUGUCAACUGUUUCAAAGGAAACAAUUUAAAAGCACUCCUAUUUACACUUAUAAAUCUGACUGUCACAGUUGCAGAAUAUCUGUGCAAACUCUGCGAUUUAACUCUACCAGCAAGUUUAUGCCUAAUUAACAAACAGUUACUUCCAAAUUAAAUUAAUAAACUCGUAAGUUAAAUUUUGAAAUUAUUAAGAAUAGGUUUCUGCAUAACUGAGAGGGAAACUUAUGUAUCUCAGAGACUUAGGAAAUGUCAACCAUUGUGUUCAACUUCAUUGUGAUUUUGCCAGCCAGGGGCUCAUGAUUGGGCUACCUAUUUUUCUAGGUGAAAAAAAUAUAUUAAACAAUGUAUAAUAAACCAUAUAUUGGAAUAAAAUGAUUGUACUUGAUUUAGUAGUUCAAUUAGAUUAAGAAUGAAUGAUUAUGGCCUCAUCUAUUAUGGUUGCAGAUUAUCUUGUUAAGAUAUUUUUCUUUCUGAAGUAGGAAUAUUAAGUUUAGGAUUUCAAUUUGAAGAGAUGUUGUCAAUCACUAUCAAAAACAGUUGCUUAUUAUUAUGAAUUGCAGAUCUGAUGAUAACGAAAGCUCUAUAAAUUAAUGAUGGCCAUGGAAUAUGAUCAUAAUAAAGUACAUACGGUUCCCCAAACCAGAUUUGCAAUAGAAAUUUCAUUUUCAUUUGUUUAUUGAAUUAAAGAUUUACAUGGCUUUCUCCGAACAUGGCCAAAUAAUUUUAGUUGAUCAAUUGGAUGAUUAUAGAUGUAAUGUAAGUUUUGCCGCAACUUUUUUUUUUGACAAUGCAGGCUUAUAUGUCUUACAAAUUAGUAUCUGUUCAAAUAAUUCUCGGGUGAGCCAAUCAGUUCAAAUCGAAGACGAUGUAAAAUAGCAAGAUCUCUGUAUAGCAGCAUGACAACAUUUGAUAGGUUUCUGAGAGAGGUUUGCUCUCUCCUCUGAUUUGUUUAAGUAGUCAGAUUUAAAUCGACAAAAGAAGAGAAUAGGUUCUUGGGAGGGGGGGUGGGGGGGAUAAACUAAGAAUUAAUGCAGGUAGAGAGUUCAAAUUUUAACUUUUGUCAACCAUUAUGUUGUACCUCAUUGUGAUUUUGCAGCCUACUGGCUCAUGAUUGGGGUCCUAUAUUUCCAAGUCAAAUAUUGUUAAACUAUGUAUUAACAAUUAGAUCAAGGAAUAAAAAUGAUUGCACUUGAUCUAGUUGUUUAAUUAUACUAAGAAUGGAUGUCUUUUUCCACAUCUGUUAUGGUAGUAGAUUUCUCUACAAAAGUAGAUGAUUAUUAGGGUGUUUUUUCUUUAAAUUUAGGAUUAACUAGUAUAACCUCUAUUUGAAAAGAUGUAUAGUUCUAUGAAUACCAAAUUUGAUGAAAAAGAAAGAUUAAAAAUCAAUGAUAGCCAUGAAAUAUGCUCAAAAAUAAGUAACCAGAGUGAAAUAGGAUUGAAAUAGAAUAUUUCAUGAAAAAUCAAUUAUAAUCUCUAUUGUUCUGCAAAUGUCAUGAAGUGUAGAACAAUGUAUACAAGAAGUGCAGAACAAUUAUUUUCACGUGAAAAUGCUCUCAUCUGAGCUAACCAACAUUUAUACACAUUUGUUUUCACUCAGAUUCAGAAAUUACUUCUAGAUCACUUUUAAAUGACCUUACAUUUGAUGGUCCGAAAGGAUUAGGAGGCAUUGCAGGACAUUCCGGUCUUUCUAGCAUAUGGAUGACAUGCUUGAUUGAAGGUCUGUCCACCGGAUGCCAACCUAUGCACCAUAGUCCCACAAUUGUUAGCUUUUUUGCGAUGUUCGAAUCUUCUUGUUUUUCUAUUUGGAUUGCCACUUCUCCACCUUCCUCCAAACGAUGAUAUAUCCAUUCAGGAAAGUAUGUUUCAGUGCUAUUUUCCACUGUGGUAUUGUUCCUUGCUCCCACCAUUUCAAGUAAUAACAUUCCGAAGCUAUAAAUAUCUGAUUUGGAUGAUGCCUUUCCAAAAUUCCUGGAAAAUAUUUCUGGUGCAAUAUAGCCAAUGGUUCCUCUAGCCAUAGUCAUAGACACAAUGCUCUGGUCCUUGGAACACAACUUGGCCAAACCAAAAUCAGAAAUUUUGGGAGUGAAAUUUUGGUCCAACAAGAUAUUAUGAGGCUUGAUAUCGAAAUGCAGGAUCUGCUGUGCGCAUCCUUCGUGAAGAUAUUCAAUUCCUUUAGCUAUGCCUAUAGCAAUCUCUUGCAGCUUCUCCCAGCCAAGGAAAUUGUUCUUGUGAUUUUGACCAGAGUAUGUGAACUUUUCUAAAGAAUUAUUAGGUUGGAACUCGUAAACAAGAGCUCGAUUGCAGCCAUCAGCGCAAUACCCUACCAAGCGAACCACAUUAACAUGAUAGAUUCGCCCUAUAGUGCCUACUUCAUUGAUAAAAUCUUCUCCAUUAGCUUUCGGAUCAUUAUUAAGUAUCUUAACUGCAACAAUGAUGUCCUUGGUAAUGUGACCUUUGUACACCGACCCAAAACCUCCCUGUCCUAAUUUAUUACUAAACUGUCUCGUGAUUUUCUUGAUGUCAGCAUAGGAAUAUCUUGUUGGUUUCAUGGCUUUGUAAUCCCUCAGGAACAUUUCAAUUUUCAGCGCGUCAUAUUUCUUUCGUCUAUAUGAUCUAAUUAUAUAAUACAGUAAUACUACAAGGACAAGCACAGUAAGAGUGGCACCUGGAAUUAUUCCUGCAAUUGCCUUGAUUGAACCAUGACCUGUAAAUAUUAGAGUAGCAUAUAUUAUUAUUUACAGUAAUACUCAAAGUUUGUAUCAUGAAUCUUGAUGUAUUGAAUCCACAAAUAUUUGAAAUGUAUGUGCAUACCUCUAGAUAAACAUACAGUACUGUAAUCAGCUAUUCCGACGUUACUACUGGUACUAUUCUCCGUCAGUUUACAGUACUCCCCCUUGGCUUCACAUUUCCCACAAUUCGGAGCUGACCAAUUGAGGGUUGCAGUCCCUCCUCCCAACAUAUAAAAUGGGAAAGAAGAAUUAAAAACCUUGGUACAUGAUGUUAUUGAUGGUUGAUCAAAGCCUACCAGGCCGUCAAAAUAGUAAACCUGGAAAGCUUGUCCACUGAGGGAAGUGAGAAGAAGGUCCAGCUGACCUACAACUCCUGACGAACAACUGGCAAAUGUAGUAUUGAUAUUUGUAUAAGAUCUUUCUCCUCCAAAGGGGGGAGGAACUAUUGCAGACGUCCAUGAAGUUGACGUGGAAACCAGUGUCACGUUGUUAAUUUUAGGCUGAAAGGAGAAAUUACUAAGUAUUAUCUUUUGAGAUUUGUAGUUAAUUGAAUCAACGGUUGUCCCUGUAGAAAGGAAGAGCUGGAUUCCUUGCAGGGAUGUGUUUGCAAGGUAUUGCAACUCCAGAAGUGUUUCUCCUCCAUCACAAGAAACUCGGAAACCAGGGAGGCCACAAUGCUCAGGCUGCCUGUCUUUGAGAUGAAAUGGAAACCGAAUUCCUGGACCAUGACGGGAACAUCUCUUUGUCCUGCACUCGUCGCCUGCAACUUUUGCUUUUGCCGCUACCACUCUGGUUAUGGACAACACUAGUAUCACCAAGAAAAGAUCAACUACUUUGGAACCCAUAGAUUAGUUAAUCCAAAAUAUAAAGGUGUGACAAAUGGUAAUUGUAUUGUGAUCAAAACAUGUACACUAAACUAGUCCUUGUAUAAUGUGUAAUAAGUUGGGGGAAAGUGACAUGACCUGACUUUUUAUACUUUUCUUAUACUGAUAAUUAAAAGUUUGAAUUUUCCUUUGGUGUGCCAAUUGAGCAAAGUCGUGAAUGACUACCAAGUUCUGGACAAGAAUGAAUGGCAACUAAUCUGUUGACUAAGCUACGUUAAUGAGUCUUCCACCUUGUCAAAGAAAGUCUCAAAAUCAAUAUAAGUCAAUAAUAUAGACUUUGACGAAAUCAACUUGGCGAAAAAGUUUGACAAAUUCAAUGAACUAGAGAGGAGGAGGCUCUCUGUGUAAAAUUACAUGAUCUGGAUGCGUGAGUCUCAGUUUUUGAUACAAUCAAAAAAUUUACCCAGAGAAUCUUAACCUAUGAAUGAUCCAGUACAUUUAGUUCAGCAGUAGCCAUCCAUUUCCUCAUUAUGAAAUACGCUAUAAGAGAUAACCGUUGCUUUUCUAAAAGCAAGAAGUAGCUAUACUAUAUUAUGCUCUCUCGCCGUCUGGUUAUUAGUUCAGAGAAGAAUAUGAGGGGGAGCUUGUCUUCUGUUACUCCAGCCUCCAGAAAACUAUCUUUAGUUUUCAUGGUCAUCUAUACAUUAUUGUUAUUUUUAAGCUCAUCCGGUUGCAAAGCUGUAUCUUCUUCUUCUUCUUCUUCUUGUGGUAAUAUUCAAAACAUAAGCUGUCCUUUUACUCUGAAAGGUGAUGAUCAGCAAUGUGAUUCUUCUUUCUUCACUCUGGAGCUGUCUUGCCUCAAAAAUCGUACCAUCUUAUAUUUACUUGAGGAUAAGAUUUUUUACGUUAAGAGUAUCGAUUAUGAUAAUCUUUUGGUUAGGAUUGUUGAUCCAGGCCUUGAAAAUAAUAACUCUUCUAUUAAAGAGGAUGACUUUCUGGCAUUAGACCAAGGCUAUAAGUUAAGGAAAGUUAAUCAGCCUAUUACAAUGAUGGAGUGUCCGUCUCCUGUAAUUUCUACCCGAUACAUCAAUAUCACUUCACCAAAUUCUUCAUUCUCUUCUUCAGUAUUGGGAAAAUAUUAUGUUUAUUCUUAUGCGUAUAUAGUGGUUGGAUAUGUAGACAUAACAGAAAUGGAGGACAAUUGCAGGAUUAGCAAGGUGGCCUGGGUCUCACGCCACUCGCCUUUUAGUAAAGUCAGUAAAGUCUUCUCUAAUUUUUCUGAAAUUCACGAUGCAUUGGUUUAUGGAUAUGAUAUCCCUUGGAGUUACUUCUACUGCUUGAAGUGCCAUGACGGAUGCGACACUUCUUCCCCAGAUCAUCAUCUUUGGGCUUGCAUAAGCUUUAGCACGCCGUGUAACCUCCCUGAUGGGAGCUCAUACCAUAUUACCCUUUUAUGUAAGUACAUAGCUUUUCCCUAUUACUUACAUUAUUCCCAUAUUAAACUUUGCUAAAUCAGUAAUACAUGAUUCUUUCAAUAGUUUAUUUUCUAUAUUACUAACAGAGAUUUGGAUGAACCAUGUAGGCAUGCCUCAUAACUUACGCGUCACAGUUCAGAUACUAAAAAGUGAGUAUUACAGCUUUUGCUUAAUUUAACUUGUAGAAUCAGUUUAUUUGCUGACUUUGUUUCUCCAAUUUUGCAUUAUUUGUUGUAAUUAUGGUGAUAACUUGGAUUUUUCUGAAGUCGUGAGAACACUUUCAGAUUGAAGUUAUUUGUGGUUCACCAAAUAAUUCAAUCGGAUAAAAUCAGAAAUUCUGCAAGAAGAGAGAAUGUGUUUUGUUGUGUAUUUCAAAUGAACCAUAUCCUUGAAAUGAUCAAUGCAACAUCUAUAUAUAGAUGUCAAUAGAUGUGUCUUUUGACAAUAGACACAUCUUAAUCCAAAUAGAUUUGUCUAAUGGCAAUAGACAUGUCUUAUCCUAAUAGAUGUGUCUAAUGUCAAUGGAUAAAUCUAAUGCCAAUAGACACUUCUCUUCCAAUAGAUGUGUCUAAUGCCAAUGAACAUGCCUCAUAAGCACUUAUAAUCAUAAUAAACUCGAACUAAGCAUACACUCCGUACUCUCCUGACUUGUUCGAUGUAAUAUUAUGAUUACAUUGAUCAACUAGUUAAUUCAAUUUACACUAAAAUAACCAACAAUCCUCCCCCAUUUUAGUGUAAUCCAUAAUCAACUAAACAAAAUUACAACAAAUAACAAAGUUAGGCAUAAAUGAAAUAUCAUGACGAUUGAAUUUCACAUUAGUAUAUUACACAUUUCAAAUAUUCGAAUAUCAAGGUAUCGCUAUGGAUUGAACCUCUACUAUUCACAAUGAAUACAUGAAGAUAAUAUACACAUAACUUUACAUUCUCAAAUGUUCUUACUUGACACUAUAUUUUACUAGCCUUGUGUCCCAAUCCUUCUUAAGCAUAUCAAAGCCAAGUCCAAGCUUCUUGAAGCGGCUAAACUUCAUGCUCAAAUAGGUAGUUCUUUUAUUCUCGCACCUGCAUAUGCGAUUUUUCAAAAGAACUAUUAAGAAGAUAGACUUCAACCUCCUUAUCUUGCAGGUCUGAACACAUAACUUGGGAUGAUGUUGUAAUGCGUUCCAAUCUCUAGAUGUUAAGUUUCCACAUUGAAUUCAGCACCUAAUGUAAUCCUAGGUGAGAAUUGGGUUUCUCAACAUGAGAGACUUUUAAACGGACUUUAAUCCCAUCCCCACAGCCGACUUGUGCACAAGAUCUCUACUCAAUCCUUUGGUAAGAUGAUCGGCUAAAUUAUGUUGAGUUCUUAUAAACUCCACUGAUAUAACACCGUGAGUGAUAAGCUCACGAAUCAUACUAUGUCUAACACCUAUGUGUCUAGAUGUGCCUUUGAACACUUGUCUAUAAGCAUUAGACAAGGCAGAUAGACUAUCACACCUGAUUGAUAUGGGUGAUAUAGGUUUUGGCCACAAUGGAAUUUCAUAUAUCAGAUUUCUUAGCCAUUCAGCUUCUUUACCAGCAGCUGAUAAUGCCACAAAUUCAGAUUCCAUUGUUGAGUCGGUAAUGCAACUCUGUUUCUUUGAUGACCAAGAGAUAGCACCUCCCCCAAGGAGGAAUACCCAUCCACUUGUGGAAGAAUGAUCUUCCUCAUUGGAAAUCCAACUUGCAUCUGAAUGACCUUCAAUAACCGAAGGAAAUCCAGUAUACGCCAAACCAUAAUCCAUGGUUCCUUUCAAGUACUUAAAUACUCGGCUUAAGGCUUGCCAAUGAUGUGAACUUGGUUUGCUAGUGUACCUACUAAGCUUUCCAACAGCAUAGGCAAUAUCUGGCCUAGUGCUUAUCAUGGCAUACAUAAGACUACCAAUAGCCCUUGAGUACUCAAGUUGAGAUACUGAAACACCUUUAUUUGGUAGGAGUUUAAUACUAGGAUCAAGAGGAGUGCUAACUGGAGAACAAUCCUUAAAAUUAAAUCUUUUCAAAAUCUUCUCAAUAUAAUGAGAUUGAGAAAUUGAAAUACCAUUAUUCUCACGCUUGAUCCUUAUACCAAGAAUCACUUCAGCCUCCCCCAUGUCUUUCAUAUCAAAAUUAGAUGACAAGAACUUCUUGGUUUUAUCCACUUGAUUUUGGUCUGUACCAAAAAUCAACAUGUCAUCCACAUAUAAACAAAUUAUAACUCCUUUACCAGAAGAAUCAAAUUUGCUAUAUACACACUUGUCUGCUUGGUUAAUAACAUAACCAUUAGACAAGACCACUUUAUCAAAUUUAUCGUGCCAAUCCUUAGGUGCUUGCUUUAGACCAUAAAUUGAUUUCUUCAAUUUACACACCUUGUUCUCACAACCAGGCACAACAAACCCUUCAGGUUGUUUCAUAUAAAUCUCUUCAUCUAAUUCACCAUUCAAGAAUGCAGUUUUUACAUCCAUUUGAUGAAUGACAAGGUUGUGUAUAGCAGCAAGUGCUAUUAACAACCUAAUAGUUGAAGUCCUAGCAACAGGAGCAUAAGUAUCAAAAUAAUCAAUCCCUUCCUUUUGUCUAAAGCCUUGGAUUACCAAUCUGGCUUUAAACUUAUCUAUCGAACCGUCCACCUUUAUUUUCCUUUUGAAGAUCCAUCUAUUCCCCAAUGCUUUACAGCCAGGGGGCAAAUCACUCAAUUCCCAUGUAUUAUUAUUCAUGAUAGAAUCCAUUUCAUCCUGGAUAGCUUCCUUCCAAAAUGCAACAUCUCUCGAUGUCAUAGCUUCGGUAAAAGUUUUUGGAUCCUCCUCAAUAAUAAAACAAUAUUGGUAUUGAUCUUUAAUUUCAUCUCUAGAACCCUCAACUAGAUAAAGAUGAAAAUCAUCUCCAAAAGACUUUGCUUUUCUAGCUCUAGUGCUUCUCCUUGGUUCAGACGGUUGAUGAACAUCUUCAGUAGAAACUGAGUUCCUACUAGAAGAAGAUUGAAGCAUGUCCCUCGGUCUAGGUAUAGAUGUAAAUCUUGUUUCAUCAAAGAUAGCAUCUCUUGACUCGAUAAUCGAGUUCACAGGCACAUAGUCAUUAGAUUCUAACACAUAGAAUCUAUAUGCGAUGGAAUGCUCAGCAUAACCAACAAAGAUACAAUCUAUACCUCGUUCACCCAAGUUUCUUCUUUUGGGUUCAGUGAGUCUUACAACUGCUCUACAUCCCCAAACUCUCAGAAAACUCAAUUUUGGUGACUCUUUAUACCAGAGUUCAUAAGGGGUAAUUUUAUUCCUCUUACUAGGAAUUCGAUUCAAUAAAUAACAGGCUGUCAACAUAGCCUCACCCCAAAAACCCUCACUCAAACCCGAGUAGGACAACAAGGAAUUAACCAUUUCUUUCAAAGUCCUAUUUUUUCUUUCUGCCACACCAUUUUGUUGUGGUGUAUAAGGAGCCGUGGUUUGAUGUAUUAUACCAGUAGAUUGAAAAUAUACCGGAUCAUAAUACUCACCUCCUCUAUCGGUACGUAGAUUUUUAAUCAAGGUACCAUGAUGAUGUAGCUCUACUUCUUCUUUAUAUAUUUUAAAGGAGUCAAGAGCUUCAUCUUUCGCAUGCAACAAAUAUACAUAACAAUAUCUAGAAGCAUCAUCAAUAAAAGUAACCACAUACUUUUUAUUUCCUAAUGAUGGUGUAGAAUGAAAAUCACACAAAUCACUGUGUACCAAUUCUAAUACAUCAGACACCCUAUUAGCAACUUUAAAGGGCUUUCUAGUUAUCUUUGUUAACAUGCAUGUUUUACAUUUUUCAUUGUUUAAAUCAAUAGCAGGUAUGAGGCUCAUUUUAGACAUAUCCUUUAUUCUUUUAUAAUGUACAUGUCCUAGUCUAGCAUGCCAUAAUUCUGAUUUAUUCAAAUUUAGGCUAGUACUAGUAGAAGCCAUGCAAGAAGAUUCAUCAUUAAAUGGAGUAUUUACAUUCAACAUAAACAUGCCAUUACAUAAGUAACCAAAGCCAACAAAAGUGCCAUGUUUUGACAAGAUAUACUUGUCACUUUCAUAAACUUGCUUAUAUCCACAAUUAUUUAAUACAACACCAGACAAGAGAUUCUUUCGAAUCCCAGGAACAUACAACACAUUAUUCAAAUAUAUACAUUUUCCAGAAGUAAACACUAGCUUAACAUUUCCUAGCCCUUUGAUCGGUUCAGUUGCAACAUUUCCCAUCUUUAAGAUAGAUCCAUCUUCAAUUGGUUGAAAUUCCGUGUACCAACGAAGAUCUUUACAUACAUGACUUGUUGCUCCAGAAUCAAUCCACCAAGCAACAUUAUCAUCCUGCACAUAAAAUGCAUCAGAUAUCAAUGAUACAUAAUUCUGACCAGAAUUACAAUUUUUGAUCAAAAUCUGACCUUGUUGCUUUUCUGGAUCCUUGGAUCCACUUGGACCAGCAUUAAGCCUUUCUUGCUUACUUUUACCAACCCGACAAUCCUUCUUGAAAUGUCCAGGUUUGCCACACUUCCAACAUGCAAUCUUAGGCCUCUUGUUGGAAAAGUUGUUGUUGUUUCCUUUGAAUUUCCGUUUAUCACCCUUGCUGGUUUUAGGAUUCUUAUAAGAUCCACCAUCUUCAACCAUAUUCACAGAAGAGUUACCGACUUGGUUCUUGCCCUUAGGAUUAUUCUCAUUUUCUUGAGUCCUCAAAGCCUCUUCAAUUCGGAAGUGACUUCCAAGUUCAACCAAUGUCAUAUCUUCUUUAUUAUGUUUCAAGGUGUGUUUAAAAUCCUUCCAUGAUGGUGGCAGUUUGUCAAUAACACCAUAAACAGAGAUAGAUUCAUCCAUCUUCAGAUUGUGUUGAACAAACUGUCCCAGAAUCCUUAACAAUUCAUUGUAUUGUUCCAUCACCGGUCUAGAAUCGACCAUUUUGUAAUUCAUAAAAUUACUGACAAGAAACUUCUUACUAGAAGCAUCUUCUGCCAUGUACUUGGAUUCAAGAGAAUCCCACAAUUCUUUCGCUGACUCAACAUUUUGAUAUACAUCGAAAAGGGAAUCAGACAUACCGUUUAGGAUGUGACCGCGGCAGAUGUAGUCAUCGUUUUCCCAUUUGCAGCGUUGCCUUGUUUGUUCAAUAGUUUCAUUCUCAAUCUCUUCGGGCAUGGGAGUACUUAGAACAUACACAACCUUUAGCGUGGUCAACAAAAAAUGCAUCUUCUUUUGCCAUCUUCGAAAAUCUUGACCCUCAAACUUGUCCAAUUUUGCAAACUUACUUGUCAUGUCUUUUGCAGAUUCUCCGUUCGUCAUCUUCAGAAUAGAAUAACUUCAAUCUUUGUUGUAUUUAUGGUGAUAACUUGGAUUUUUCUGAAGUCGUGAGAACACUUUCAGAUUGAAGUUAUUUGUGGUUCACCAAAUAAUUCAAUCGGAUAAAAUCAGAAAUUCUGCAAGAAGAGAGAAUGUGUUUUGUUGUGUAUUUCAAAUGAACCAUAUCCUUGAAAUGAUCAAUGCAACAUCUAUAUAUAGAUGUCAAUAGAUGUGUCUUUUGACAAUAGACACAUCUUAAUCCAAAUAGAUUUGUCUAAUGGCAAUAGACAUGUCUUAUCCUAAUAGAUGUGUCUAAUGUCAAUGGAUAAAUCUAAUGCCAAUAGACACUUCUCUUCCAAUAGAUGUGUCUAAUGCCAAUGAACAUGCCUCAUAAGCACUUAUAAUCAUAAUAAACUCGAACUAAGCAUACACUCCGUACUCUCCUGACUUGUUCGAUGUAACAUUAUGAUUACAUUGAUCAACUAGUUAAUUCAAUUACACUAAAAUAACCAACAUUAUUACAGGCAACAACACCAAAAAAAUCAUUGGUAAGACACUUCUUUCAUUUUUUGUUUUGCUUUUGAAACUCAAUUUUGUAGGAGUUAUAUGUAACAUGGUGUCUGUUAUACAAAUUUUAACUAAGAAUCCCCAAUCACGGACAAUAUACCUUGCAGAUGUUGGAAAAAUUAAUGAACAUUUUUGGUUUGAUUACGGAAUGGUGCAGAGGCACCUCUAUUCACAGUCCUAUGAGAAACUAUUAAUACCAUAGUAUAACAAAGCAACUCCCAUCUACAGUCCUAUGACAAGUUCAAGUCCCUUGAACUUGUAUACGCUUAUGUGGACUUAUGUCAAAAAAUUUGGUUAACUUGCAGGAAUGUUUCUUGCUGCAAGAUUUUCUUUGGGGUUACCGUUCUUGCUCGCUUUCUUGACUUAUAAAGCUAGGAGAAGGCAUUUAUCAAUGUACAACACCAUUGAGGAUUUUCUUCAAGCUCAAAACAACUUGAUGCCUAUAAGGUAUGCGUACUCAGACAUUAAGAAGAUCACCAAUAAUUUUGGAGAUAAACUCGGUGAAGGAGGUUUUGGCACUGUGUAUAAAGGAAAGCUUCGUAGCGGUCUUCUUGUAGCAGUAAAGAUACUGGGCAGGUCUAAGGCUACUGGGAAAGAAUUUAUUAAUGAAGUUGCUACAAGUGGAAGGAUUCAUCAUGUAAAUGUGGUGGAACUCCUUGGCUUUUGUUUCGAAGGUCCAAAACAUGCUCUAAUAUAUGAGUUCAUGCCUAAUGGAUCUUUAGAGAAAUACAUAUUUCGUAAUCAAGGAUCAGAGGAAGAAAUUGUUUCCCUGAGUUGGAAAAAGAUGUACGAAAUCUCCUGCAAGGUGGCAAGUGGAAUUGACUACCUACAUCGAGGUUGUGACAUCCAAAUCUUGCAUUUCGACAUCAAACCUCACAACAUUCUUCUUGACAAGAAUUUCAAUCCAAUCAUUUCCGAUUUUGGGCUAGCAAAAUCAUAUGCCACAAAUGAUAGCACCGUAACUCUCAAUGCAAGAGGAACAAUGGGUUACAUGGCUCCAGAGAUGUUUUACAAAAAUAUCGGUGGAAUUUCAUACAAAGCAGAUGUUUAUAGUUUUGGAAUGUUGCUCAUGGACAUGGCCGCUCAAAGGCAAAAUUUGAAUCCAAUUUUGGAUCACAUUAGCCAAAUUCACUUCCCCUCAUGGGUAUACGACCAAUUCAGUGAUGGAAAAGAGCUUGAGAUGAAAGAUGUUAACGAGGAAGAAAGAAAGUUGGUAAAGAAGAUGAUAAUCGUAGCAUUAUGGUGUAUACAAAUGAAGCCAAGCGAGCGUCCUUCAAUGUACAAAGCUAUCGAAAUGCUAGAAGGAGAUGUUGAAGAAUUGGUAAUGCCUCCUAAGCCUUUUCGUCAUCCACAAGAGGAUCCAGCUGAGAUCAACAACUCAAUUCAUACUGAGGAAUGAACGUAUUUCUUCAAGUUUGAUUUAUGAUUUUAUUAAAUCAAUCUCAUCUCUCAGGCUUUUCGUUAAUCGUGAAGCUUCACUACAUAAAAGACACUGCAAAGACUGUAAGACCAUGUUCGGUUUUUCAAGUACACUAUACAAAUAACCAAUUACUUUUUAGACUGGCUUCGCAUUAGUCUGAUCCAGGUCCCUGGCAGCCGUAUGCCAGGGACCGGUUAAAAAACACACUGAUCAUGGCCCGUUGGAUGCAUAUCCAGCGACAAGGAUCAUAUUAUAAUUUUAAUAUGUCCAGCGUUUUUUUAGCGCUGGACAAGAAUUCCCAUAUCCGACGCUUUUUAGCUGGACGAGGAUUCCCAUGUCCAGCGCUAAAAAAGAGCUGGACAUAUUAAAAUUUUAAUAUGAUAUCCAACGGCCAGGAUCUGUGUGUUAGUUAAGCGCUCCACAGCAAUCGAUUGCUGUGGACCGCUGCCCAUAACAUUAUUAUCAUAAAGGGUACAAGAACUCGAUACAAUUAGGCAAAAAUAUGAUCACAUAUCAUGCAUGCGUAAUUGAUAAUAUACUAGAAACAGUCAUAGACAUCAUAUAAUGAUCGCCAAAAUGCAAUGUGCAAGAACUUGCAUACCUGUUCUUCACAAGGUGUGCAUCGCAGUGACUUCCCAGUUAUUCUAGUUGACCAUAAACGUAUUUUUAAACGCAUGAGUUUAGAAUUUAUCGUACCGGGUACACAAGACUCCCGUAACACGGGACCGUAAAAUUCCCGAUGCAUACAGGGAUUGGUAGGCAUAACCGUCUGAUUCCUUCAUUCCCCAUCUCAGAACUCCCCCAGCAUCAUAAGAAAGAACAAAGUUGCAAACAAAAAACAAAACCCUCACCCUCCAUCUUCGUCAAAAUUACAAAAAUGCCACUGAAUCAAAACUCACACAUCUCAAACUUAACACCCCUGCGCACAGUAGCAUACAAAACUAUAAAAUCUUAAAUCAAAUUUUAGAACGAUCAUCUCUUGAAAAUGGCACACAGAAAUUACUGUUCAUUCGUCAUCUUCUUUAUAUCUAUGCUAUCAUGCGCCGUUAAUACAUAUUCGGAUCCAUGCGACCCGAAAAAUCUGAGAGAUCCGAAGACGCUCCGAACCGACCAGCUCACAGUCCUAAUCAACGGCUACUCCGAGUCUCGUAUUCCUCUACUCCAAUCAAUCGCCGCCACGUAUGCAUCUUCUCCAAUUGUAUCGUCCGUACAGAUCCUAUGGGGAAACCCGAAAACUCCACUAAAGAUCCUAUCUUUACUCUCGCAAAACCUCUCAAUCGCGUCUCCGGGAGCUCCGAUCGCCGUGAUCCGGCAGAACUCCGACAGUCUCAACUCGCGAUUCAACCCGCGCCGCUCGAUCUCGACUCGCGCGGUGCUGAUCUGCGACGACGAUGUCGAAGUGGAUACGAAAUCGGUUGAAUUCGCCUUCGCGAUGUGGUCGAAGAAUCGCGAUAAAAUCGUCGGUUUUUUCGCGCGGUCGCAUGAUCUGGACAUAGUUAACCGGCGGUGGAUGUACACAAUGCACUCCGAUAAAUAUUCGAUUGUGUUGACGAAGUUUAUGAUCGUCAGAAUCGAGUUUUUGUACUCUUAUCGGUGCGGUGGUGACGUGGCGGCGAUGGCGAAAGCGAGGGAGGUUGUGGAUAGGAGGAGGAAUUGCGAGGAUAUUUUGAUGAAUUUUGUGGCAGCGGAGGAAGGGGAGGGAGUGAUGGUGGUGGAAGCGGAGAGAAUUAGGGAUUACGGAGAUUCGAGAAACGAAGGGAGGAGUGGAGUGGAGAGUGCGGGAUUGAGUAGUCGAAAAAAGGAUCAUAGGAAGCGGCGAGGGGAAUGUAUUACGGAGUUUCAUCGAGUGCUUGGGAGAAUGCCGUUGAAGUACGCCUAUGGGAAGGUUGUUAGGGGUGUUGGCGAGCAAGGGUUGUGCGAGAAGGGAGGGAAAUUGGUGCUUUGUGAUCAUCAAAUCGUCGAUUGAGUUGGCUUUGCUGGUGGUGGAGAGAAUUGGAUACAAGUCAGAAAUAUUGAUGAUGAAUUGAAAUUGGUGCUUUGUGAUCAUCAGAUUGUCGAUUGAGUUGGCUUAGCUGGUGGUGGAGAGAAUUGGAUUCAAGUCGGAAAUGUUGAUGAUGAAUUGAUGAUCAAGUGGUACUUGUGUUUCCUCCACUUCGAGGCGAUGAUCGGAAAAAGCUCGCAACUGCUGAGGGGGACCGAGUGCUAGAAGUUCAUGUUUCGGUUUGUUUAUCUACAAUGUUUGUUUCCAUUAAGACCAAUUUUGAAAUGCACACAAGUUUUAGCAAGAAUUAGCAUAAAUUGUUGGCCAGAAUUGUUGUUCAAAUUCCAGAUGGGGUAUCUGGUAACGAAGAACGGAGAAUAAUAAUAAGCAUAAUAAGCAGGGAGUUGUGAAUGUUUGUGAUGUUAGGAAUCAGUGUUACAGUGGUCAUACUCCAUAUUGAUGUUCGAUCAGGCUCUGAAACGCACAAAGUUCUUGGCAGAGAUUCCAAAAGAUCGUCGCAAAAAUUGAAAAUCAGAGGGAAGAAUCGGCUACUGCUGGUCAUGAUCCCUCAAAAUAUCAAGAAGUUGCUCUUCACGCGGGAAAGAAAUUAGGCAACAAGAUUGCAGGAGCAUACCAGAGGUGUAACUCUACAUGAUCUGUUUUGUACACAAAGAAGCUGUUGUACUACUCUUCUUCUCGGACCACAUUGUUAGUUCAAGUUCAUGUUAAAACCUCGGUCAUUUCAUUAUAUUGAAGAACAAAGGUUGUGCUCUAAUUACUAUUUAUCUUUUCGCACUGUUAUGUUUAAAUCUCCAUCAUUUCAUUAUAUUAAAGAACAAAGAUCGUUUAAAUCUAGUUACUGGGGUGUUUGGAUGAUUGGUGGGAAUGAGAAUGAGGGGUAUGGGAAUGGAGGGUAUGGGAAAUGGUAACCCAAGGGGUGUGAAGGUAUUGAUUCAAGAGGGAAUGAGGUUCACAUUCCAAGCAAAAAUUUUACUAAUCCAAACACAAUGUAUGGGUAUUAGGUUUCGAUUCCCGUUAACCGGGCUCAUUAACCAUCAACCAAACGCCGAAUUUCUCUUCUCGGACUACAUUGCUAGUUCACUUUUUCCUUUUCGAUAUGAUUUAAUGGCACUUUUUCUUCCCUUGAGCCUCAUAUACUCAGCUCCAUCAUUGUCAUCAUUAAGCAUAUUAAAUAUUUCUAAAAUACCAGAAUGGAUUAAAACUUCAAUUCACCUAGAUCUGAGUGAAUUUCACAAGUCAUAUGCAUCAGACGUACAGCAAUCACUCUUUUAAUAAAUAGGAAAUUUUUUGUCAAUGUAAACAAUAAAUUGAUAAAAUAUUUUUUAAAAAUUAAUUAGAGAUUUUUUAAUAAAUCAGGAAUUUUUACAACACAACACUGCUUAUGAGAUGUAUUCAUAGUGAUUUAUCUCGACAAAUGGAAGGGAGCUUCAGAAUUUAAUCCCUUGUGCAUAUGAUAUCUGUCUUCAGAAUAUUGCUGCUAAAGAUUUCACCUGCUGAAUUUCCGAGUCUUUCGACAUUUCUGUAUCGAAUUUUUUACAGAAUACUGUUUCUUUGCCAAUUGGUAAUUGGUCAGAACAUUACAUAUAUUCUACAACGAAGCAUUAUCGAUAGAAAUCUGGAGUCUAUAAUUUCAUAUCUACUUAAUAUCCAAUUAUCAGCAGCUGUAUACAUGGUUCAUCUGGGACAACACUCAGAAUGUCGAUAAAGAAUAUGUCAACAAAUUACUCUGUAAAUGAAAUAACUCUCCUAAAGCUAUACUAGAGCCUAGAAAGAAAUUAUCAACAAGUAUAGAAAGGCAUAUGCAAGCGCCUCGACUAACCUAGCUCUGUAUAUAUGUAUCAAUAUAUAUAUACAAGUAUAUCGACGUAGAGUAUUUCUCACCCAUGCAUCUGAUUUUUCUUGUGUUAACAUAUACACACUUGGUAUUUAACCCUCCAUACCUAUAUACCCACCCUCGUUGUAUUGAUGACAUGUCAUGAAUCAUCUGUCAGAUAAGACAGAUGCACUCCAUGAAAGCAUGGCUUCCCGAGCAACUGAUGGAAAACCUGAAGGUAUCACAAUGUACUUCAAUAUCAUUCAAGAACGCAUUGAAACUAACAAAUAUCAAGGAAGAAAAUAACUUGUAAGACUAGUUCUUUUGACUAAUUGUUUAGUGCAGUAAUGUGCUUGGAUGAAACAAUUUUAGCUAAGAAAUUAUUUUAAAAUAUAAAGAUGAAAGCUCGCUUAGAAAACUUGAAAUUUAGCAUAACCUAAAUAUAAUUUUGCAUUUUGUACUGGAAAAACAUUUUAAUACAAUUGUAAAUUAAAUUCCUUUUUCACCUUCAUAUUCGACACCUUAUUUAUGUGGUACCAUACCAUAUUAUUAUUUAAACAUGUUGAACUCCAAAUCCAUAUUAAUUAUUAGCUGACCAUUUCGACUAGAUCUAAGUAAAAAUUAGUCAUCUUACAGAAAGAAAGUGGCCUUUUUGUGGGUAAAAUAAAAGUGGCCCUUCUGACAUGUUCCCAUCUAUAAAUGUGGUGGCUAUAGCUUGAACAUAAGCAAGUAAAAUUAUCCUUGUAAGAAAAAUAACUAGCUUUUAGUCAUUCCAUGCUGAGAAGUGGCCAGUUGAAUCAAUUGAGAAACGGCCAGUUCAAUCACAGCAGAAAAUGUCAAACUAGAAGAUUUAAAAGAUAUAUAAGCCUAUUAAAACUAUUACUACCACAUAAACAACCCAAAAAGCAUUUGAUAUUAAUGUGUUAUAAAGUUUACCUCGAGCUACCUCCACUGCCACAGAUGGCAUAUCUAUUUGGUCUUCAAGCAGUUUAUAUACGUCAACAAGUUCAUCAAUGUGAAGCUUAGAGUCUUCAGUCAAAGCAAGGAGAAGCUGCCUGCGAAUCCCUCCAUCAACUAGGAAAAGACGAGCACCAUCUUUGAUUGUGUCUGUCAGGUCCAAUUUCUUCUGGACCUGCAUCUCUCUAGACAGUUCCCUAAUGAAAUAAAUGUCAGAUGCAAGUUUAGAUCCUUGAACAUUCAUGUGUUUUCAUUAAAACAAACACUUCUUUUGAAUGACUAAGUGAAGAGGGAAAGGGGUACUACAUUUGCUUCCCUUGCAAUGCUGGGUUGCUACUCAUUUUUGCCACAUUUUCCUUCGCCAGCACUAUCAGAUUUUCAAGCCGUUUCCAUUGGAAAAGACCAUCUUUAAACAGAACCUAACAUGAAGCAGGAAUGCGUGAAUCAAAGUAAGUUCAGUGUCAGAGACUGACAGGAAAAAGGAAGUGCCGAAGUUAGUUAGUAUACUGCGAUUAAAUUAAUGUAAGCUAGUUGCUCAUAAGAGAAUCCUAUAAGUUUAUGUAUGUAAUCUAUACUAUCUAUACUAUACUAUAAUAAGGCAACAUGGGUAUAAUUUGUAGUCCAAGGUUUUAGUUAUAUUUUUUGGUUUGGUACUCUCCUUAUGGUCCUACAAGUCUACCCAUGUGGAGUCUAUUAGUAUUUUAUUGCUAAACAGUUUCAAAUACUAUAAACACUCAUAACAAUCCAUUAUCAUAUAAUAUUUCAUUAAAAAUAUUAUAAUAAUGUUAUAAAUAAAAUUAUAAAGGGUUAAUAAUCAUGUGAGUCAUCAAAGUGGACCCAAUAUAUCAAGUUGGUCACCAAACUCAAAACCGUCUCAAAUCGGUCACUUGAGUCAGUUACAAGUAUCACUAAUUUGAGUUCAAGAAGUAAAAAUAUUGUUUAUAGAAUUUUACACAUUAUUCCUAAAUGUUACCACAACUAAUUAUUAUGUCAUGACUUCUAGUAUUUAUGAUAAAAUAUUUAGAUUUUAUGAAGUUUGUUUACAAUUUAUUUUUAUUAUAUAGUUAUUUUCCUUGUUUUAAUUAAAGUAUAUAGUAAAUCAACUUGAUAAAAUCUAAAUAUAUUAUCAUAAUUAUUAUAAGUCAUUACCUUGUACUUAGUUGUGAUAACGUUCAAGAAUAAUGUGUAAACCUCUAUAAAUAAUAUUUUUGUUACUUGAACUCGUAUUUAGUGAUACCUGUAACCGACUUAAGUGACCGAUUUGAGACGGUUUUGAGUUCGGUGACCAACUUGAUAUAUUGAGUCCACUUUGAUGACUCACUUGAUUAUUAACCCAAAUUAUAAAUAUACAAUUUUGAAUAUCUUCUUUUAACAAGAACCUUCAUAUAACUCUUUUUAACUUUAACGUGUUCUAUCUCAAUAUAAACACGAAUCAUUACAUAACCCUUUCUAACUCUAAUCUUAAAAAUUAUUGUUGUCAAAAAAACCAAGAUUAUAAAAUUACGUUGAAAUUCGAAAAAAAAACCAAGAUUAUAAAAUUACGUUGAAAUUCGAUUGAUUUAUUGAAUCUUUCAAAGGUAUUACACGAUCGGCUAUGUUUGGAAAAGAUUUUAAUUUUCUAAUUUUUUAUUUUUAAAUCUACGUGUACUAAAUUCGUAUUAAAUGUAAUAAAAUCCUGAUAUAUAUAUAUAUAUAUAUAUUAGGGUUUGUCCAUUUUUAAGUAAUCGGGAGAAAAUAUAGUCAAUUGAAUAAUAUAAUUUAAUUAAAAUUCAAUUCAUUAAUACUAAAAUACUAAUAAAAUGAUGUUAAAAUUUAAAUUAUAAAUAAUAAAUUACGAACUAUAUACCCGCCCGUGCUUCGCACGGGUUAAAGGCUAGUGUAGAUUAAAAACUUGAGUCAGGCUAUAAAUGUUCAUCGCUGGUGAGCCAAACACAUAGUAUGUCGUAUGAAAUACAAAAAGGAAUUUAAAGAGUAAUUUAAAUAUAUAUUAAUUUAGUAAAUUAGUUUAAAAAGGAGGAGAAUCUCGGAAAGAAACACUUCAAAAUUUAGAAACGAAUUAUUAUCUAAGAAAAUUUCAUCAAACCUGUAUAAGGCGUUCACGUAAAGCAGGAUUUGGAUCUGUUAGUAGGCGUUUUGCUACAUAUGGAUAGGCAACCUGGUAAAGAUGGCAAAAACACUUGAUUAAAUGUACAAUGGCAAACAUUAACAUGACAUCUAAUACCAUAGAAGAGAUAUAUUUUAUAUGCUUGUUUGUGUGAGUGUGUACACAUAUUCAUCCCGGAAAAUAUGAGUACAAUGCAAUGUAAAUUAACAUCUUUCUGUGCUUGGAUUUAUAUGAGAGCAAUCAGAUAUUCAAAAAGUAGAAAAUUAAGAAGCUCCAGGAUGUGUGAUGUUACAAUGUGUAAGACCUACAAUUUGUGAAAUGACCUCUGCAUAAAAGAUGUCCAACACUUUACAACCAAUAGGCUUGAAAAAGAGAGAAAUGCAAAUAAAAUAACACUCACAAUUAUUAGCAAAUUGACACUCCAAUUUCUUCACACUAUUUAUUUCAGCUCAUGAAAAAAAAAAUCUAUUAUCUAUUCACCUAUUGUUUUGCAUCAAAUAAAAAUAUGCCCUCUAGUGUAACUGAGUUUGCUUCAGAUAAGUAGAAGAGAGGUAUGACCAGUGACUUAUUAAGUAGCUUUAAACAUUCAAAGAAACAUUGUACGUUACAUAUGAUAAGAGGAUAAGAGAUAUAACCUCUAGAAAUUUAAACUCUGGCUUCAAAGUAAAACAGAUGCCUUCUUGAGUUAAUAAAGAACGAAUGACAAGAGAAAACCUCUCAGGUAUACGAAUAGGAUAUUGGUAAACCAGUUGAUUAAAUUUUCCUGCAGCACAUGCAAACUAGAUCAGAAUUUAACGUUUUCACAUUUUAGAUAAUUAAUCCAUUUCUCUGACAAAUAAAAUCACACAUAAUUUGCCCAUAAAUUCUGAAUCCACAUAGUAUUCCUCAUGGCCCUGGUAUUGCAUCCCAACUCACAAGGACCAUAUGCAGAUGUUACAGCAAUACAUAAUCCUUUACAUCACUCUUUUGAGAUGAUUUUGUUAAAACUACAUUCAAAUUAAAGAGAAAGAACCUGUAACACUUCGGAAAUUAAAAUCAGCUAGUCCUUUCCCAGAUGAGUUUUGCCAGAUCGAUUCCAAGGCUGGGACGAUUGGAGUAACAUCUGUUCCACUAGCAAGAAACCCAAGCCUGGUGAAAUCAUUGGCCAUUUCCGCAUAAUCUUCAUUAACAGCAUGGACCACAGCAUCAAUCAAAAUUUGUUUAUUUUGCUGGAUGGAGAAACAAAAGCAAUAGGUAAAUACUUAAUAUCAGAAUCAGUAAACUUGGAACAAAUAUUUUUUAAAAGCCUAGGUCUUUAUUACUUGCUUGUAAACACAAUCAAUGACACAAGUGAAGAGAAUCACAUAUUCACUAUAGAGAGAUAUUCGAGUAAAUUACAUCGUAACGUCAACAUACUUCACAUUAGUAAAGAAAGGGGUUUCAGAAAUUAGAGUCUCCUAUGCUGCAUUUAUUACUGAGUAUAUCACGUUUACCUAUACAAAUGAGCUAGACAAUCAAAUACCAUACAAAACCUUCUGAAUCAAUAAUCGCAUAUUACUCAUAAAAUAUGAAGGUGGCUGUAAUAUUCCUAUGUGUACAAAACAACUCUGUAUCUUGAUGGAUUUUAUCAGGUUCAGGAGUACUUUUUAUCAAAAAUAAAGAAGAAAAAGAAUGCAAUGGCAAUUAAAUGGUGGCCUCUUAUUUGACAAUAUUAUGUUUCGAAGUAUAUAUCAAACCUGACUCAACUGAGCAACAUUUCCAAAGUCCACGUAUGCAAUUCGUCCAUCGCGCAUAGCAAAGAUAUUUCCUGGGUGUGGAUCCCCAUGAAACAAUCCAAAUUCUAGCAACUGACGCAAAGCAGCACUCACUCCAAUAGUCAAGAAUCCAUCUAUAUCAAGUCCAGCGUCCUUAAUAGCCUGAUAAAAUAAGAAGAGUUGGUCAGGGGAGAAGGUGAUACUCUUAAUUUUCUUUACAGUAAAUAGGUGGACAUCUUACCUGUGGAUUAGUGCACCGUAUACCAUCAAUCCAUUCCAUUACUAAAACACGUGAACCAGAGAGUUGUUUGUAGACCCGAGGGAUUUUCACAGUAGGAUCUCCUUUGAAAUUCUCCAGAAAAUCUUCAAUAUUGCGAGCUUCCUGCAAAUUCAAUAAAUAUAAUAAAGUAAACACCAGCUGCUCAGAUACUUUGUCAUCUUUCAGGCCAUUUCGCCAUAAUUAAUGUGACAAAACUUAGUGCUGUCUGAGUUCAUAAAAGUGCGCCCAAACGAAUAUCAUGAAAAAAUGAUGCAAAUCUAAAUCAGCUGGCCCGCAUUAUUUUACUCUCUUUCUUUUCUUAUUUGGGAUUUCCCAAUAUAAGAAUCCUCUUGCUACAGAUACUUUACUCCUCUUGCUACAGAUAUUACUAAGUUUACUCUACAACAGUCUCAUAUAGUAGGAUAUCAAAAAAUGAGUUGAAUUUGGGCAUAGGAAGCUGUAUUAUAAUGAUGAUUAUUUUUCUUCCUUUUCUAAUUACUUAGCCGUAAUGAAAUGCAACCCUUUUCAUGUGUAAAAGUUUCGCGAGAGAAACAGCAUAUCAGGAAAAGAGAAUGUUUACAAGAACAAAAAAUUAGUAUCGGGUAAAGAAGAUCUCAAAAGGCUCGGAGUUGAUCUGUUGUAAUCACUCAUUCAGAUUUCAAUCUGAAACUAGAAAGACUUAUGACAGUAAUCAUUAAUUGAUUAACAUGCAAAACACCGCUAGGACGAAUUUUCUUUUCCAUUUUUUAAAGAGAAUAACAAGCGGAAAAUCUUAUGUGGCAUAGAUAUAAAAUGCAAACAAUACCAACGUAUAAUCAAGCUCCUCCAAAAGCUUCUCGCCAAACUCAUCAACUAUAAGUUCUGCAUUGCAACCUAAUUUCUGUAGACUGAUGCCAUUCAGAAAGGAUGCAAGAGUGCGGAAAAGGAAAAGAUCUCGAUAUAUUAUGGGCUCUAUCUCCGGCCUUUGAACCUGUAAACAGAAACAACAUUCCGAUUUAGCAGGUAAAAUAUAUUUUACACAAUGAAAUGAGGCAUUGCGAUAUAGACUGUCAGUUUGUCUGUAGUAGUUUGACACAUGGUCAUAUUAUAAAGCCUAUCUCAGAUAUUUAUCCAAGAAUUGUACAGAUAAAUUGCCAAUACUCCAGUUUCAUCCAAUCAAGAUAAAUAAAUCAAUAGGCAGGAAAAUUUGCUGAGCUCAAGGUGAAAUCUCAACCAGUAUGCAUGAGCCCACUAAUUCUACUUUUCUUGGCAGGAUUAUGUUGAUUUAAUGAGCAAGAACAAGUUACAAAGAUUGUUGAGACUUAUAAAAAUCACAUCCCCGUGGUGAUAUGGAGCUUAAUGUAGGAUGACACCCAUUUCUCAGUCAAUCUUUAUUUAAAAAUAUAUCUAUUUUGUAAUUCAUUUGAGUUUUUAGUAUUACUGGGAGGAGUGAGGAUUUAGACCCAUGGUAAGGGUGGGGGAUAGUCACGGCGAUAAGCUCUACCUUUAACUUUUGUCCUGUGUUAAUUUCUAAAUUAAACAAGCAUUAUACACCUCCAGAAAAUAUGAAGGUUUAUGAAUGCAACUAUAAAUGAUAGAAAUAAAACCACGACAAGAGUUUCAACUACCUUAAUUGCAACUUCUUCCCCUGUGGCACGUAGAGUAGCUCUGUAAACUUGACCCAAACUUGCAGCUGCUAUCGUGGUUGAUGAAAUUUUGCUAAAUACAGUUUCCAGUGGUUGACCCAAUUCCUCUUCUAUAAUGUUGAAAGCAACCUAAACCAUAGUUACAUACAUAUUACUAAAAAAAGAAGAGAGUACAACUAUAUUGUGGAUCAAAGGCAUCAGAAUAAAUAGAACCUUAUCUGUUUAUAUAUUUGGGUAUGGUUACAUAUAUUACGGUGCAUUUCAUUUUUAAGUUCAUGAGAAGGAAGGACCGAGUCUUCAAUUAUUCAAACCAGAGACUAACAUUUGGUCGUAGCAGAGGGGAAGGAGACGUGACACUAGGCUAUUAAUUAAUCAUCAGCAAUAGUAUAGUACCUCAUUGGGGAAAGAAGGAACAUCAUCUUGAAGAAUGCAAAGUUCAUUCAUGUAAUCUUCUCGAAUAAUAUCAGGUCUGUUGGCAAGAACCUGCCAAAGAAAGAAUCGACUUGUAAAAAAAAAGGAUCCUCCUAGAUUGAAAGAACAUUCUCCUUUACAUUCCAAAUAACAACUGAUUUCAACAGUUGAUACAAACCAUUAUUAGCAAAGCCACAAGCAGUAUCAAAGACUCAAUGCCACACCAUUCUUAGUUCAUAAUUCAUAAACAUCCAAUGCCGUAAAUCUCUAAAACUUCAAACAUAACUACAAUCGAAAGGAAAAAGAAAACAAAAAAAACCAACCUGGCCAGCCUUGAUAAAAGAAGGCCCCAAAUCACACAAAAGAUUCCUGAGCUGCCUCGCACGAAACGGAACAACUUCUUCAUCUCUCCCAACCAAAAAAUCAUAAACCAAAGUCGAAUAAUAAAACCCCAAGCUCCACACAAUCUCAACCCCUCUACCAAUCAAUGACAAUAUUGCCCCUUGUGAUUCCAAUACCUUAUUCCUCACCUACACCAACCACACACAAACAAAAUACCCAAUCCACAGUCAAAUCUCAAUAAACUAAUUCACUUGCCCCAAAAUUCUACUAACAAUUUAUCGAAAUUCUAAUAUAAUGACGAUCACCAAAAUCAAUCCACGCAUAUAACAUACCGUUAAACCUCCUUAAAGUAAUAACACAAUUAUUUUUUCGAGAUACCGAAAUUUGCGAGAUUAUUACUUAAUCGAGAAAUCACAAACAACAAAGACAUCAUGAUACAUACAGUUUGGGGAGUAUAUUUUCGAAACGGAAUACAAACACCGCGUUCGAUAUCGAGCUGCUCUAACGCACUUCCGUUCAUCUUCAAAUUCAACAAUUGACCUUCAUUGACAGUCGCAGCAUUUGAAAUUCUUGCCGUCUUGAAAGCUUUCCUCGCCGGAAUUUGUUUCACAGGCCGGAAAUCCGGCCGGCGGCCCAACAGAGACGAUCUAUAGACACUAUGCGUGCUUAAUAUUAGUUCCAUUUUUGAAAAGUACACAAGAAAGAAUGAAGGCCUCGACUAUCUAUAUAUGCAGUUAAUUGUAAGUAUAUGUGUAAGUAUACAAGGUUGUAAUGACGAGAACUGAGUUAAAGACUGACAUAAUGAGGUUCUGUAUAGUCCACGUAUGUAUUAUCUGAUUAUCGGAGGAAGAAAAAAAAAAUUCUACGUUUUCUUUUGAAAGAAAUGAACGUAAUUGGUUGACCAUAAUAAUAUUAUACGGCUGUUCUUUACUUUUUAGCGGUACUUUGAAGUUUCAAUAAAAAUUAUAUUAAAAAAUUUCUUAAACAAAAGUUUGACAUAUAGUGUUUUAUUAAAAAUAGAUUAAAAGAUAUUAUAAAAUUACAAAAUAUAUUAGAAUAUAUAUAUUUUAAAAAUAAUUUACAAAAUCAAGAUAAUACCUACUAUCACGUUAAUAGUUGUUAACAAUUAUGUAAUUAAGUAGCAUUAUUUACUUAAAGUAGGCAGAUUAACUUUUAUAGUUAUAUUUAAUUAAUAUAUUUUUUUAAUCUUAAAUUAGAUGAUUGAAUUAACUCUAAACACAUAUAAAUUAGUUUUUAUUUGUUUAUAAAAUACUUAGAUAUUAAACUUUUAUUGAUAAAAAUAUUUCACAAAUAUGAAAUUAAUUUACUGAUGUUUUUUAAUAUAUAUAUAUAUACGUCAUUAAAAUUAACCGAGUUUUUUAAAGAAUUUUCACAAAGAUCCAAAUCUGGAAAGUUUUUUUUACAAACAUACUAUAAUUUAUUUGAAAAAAUUACAAAAAUAUAAUCUUUCAAACAAAAUUACAAAACCACUUUCUAACAAAUAAUUUACAAAAAUACGGAAGUUACAUUUUUAACUAUAUCUGCAACUACUAGCACUAAUCAAGAUGCUAACUUUAAAAAAAUCUGUUCAAAAUUAAAUUUGAUUACAUAAUGAAUUGUAAACGGUUACAUUUGAUUCAGACUGUAAUUUUUCACCGUUCACAACAUUUCUUUAUCGUUUCAUAACAUUUUUUACCGUUUCACAUCAUUAUCAACUAUACUAGUAGUGUUAUGUGUUUUCGUAAAUUUGGUACUCUACUUUACUCAGAAAAUUAUUACAAGACUAGUUAUCAUAUACUAUUUUUUCACUGCAACAGUUAUUUUUGUCCUUAAUAUAUUUUUGUCCAUAGUUAAAAAUUUAUUAUUAUAAAAAUGAAAUUUUAAGGUUAUCAAUUUAAUACAUCACGCCCCUGUAAAAAUGGAUUGAUACAUCAUCGGCUACUUCGUAUCAGAUAAAUUUAUAUAUAUAUAUAAAAAAUCAUCAAAUAAUGAAUAUGUUUUUAAUAAACAACUACCAUUUAGAAAUAUCAAUAUGAUCAUCACGCCUCUGACUUUUUAACUAAAAAAAAGGUAUCAACGGCUUUCACUGAUUGAACAACAAAGAACAUUUAAUGAGUAAACAUCGUAGUUUGAUGCCAUUCAUAAUCUUACUCUCAUUAUAUAUAUGACGAGUACCUUCAUUUUUUUUUAACUUGAUAUUAUGUAAACGUUGUAAUAGCUUCAACAUCAAUAGGAAAAUUAUAUUGAUAUUAGUAGAAAUAAUCAUCAACUUACUAUUUCCAUGAAAAUGGAAAACCUGAAAUAUGAAAAGCGGCACGUUAGGAACCUAUAGACCGAGUUAUUAAAGAAUUUUGAGGAAUUAGAAGGCAAAGAGGUUUCUACCAACAGAAGUCAACUAGUACUAUAGAAGUACAUAAUAAAUGUAAUCAAUCAACUUAAACUUAUUAGACUACAAGUCAACAAUAAAACAUACCUAGUCUUUAUAUGAUAAUCUCUGUCAUAAUCUGUUAACUCAAUUGCAUCCAAUGCAUCAUUAUGGUUGAAGAAGAGUGCUAGUUACAUUUUUAACUAUAUCUGCAACUACUAGCACCAUAUAUGUAAUCAAGAUGCUAACUUUGAAAAAAUCUGUUCAAAAUUAAAUUUGAUUACAUAAUGAAUUGUAAACGGUUACAUUUGAUUCAGACCGUAAAUUUUUACCGUUCACAACAUUUCUUUAUCGUUCAUAACAUUUUUUACCGUUUCACAUCAUUAUUUACCAUACUAGUAGUGUUAUGUAUUUUCGUAAAUUUAGUAUUCUACUUUACUCAGAAAAUUAUUACAAAACUAGUUAUCUUAUACUAUUUUUUCACUGCAACAGUUAUUUUUAUCCUUAGUAUAUUUUUGUCCAUAGUUAAAAAUUUAUUAUUCUAAAAAUAAAAUUUUAAGGUUAUCAAUUUAAAUAUAGUACUGGCGCCUCACUUUUGUUUGCAACAAACUUUAAAUAUUAUAAUUAUAAACAAGAUGCACUGAAGAUACAAGCCGGCCGUAUUGCCGUCAUAAGCACUGCUGGGAUACGAAGAAAUCAGUGAGAACUUGAGUUACAUUACAUUUGCGCAAAGCGGGGGAAGCCCCGACAAAAGUGUGCGGCUUGCUGUCAACACAGUCACAAAUAUCUUUAUUUUGAAUUUCUAUUUUGGAUCGGAAAUCAUGGUAACUAGUGAAUUUAAUAGGCGGGCUAGUGUACUUAGGCAGAUAAGAAACCUCAACCAUGUUUUUGCUUUUCAAAUCAGCAACAGUGCCGCACAACCGGAGUUGAAUGGCAUUGAGUUGAAUGGCAUUUUCGAUGAUGUGCCUGUAAUGAUUAUUUUGUUAAUUCCAUUAUAGGCACACGAUAAUUUCUUUAUAAUUUAUACAUUAUAAUUUAUACAUACCGUAUAGCAUCACGAAUGUGACCCUUUGUAGGGUAAGAAAAGCUCCUCCCAUACUGUGCAUUUUGGAGAUGCCUUUCAUUAUGUUACGAGCAUCAUCAAGUGAGUCACAAAUAAUGAUGCUCAUAUUCAUUCUCCCGAGUGCUUUUCUUGUUAAAGAAAGCAAGGGCACAUCCUGUCCAACAAAGCAAACAAAUUCAUUGCAACACAAUUAUUAACAAAAAAAGAAAUUCUGAAAAAUGGUAAGGGUGAUUUAAUUUAUCCAGACUUUUACAAACUUUUUGAUUAACUUAAUGAUCAAUGUCUACAUCUGCAAUCAUACAAAAAUGUAGACAAAAGUGUGCGGCAAUUGUUUGGAAUGAUAACACACCUCACAUCAAAUGGAAAAUGAAAGCUUUCUUGAAUGAUUGGGAACAAAUCUCAAACAAGAUUCAUAAAUCAGAAGUUGGAAAUCCAAAAUGUACCAAGAUUACUCCAAAACUCAUAAUAAGUAACGUUGGUUACAGGCAGGAGGUGCACACGGUUGCUGAAAUCAGAAACGAUAUCGGCAUCCUUAAGUACAAAACAAUUAGUCACUGAUUGUAAUCAAGCUCUAGUAGUUGGCUACAUGUAUAUUACAACUAAAUAAAAAUAAUAUUUUUCUAAUUAUGCAAGACAUUCAUCCCUCGCCAAUGUCAAACAACAUAAUACUCUUCAGAAUUAAUAUACCGCAAUACAUUUGGAACUUGGCUGUGCAUAGUCUGGAACAUCAAUCUCUUUGAAUGAAUCAUUCGCAAUAUAAAGAUCAAUUUAGAGUUAUAAUCGAAUGAUCUGAAACAGUAACAACAUUCAUUCACAUAUAUGUAAUAUUUAUUAAUUUCCUAGUCAUAAGCUUUGGCUAACAUAUCAACUGAUAGAUAUUAUGUAUUACAAUGGACGACCUGCAGCGUAGAGAGGGAUGGUUUGGUCGGAAAAUUUUGGAUAAAUAUAAUUAAAUUUGAUUAAAAAAUAGAAAAUCAAAAUUUAAGUAAUCGAAAUCAACCAAAUGGAUAAUAUUAAACAACUAUGACAUAGUAAAUUUGAACAAAUAAAUUAAUAUAAUAUACAUCGAUCAUUUUCGAUUGAGUUUAACCUUUUCUAUUUUUUAAAAAAAUAUUUAACUUUUGGUUCGCAUUUCGUGCAACUUUUGUGCAAAUAAUGCAGUUCAAGCGAUUUUUUUUUAAAAUGUGAUCUAAGAGAAGUCACUGUCAUUCCAUCUUGCAGGUCAAGCGAUUUUUAUUUUAAGAUCUGAUAAAUUUUUUUAACUACGGAAGAACCACUAGUCCAUCCAUAGGAAACAAAUAAGCCAAAUUUUCAAAACAAAAAAAAAAAUCAAAAAUCAAGUUUAAACCAAAUCUAGUUACCCGACUAUGCUAGACAAGAGUAAACAAGUGUGAUUGAGGUGAAUUGGUGCGAUUUGUGUGCGAGUUUUGGCUUAUUAGUUCUCUUUUGUUUUUAUAAAUACAAACAAAUAACUAAUGUAUAUAAUUGGUCCGGCAUACAUGUAGUUGUGGAAUGUUAUAAUAUAUUAUUACGUAUAUCUCAAAAUCAGCAAGUGAUAUUAAUAUUCGAUCCGAUGGUAAUUACGGGGCAAGUUUCUUUAACGAUACCCUUUAGGAUGCGAAGAUUAACCUUUCCAAUUAUUCAACAAUUAGAAGCACUAGAUUCGGAGGUAAUUAUAAUAGUCUUCAGGGGCUGUCGAUAUAGGUCGAAAGAACCUUGUAUCAGGAAUUCACAACCUCGACGGGACCAUCUAAAUAAUAUACGGAAGACAAGAAAGCCAAUUAAACCAAGGCAUUGUAUGGGCUAAAUUUCUUCUUAUCAUUGUGCGAAUGAUUGCGGAAGCAACUUGUUUCAAAUUUAUGAAGGAGGCAAUUACACACCUGUCAUGAAAUAAAGAAUGAUAGCUUUUCAGAAUGAUUGGAAGAAAAAUCUACGUCACGAUUCAUACAGCAGAAGCUCAAACACCAAAAUGUACUAAGAUUAGACAGUCCUCAUUGAAUAUACUAAGUUCUACAUUUAACUAGAAAAAAUAACUACAAAGCCAAAAAAAUUUAGAAUAAAAUUAAAAACAAAAAAUGGGUUUCAACCCAUCUAAUUACCCGAUCACAUCUUACAAGAGCUAAAAAGUGCAACUUUGACAAAUUGGUUCGCAUUUUUCGUAACUUUUGUGUUAUUUUACACCAACUAUGAGAAAGAUUGUAGAAGGGGGGGUUGAAUACAAUCUUUUACAAAUUUAAAAGAUUCAAGAAUGAUACACUAAAAACACAGUAAACAGAAAAACACCAAGUAUUAAAAAUACGGGUGGAUUGAAUGAUCCACCCGUGAGAUUUUAUAUAGAAGAAUCUGUGGAUUGUUUACAAUUCGCACAGCUGCUGGUUCAUCACUCAAACAAGUUCUAACUCUCAGAUUUUUCUCUCAAGUAAUUUGAACAAGUUCAACUGAUGCUACUAACUUGGUUAUAUACUCCAAGUUUUACAAAGCUUUUAGCUAGAUUACAAAAUGCACUCUAAUCUAAAAACAAUGCUGCACAACUUUGUCUUAUGCAUGCUUUCUGAGAUGUCUUCAUCUUUGACCAUCAUCUUGAUUUGAUCCAGAUUGCACUGCAUGAGAUAAGUAUGUUUCUGCUUCUUCUUUAUUUUCCUAAUUAGGCUUCCAUGUCUAUUUUAGUGUAAUUCGAUCCAUGUGAUUUGUCAGACUUAAGCUCUAGUCACUUUCAACUGCUCUUUGCUUCAUCAGUUGAAAGUUCUGGUUGCUUUCAACUGCUCUUGACUUUAUCAGUUGAAUGCCCGGCUCAUCAGUUGAAUGAAUUACAAACUUCAUCAGUUGAAUGCUGUUCCAGUCUCAUCAGUUGAAUUCCUCAGCAUCAUCAGUUGAACACUUUGUCUUCAGUUGAAUGCUUGAUUUUCAUCAGUUGAAACAUCAUCCAGUCUUCAUCAGUUGAAUAGUUACAUCUCAUCAGUUGAAUAUCCUUCACUUAGAUAAAAUUACAUGGCAUUGGAUAUUUACAAUUAGCCAUCCUAUUCUACCCAUCCGUUGAUAAUUCCCAAAGACAAGAAAUAUAACAAUUACAACUGAAAUUUGAUAAAGAUUCUAAGUAAGACAUGUUACAAAAUGUUUAUGUUAUCAUCAAAAAUUAUUGAUUCCUAACAAUCUCCCCCAAUUUAUGACUGGAGAAGAUGCAGACAUAAAUUCUACACUUGAUGAUAACAAAACAUUAAUAAAAUAAAAUGCAGAAUUUAAAUACAAGAGUUAGAAAAGAUUACAGAUGAUUAUGCUCCUCUAGACUGAGCAGUUACUUGUUCCUAGAAGAUCUUCUUCUUCUGGACUUAAGUUUUUCUUCAAGAAUAUUAAUCUGCUUCUGAAAGAUCCUGUAGAACCAUUCUUCAUCACUAUCUUGUCUGUUGAGCUUGGAUUGGAGAGUCUUCAGAGUAUUCAAGCUAGCAACCUUGAGUUGAUCUUUAGGUCUGAAAAAUCUCCUAACACCUUGAUUGUCCCUAAAUUCCAUGACUGGAGUAGGUUCAUGAUGAAUUUUCUUUCCAGUGUAGGGAAUUUUCAGCCUUCUUUGUAGACUAGCAUCUGAGUUCCAUUCCUUCCUGAUCUCAAGGAUUCUCUUUAGUACCAUUUGCUUUGCAGGUGGUGUAAAUCCUCCAGUCCUCUUCAUAGAUCCAUAUAUUUUUGUUAGAGAACUGAAUCCCUCAGAAUUCAGAACUCUGUGAAGAGGCCAGAUGACAUCACCCUUGUUUUUGUAAGAGAAUACCAAUCUUUCAGGUAACUUUGAAGUUGCUUCUAUUCCUCUUACUUCUUGAAGAUCAUCCAGCUCCAGCUCCAACUCAGAAAUUUCUUCAAUGUUAGCAAUGAUCAGAUAGUCAUCAGGAUUUUCAGGUUCUUUUGGAGGUUUAGGAGGGUUAGCCAUCCUCUUAGCCACAGACUUGACUUUCUUCUUUGGCUUGGAAGAUUCUUGAACAAGAAAAGCUGGAAUUGGGAUAUCUUCCAAGUCAAUUGGCUCCUCCUUUGGCAUUAUUGGCUCAUCAUGGAAGUUGACAUCUGGAUGUACUACUGUGGUAUCCUUGAUUGGAGAAGAAGGCUUUGAGAUAGGCUUUUCUGGCACUUCUUCUCUUCUCUUGGCUGCCUCAGGCAUCUUAGUUUUAGAUUUGACUCUCUUUUUCUUUGGAGAAGAUUCAAGAGGCAAUCCUUUCUCAUUUAAAAGCUCAGCUGCCAACUCCUCUUCCAGCUCAAUAGCAUACCUUUCAUCCACCUCUAUUUGGUUCAAAGAGAGUUGGGAUUCAAACUCCUCUUUUUCACAUUCUCUGGCCACCUCUUCAGCUUUUGCAAAUGAGUAAUGAGGAUGGCCAGUUCCAAUAAACAGCUUCUGGCCUUCUCUGUAGAUGAUGGCAAAAUGAGCCUUUAAGGCCACAUCUGCACAAUCUUUAUAACUUUUGAUUUCUUGGCCCAAAAGCUUGUAUUCAUUUUUGUCAGGCCUGGCUAGUGGAAAGUAGAUUGAGCUUGAGUCUUUUCCAGGCCUGGAGUAACCACAAUUGUUUGGAAACAGAAUUGGCUUGAACUCAUUCAAAAAUGAUGGCUCACCCUUUUCUGUCUUGGAGGGAAUAACAAUCUCAGGUGUAAUUACCCUGAGAAUUGUGGUUGUGGUUGGAAAAGAGAUUUGAGCUGUGGUGGCUGUAGAAGAUGUAGAUGAUUUCUUGCCCAGUUGAGCCACUCUCUUUGCAAUGGAGUCCAAUUCUUUCAUCCUUUCAAUCUUUUGCUUUUCCCUUUCAGUGUGGAAAGGAGGAGGAAUUUGACUGAUUAAUUCUGCAGGAGUUGGUAAUUCUUUCUCCCCCUUUUUGUUAGCAGCAAGUGUAAGGGAUGGACUGGGAAGAGAAGCACCAGAGGCAAGAAGAAGAUGUUGAAGGAGUCCAGUCUGAAUUCUUUGAUGCUGCAACAUCUCAUCCAUUCUAGAGUUUAAGAUAUAGACAUUGCCUUCCAGAGCUUCUACUUGCUUUUCCAAUUGCAGUUGUUUUUGCUCAGAUCCAGAAAGAGCUGAUUUGACCUGAGCUGGAAGCUUUUCAUCAAUUUGUUUGGUCAGAUCAGUCUUAACAGAGGCAAUGAGAGAAUUGAGAUGCUCUAUCUCUUUCUGAAAGUGGAGAGAUUGAUAUUUGUGAAGCUUGAGGUUUUCCAGAGCUUGACUGGCAAUGGUGGCAGAGAUGGCUGGAGAGGAGGAUGAGCUUCCAGGUUGUGAUUGAAGAAUGGUGGAGGCUUGCCUUUCCAGCUCCAUGCUAACAACAAUUGCAUUGGCAGACUGCAUGGAGAGCCAUGAAGGUAGAGAAGUUGUAGGUUGUUCAACAAGGGAUUCCUCAAGAGCAUCAUUGAGGUCUUCAUCACUAUCAUCAUAAUGAAAAUCAUCUCCAGCAUUGGCAGGCAGAGCUGUAAAUGCCUCCUUUGCUCUAAGCAUAGAAGAUGUAGUGUGAAUCAGAUUGAGGUGCCUCUCAGCUGCUUGAUUAUCCAAUCUGGCAAAAUCUUGAAUGGAAGACAUCCCAUGAGUAAAAGUCUCAGGGUCUAGUGAAACACUAUCCAAUAUGGAUCUGUAUUCAGCUUGAAACUCUUGUUCACUAAACCCUUCAUUGACACCUGCAUUUCUCUCAAUUUCUCUCUUUUCUUGCAUCAAGGGCUCCCCUUGGCUCACCACACAACUCACCUCUCCCUCACUUACCCUUACUAAAGGGUCACUCUUAUCCUCUCCUUUUUCCUGGCUAGAAGAAAAUGCCAGACUCUCCACACCCUCUCCUUUUGCCAGCUCACUAGGCUGCCUCUCCACUCCAUAGCUCACUCCACUCAAUCCUAAAAGUGUUUGUGCUACCAUGUGAUCAACUGCUGUAGAAGAAGGUAAAGUAAUUGAAGUAGCAGCAGUUGUCAACUGAUGAGAGACAUCAGUUGAAACAUGAGUAGAGGAGGCAUUCAACUGAUGAGAGCUGUUAAGCAGAUCAGUUGAAGGACAAACACUUGUCAACUGAUGAGGGAGAUCAGUUGAAGAAAAUGAAGAAAUAGGUUUAGAGGCUGUGAUAGUUGAGUCUGUGGUGAUUGAUUUUAAUGGUAUAUCCACAGAGCACACUUUCACAAAAGAAGGAAUUGGAAGAGAAAGAUCCAACAAAUCAUCAAAGUGAUGAUGAUCAAUCUCAGAGGGGGACUUCUCCAUGAAAUCUAAAGAUGGAGAAUUUACAAGUGUGGUGUGAAUCAAUUCCACAUCCACAGAAGAGGUUGGGGAUUGUGUUUGAGUUGUAGAAAUAGUAAGAUCAUGAAUAUGGGUAAUUGGAUUUACUGAAGAAGGGGGCUGUGACUCCACAUUUAUUGGAGUCACAUCAAUCUGAAUUUGAGAAAUGACAGGAAUACAUUCCUGUGUGUGUGCAGAGUGCUUUGAUUCAUCACUUCUUUUCUUCUUUCUCCCAUAGGCUUUAACAGGUGAAGAAGUGGUGUCCCUCCCCCUUUUUGACUGUGUCCUUGGCUGAGGACUGUUUUCAAUAACAACAUCCUUUUGGGAGGAUGCUGCUAGGGAUGUGCUUAAAUCCAUAUUAACAUCUACAGUCUUUUGGGAGACUGCAGAGUGGCUAGGCUGGUUAGCACUCACCUCUCCAUCCUUAUCCUUAGGGUUUCUUUGAUGAUCACCCUUUCCCUCCCCCUCACUUCCUCCAAUUACACUCCCCUCAGGCUUGUGUUUCUUAGUUUUUACAACAGAUGCCUUUUGGGAGGCAUCUGAGGUUGGUUUAGAAGACUUGGUUUUAGAGGGUUUUGCUACUUGUGUAGGCUGUUGAUGGGCCUCCUCAACAGCCCUGAUAGCAGAAAGCAAAGAAGUUGAGGGUUGAGAGAGAGUAGAAGGAAAGCCAUGUACCUCUUUGUGCUUUCCAGCCUCCAUUGUUGGCAGGAACACCACCUCCAAGGAGGGGUAUAAAUUCAUCCUAAAGAGGUCUUUAAAGACUCUCUUUUCCUGCACAAAACUGGGAAGCUUGGCUUCCUUGUUAGUAAUAACUAACUUUUUGUUGAGAUGAUUAGCUAGCAUCAUAAGAAAUCUGACAUAAUAAAUAUUCCUAGGUCUACCAGUUUUAUCACCUAGUUUCUCCCCAAUUUCUUGGAUCAUCAAACCACCAAAGUUGAAAUAUUCAUUAGUCAGGUACAUGUAAAGCAUUUGUAGAAUCUGGGAAGUGAGAGCAUUGAAAUUACUAAUUUUACCAGAAAAUGCCUUAAUAAAAGCAUCACAUAAAUAACUCCAUUCUCUCCUAAGACCCCUUCUUUCUAUUUUACCUAAGGCAUCAGUUGGCAAAACAUAAUUCAUGGCAUAAAGUAAAUUAACCAACUGAUUAUCACUAGGCAAAGAUAAAACAGUAUCUUCAGGAAUCUUAAAACAUGCUUUCAUAACAUCAGCAUUGACAGAAUGAAUUUUAUUAUUGACAGAGAAAGUUGGAGUUUCAUGCUCACUNNNNNNNNNNNNNNNNNNNNNNNNNNNNNNNNNNNNNNNNNNNNNNNNNNNNNNNNNNNNNNNNNNNNNNNNNNNNNNNNNNNNNNNNNNNNNNNNNNNNNNNNNNNNNNNNNNNNNNNNNNNNNNNNNNNNNNNNNNNNNNNNNNNNNNNNNNNNNNNNNNNNNNNNNNNNNNNNNNNNNNNNNNNNNNNNNNNNNNNNNNNNNNNNNNNNNNNNNNNNNNNNNNNNNNNNNNNNNNNNNNNNNNNNNNNNNNNNNNNNNNNNNNNNNNNNNNNNNNNNNNNNNNNNNNNNNNNNNNNNNNNNNNNNNNNNNNNNNNNNNNNNNNNNNNNNNNNNNNNNNNNNNNNNNNNNNNNNNNNNNNNNNNNNNNNNNNNNNNNNNNNNNNNNNNNNNNNNNNNNNNNNNNNNNNNNNNNNNNNNNNNNNNNNNNNNNNNNNNNNNNNNNNNNNNNNNNNNNNNNNNNNNNNNNNNNNNNNNNNNNNNNNNNNNNNNNNNNNNNNNNNNNNNNNNNNNNNNNNNNNNNNNNNNNNNNNNNNNNNNNNNNNNNNNNNNNNNNNNNNNNNNNNNNNNNNNNNNNNNNNNNNNNNNNNNNNNNNNNNNNNNNNNNNNNNNNNNNNNNNNNNNNNNNNNNNNNNNNNNNNNNNNNNNNNNNNNNNNNNNNNNNNNNNNNNNNNNNNNNNNNNNNNNNNNNNNNNNNNNNNNNNNNNNNNNNNNNNNNNNNNNNNNNNNNNNNNNNNNNNNNNNNNNNNNNNNNNNNNNNNNNNNNNNNNNNNNNNNNNNNNNNNNNNNNNNNNNNNNNNNNNNNNNNNNNNNNNNNAAACUAGCAACCUUGAGUUGAACUUUAGGUCUGAAAAAUCUCCUAACACCUUGAUUGUCCCUAAAUUCCAUGACUGGAGUAGGUUCAUGGUGAAUUUUCUUUCCAGUGUAGGGAAUUUUCAGCCUUCUUUGUAGACUAGCAUCUGAGUUCCAUUCCUUCCUGAUCUCAAGGAUUCUCUUUAGUACCAUUUGCUUUGCAGGUGGUGUAAAUCCUCCAGUCCUCUUCAUAGAUCCAUAUAUUUUUGUUAGAGAACUGAAUCCCUCAGAAUCCAGAACUCUGUGAAGAGGCCAGAUGACAUCACCCUUGUUUUUGUAAGAGAAUACCAAUCUUUCAGGUAACUUUGAAGUUGCUUCUAUUCCUCUUACUUCUUGAAGAUCAUCCAGCUCCAGAUCCAACUCAGAAAUUUCUUCAAUGUUAGCAAUGAUGAGAUAGUCAUCAGGGUUCUCAGGUUCUUUUUGGAGGUUUGGGAGGGUUAGCCAUCCUCUUAGCCACAGACUUGACUUUCUUCUUUGGCUUGGAAGAUUCUUGGACAAGAAAUGCUGGAAUUGGAAUAUCUUCCAGGUCAAUUGGCUCCUCCUUUGGCAUUAUUGGCUCAUCAUGGAAGUUGACAUCUGGAUGUACCACUGUGGUGUCCUUGAUUGGAGAAGAAGGCUUUGAGAUAGGCUUUUCUGGCACUUCUUCUCUUCUCUUGGCUGCCUCAGGCAUCUUAGUUUUAGAUUUGACUCUCUUUUUCUUUGGAGAAGAUUCAAGAGGCAAUCUUUUCUCAUUUAAAAGCUCAGCUGCCAACUCCUCUUCCAGCUCAAUAGCAUACCUUUCAUCAACCUCUAUUUGGUUCAAGGAGAGUUGGGAUUCAAACUCCUCUUUUUCACAUUCUCUGGCCACCUCUUCAGCUUUUGCAAAUGAGUAGUGAGGAUGGCCAGUUCCAAUAAACAGCUUCUGGCCUUCUCUAUAGAUGAUGGCAAAAUGAGCCUUUAAGGCCACAUCUGCACAGUCUUUAUAACUUUUGAUUUCUUGGCCCAAAAGCUUGUAUUCAUUUUUGUCAGGCCUGGCUAGUGGAAAGUAGAUUGAGCUUGAGUCUUUCCCAGGCUUGGAGUAACCACAAUUGUUUGGAAACAGAAUGGGCUUGAAUUCAUUCACAAUUGAUGGCUCACCCUUUUCUGUCUUGGAAGGGAUAACAAUCUCAGGUGUGAUUACCCUGAGAAUUGUGGUUGUGGUUGGAAAAGAGAUUUGAGCUGUGGUGGCUGUAGAAGAUGUAGAUGAUUUCUUGCCCAAUUGAGCCACUCUCUUUGCAAUGGAGUCCAAUUCUUUCAUCCUUUCAAUCUUUUGCUUUUCCCUUUCAGUGUGGAAAGGAGGAGGAAUUUGACUGAUCAAUUCUGCAGGAGUUGGUAAUUCUUUCUCCCCCUUUUUGUUAGCAGCAAGUGUAGGGGAUGGACUAGGAAAAGAAACACCAGAGGCAAGAAGAAGAUGUUGAAGAAGUCCAGUCUGAAUUCUCUGAUGCUGCAACAUCUCAUCCAUUCUAGAGUUUAAAAUAUAGACAUUUCCUUCCAGAGCUUCCACUUGCUUUUCCAAUUGUAGUUGUUUUUGCUCAGAUGCAGAAAGAGCUGAUUUGACCUGAGCUGGAAGCUUUUCAUCAAUUUGUUUGGUCAGAUCAGUCUUAACAGAGGCAAUAAGAGAAUUGAGAUGCUCUAUCUCAUGCUGAAAAUGGAGAGAUUGAAACUUGUGAAGCUUGAGAUUGUCCAGAGCUUGACUGGCAAUGGUGGCAGAGAUGGCUGGAGAGGAGGAUGAGCUUCCAGGUUGUGAUUGAAGAAUGGUGGAGGCUUGCCUUUCCAGCUCCAUGCUAACAACAAUUGCAUUGGCAGACUGCAUGGAGAGCCAUGAAGGUAGAGAAGUUGUAGGUUGUUCAACAAGGGAUUCCUCAAGAGCAUCAUUGAGGUCUUCAUCACUAUCAUCAUAAUGAAAAUCAUCUCCAGCAUUGGCAGGCAGAGCUGUAAAUGCCUCCUUUGCUCUAAGCAUUGAAGAUGUAGUGUGAAUCAGAUUGAGGUGCCUCUCAGCUGCUUGAUUGUCCAAUCUGGCAAAGUCUUGAAUGGAGGACAUCCCAUGAGUAAAAGUCUCAGGGUCUAGUGAAACACCAUCCAAUAUGGAUCUGUAUUCAGCUUGAAACUCUUGUUCACUAAACCCUUCAUUGACACCUGCAUUUCUCUCAAUUUCUCUCUUUUCUUGCAUCAAGGGCUCCCCUUGGCUCACCACACCACUCACCUCUCCCUCACUUACCCUUACUAAAGGGUCACUCUUAUCCUCUCCUUUUUCCUGGCUAGAAGAAAAUGCCAGACUCUCCACACCCUCUCCUUUUGCCAGCUCACUAGGCUGCCUCUCCACUCCAUAGCUCACUCCACUCAAUCCUAGAAGUGUUUGUGCUACCAUGUGAUCAACUGCUGUAGAAAGAGGUAAAUUAAUUGAAGUAGCAGCAGUUGUCAACUGAUGAGAGACAUCAGUUGAAACAUGAGUAGAGGAGGCAUUCAACUGAUGAGAGCUGUUAAGCAGAUCAGUUGAAGGACAAACACUUGUCAACUGAUGAGGGAGAUCAGUUGAAGAAAAUGAAGAAAUAGGUUUAGAGGCUGUGAUAGUUGAGUCUGUGGUGAUUGAUUUUAAAGGAAAAUCCACAGAACACACUGUCACAGAAGAAGGAAAUGGAAGAGAAAGAUCCAACAAAUCAUCAAAAUGAUGAUGAUCAAUCUCAGAUGGGGGCUUCUCCAUGAAAUCCAAAGAUGGAGAAUUUACAAGUGUGGUGUGAAUUAAUUCCACAUCCACAGAAGAGGUUGGGGAUUGUGUUUGAGUAGUAGAGAUGGUAAGAUCAUAAAUAUGGGUGAUUGGUUGAGAUGAAGAAGGGGGCUGUGACUCCACAUUUAUUGGAGUCACAUCAAUCUGACUUUGAGAAGUUAAAGGCAUAAAAUCCAGAAUGGAUGCCUGUGUGUGUGCAGAGUGCUUCAGUUUUUCACUUCUUAGCUUCUUUCUCCCAUAAGCUUUUAUUGGUGAAGAAGUGGUGUCCCUCCCCCUUUUUAACUGUGUCCCUGGUUGAGGACUAUUUUCAAUAGCAACAUCCUUUUGGGAGGAUGCUGCUAGGGAUGAGUUUAAUUCCAUAUUAACAUCUACAGUCUUUUGGGAGACUGCAGAGUGGCCAGGCUGGUCAACACACACCUCUCCAUCCUUAUUCUUAGGGCUUCUUUUAUGUUCACCCUUUCCCUCCCCCUCACAACCUCCAAUCACACUCCCCUCAGGUUUGUGUUUCUUGGAUUUUACAACAGAUGUCUUUUGGGAGGCAUCUGAGGUUGGUUUAGAAGACUUGUUUUUAGAAGGUUUUGCCACUUGUGUGGACUGUUGAUGGGCCUCUUCAACAGCCCUGAUGGCAGAAAGCAAAGAAGGUGAGGGUUGAGAAAGAGUAGUAGGAAAGCCAUGUACCUCUUUGUGCUUUCCAGCCUCCAUUGUUGGCAGGUACACCACCUCCAAGGAGGGGUAUAAAUUCAUCCUAAAGAGGUCUUUAAAGACUCUCUUUUCCUGCACAAAACUGGGAAGCUUGGCUUCCUUGUUAGUAAUAACUAGCUUAUCAUUGAGAUGAUUAGCUAGCAUCAUAAGAAAUCUGACAUAAUAAAUAUUCCUAGGUCUAUCAGUUUUAUCACCUAGUUUCUCCCCAAUUUCUUGGAUCAUCAAACCACCAAAGUUGAAAUAUUCAUUAGUCAGGUACAUGUAAAGCAUUUGUAAAAUCUGGGAAGUAAGAGCAUUGAAAUUACUAAUUUUACCAGAAAAUGCCUUAAUAAAAGCAUCACAUAAAUAACUCCAUUCUCUCCUAAGACCCCUUCUUUCUAUUUUACCUAAGGCAUCAGUUGGCAAAACAUAAUUCAUGGCAUAAAGUAAAUUAACCAACUGAUUAUCACUAGGCAAAGAUAAAACAGUAUCUUCAGGAAUCUUAAAGCAUGCUUUCAUAACAUCAGCAUUGACAGAAUGAAUUUCAUUAUUGACAGAGAAAGUUAGAGUUUCAUGCUCACUAUUAAACUCUGCAGAGGUCCACAUCUCCUCCACUAUUUCAUGGUAGAUGGUAGGAGCUUCAAGCAUAGCAUAAGAGAGCUGGCUUGACUUGAUGAACUCCAUCAUCCUGUGAUACUCCUUCUCCUCCACAGCCUUGGUAUCCACAAAUGACGCGAAGUUGUUCUUCUCAUAAAUAAACCCACUUGGUGCAGUAUACUUCUUCAUUGGUGCCAUUGUAGUUACAGAGAAAGCUUGAGGAAAAAUUAGAGUUUGCUUUUGCACAGAGAGAGAAGAGAACUUGAAGAAUUCGAAAGAGUGAGAUGAAAAGAAAUGAAAAUAAAUUAAAACACUUAAAUACUUUCUCAGAAAAUUGCUGUGAUUGGCUGAGAAAUUACCGUUGAGAAGAAAUUACUCUUAUUUAUCUCUACAAAAAUUACACACACGAUCGUGUGUAUAAAGUAGGUGAGAGACAAAAGAAAUUUCAACGGCUCAGAUCUGAUAAUACUUUCAACGGAUGAAAUAAGCGCCUCUUUAAACUUCCUAUUCAACUGAUGAAGAUCAGUUGAAGGCGUCUUCAACUGGUGUCAUCAGUUGAAUGAAAAACAACGCAAGAGGAUAUUGUUUCAAGCAUCAGUUGAAACAAUUUCACUAGUUCAUCAGUUGAAAUAUUAUAGACUUUAUCCAGAAUUAUAAUUAAUUCAAUUUUGAUAAAUCAAAAUUAAUCAAAUUCUGGCUGCCAAAUUACAGAAAAAUUCACUCUAAAUUAGGAGAAAUUUAACAUACCUAAUUUACUUACCAACCUUGUGAAUGUGGAUUCAUCAAGAGGCUUUGUGAAAAUAUCUGCAAUCUGUUCUUCACUUGGAACAAAAUGCAUUUCAACAGUACCAGCCAUCACAUGUUCUCUUAUGAAGUGGUAUUUGAUGUCAAUGUGCUUGGUUCUUGAGUGUUGUACUGGAUUUUCAGUUAUAGCAAUAGCACUGGUGUUGUCACAAAAUAUUGGGAUUUUUGAGAGAUUUAAUCCAUAAUCAAGUAAUUGAUUUCUCAUCCACAAUAAUUGUGCACAACAGCUUCCAGCUGCAAUGUACUCAGCCUCAGCUGUAGAGGUUGAUACAGAAUUUUGCUUUUUGCUAAACCAAGAAAUCAAUCUGUCACCAAGAAAUUGACAGGUGCCUGUUGUACUUUUUCUAUCAAUUUUGCAUCCUGCAAAAUCAGCAUCUGAAUAUCCAAUUAGAUCAAAUCCAGAGUCUUUAGGGUACCAAAUACCAAGAUUUGGUGUUCCCUUAAGAUAUCUGAAUAUUCUUUUUAUAGCAAUAAGAUGUGAUUCUUUAGGAUCAGAUUGAAAUCUAGCACAGAGGCAUGUAGAAAACAUAAUAUCUGGUCUACUAGCUGUCAAAUAUAAAAGAGAACCAACCAUGCCUCUAUAAUUAGAGAUGUCCACAGAUUUCUCAUUAGGACUUAACUCUAAUUUGGUGGCUGUUGGCAUGGGAGUCUUAGCUUCUUUGCAAUCCAAUAAAUCAAACUUUUUAAGUAGAUCAUAGAUGUACUUAGUUUGAUUUAUGAAUAUACCUUCCUUUACUUGUUUAACUUGUAAACCAAGAAAGUAGGUGAGCUCUCCCAUCAUGCUCAUUUCAUACUGACUUUUCAUUAGAUUAGCAAACUUCUUGCAAAGUUUCUCAUCUGUAGAACCAAAAAUUAUAUCAUCUACAUAAAUUUGAACCAGAAUAAAGGCACCAUUUACAUUUCUGUAAAAUAGUGUUUUAUCCACAGUUCCUCUGGAAAAAUGAUUAUCUAACAAGAAUUGAGACAGAGUGUCAUACCAUGCCCUUGGUGCUUGCUUUAGUCCAUAGAGUGCUUUUAAUAAAAAGUAAACAUACUCUGGAAAUUCUGGAUCUUCAAAACCAGGAGGCUGACUGACAUAUACCUCCUCUUCCAGUUCACCAUUUAGAAAAGCACUCUUGACAUCCAUUUGAUAAACUUUAAAGUUUGCAUGAGCAGCAUAGGCCAGGAAGAUUCUUAUUGCUUCCAGUCUUGCAACUGGUGCAAAGGUCUCAUCAAAAUCAAUUCCUUCAGAUUGAGAGUAUCCUUUAGCAACAAGCCUUGCCUUGUUUCUGGUGACAACUCCAUUCUCAUCCACCUUGUUUCUGAAUACCCACCUUGUUCCUACAAUUGUUCUGUUUUUAGGUUUGGGUACCAGCUUCCAUACAUUGUUUCUCUCAAAUUGAUUUAAUUCUUCUUGCAUAGCAAGAACCCAAUCAGCAUCUUUGAGAGCAUCUUCUAUGACUUUAGGUUCAUCCUGUGAAAGGAAUGCACUGUACAAACACUCAUCUUGAGUUGCUCUUCUUGUUUGUACAGAUGCAUUUGCAUCUCCAAUAAUUAGCUCAAAAGGAUGAUCCCUUGUCCACUUUCUUUGUGGUGGAAGUGAUUGUCUUGAUGAUGUGGCUUCAUUAUUGAAGUUCAGGUUUCCAUGUUGGAAAGCUCCCCCUAAAUUUGACAUCUCAUUAUUUCUAGACUGAUUGAAACUUUGAGACAUUCUUUCAACUGAUGAUCCUUGAGGUGUUUCAACUGAUCCCUCCAAUGUAGUUUCAACUGAUGCUUCAGUUGAAUUUCCAAUUGCAGUUGUUUCUUGCACCAGAGAGUCAUCAGUUGGAAUAUUAAUUCCAGGAUUAAUUCCAACAUUUUGAAUAAUGUCAUCAUCAUCAUCACUGUCAUACAGAUCACCUUCACCUUCAUUUUCAAAUCUGAGAUUAUCAUGAAAUCCUUCAUCUGAGAAUCCUUGAAUCUUCUUAUCAUCAAAAACCACAUGGAUUGAUUCCAUAACAAUGUUGGUUCUCAGAUUAUAUACUCUAAAUGAUUUUCCAUCAGAGUAUCCAACAAAAAUAGCUUCAUCUGCCUUGGCCUCAAAUUUUCCAAGAUUUUCACCUUGAUUUCUUAGAACAUAACACUUGCAUCCAAAUACAUGAAGAAAGCUAAUUGUUGGCUUCUUUCCUUUGAAGAGUUGAAAGGGAGUUAGAUUAUGAGGUUUGGUAAUUAGUGAAAUGUUUUGAGUGAAGCAAGCAGUGUUCACAGCUUCAGCCCAAAAAUAGGUUGGAAGUUGAGCUUCAUUAAUCAUGGUUCUUGCAGCCUCAAUAAGAGUUCUAUUCUUCCUUUCAACAACACCAUUUUGUUGUGGAGUUCUUGGUGCAGAGAACUCAUGAAUAAUUCCCUCUUCUUCACAAAAUUCUUUCAUCACAGAGUUCUUGAAUUCUGUUCCAUUGUCACUUCUUAUCCUUCCAACUUUGACAUCUGGAUUGUUGUUUAAUGCCUUGAUAUGAUUGAUGAUGAUUUUCCCAGCUUCAUCCUUAGAAUGCAGGAAGAAAGUCCAAGUGAAUUUUGAAAAAUCAUCAACAAUCACUAGGCAAUAUUUCUUCUUUGAAAUAGACAUGAUGUUGACUGGUCCAAACAAAUCCAUAUGCAAGAGCUGAAGGGGCUUCACAAUUGAUGAAAGAGUUUUGCUUUUGAAAGAGCUUCUCUUUUGCUUUCCUAGCUGACAAGCUCCACAAAGUCCAUCUUUGGAGAAUUCCAGCUUAGGUAGACCUCUUACCAAGUCCUUCUUUACUAACUCAUUCAGGGUUUUGAAAUUUAGAUGAGACAAUCUCUUAUGCCAUAGCCAACUGUCAUCUGAGCUUGCUUUGCUGAGAAGGCAAGUGAUAGAUUCAGACUUUACAGAAUUGAAGUCAGCUACAUACACAUUUCCUUUCCUUUGUCCAAUCAGAACCACAUUGUUGUCAUCUCCUUUGGUGACAACACAGGCUGCAGGAGUGAAAUUAACUUUGUAACCUUUGUCACAGAGCUGACUGAUGCUAAGCAAGUUGUGCUUAAGACCAGACACCAAUGCAACUUCAUCAAUGAUGACAUUCUCUUUUGCAAUCAAGCCAUAUCCCAUAGUAUAUCCUUUGCUGUCAUCUCCAAAGGUAAUGCUAGGGCCAGCUUUCUCCACAAACUUUGUGAGCAGGGAGGAAUCACCAGUCAUGUGCCUGGAGCAUCCACUAUCCAAGUACCACAAAUUCUUCUUGUGGUUUCCCUGCACACAUUUCACAAACAGAUCAAGUUGAUUUUGGUACCCAAAUUGCUUUGGGUCCAGAUUUGUUAGUCUUAGCAGCCUUUUCCACUUUCUCAACCUUUUCCUUGGAUUGAAUUGGUUCAAUCUUUGGUUUUGGUUGAGAAAUUGGAAUAUCAACUCUGUUUUCAAACACAGGCCUUUGAGACAUGCAUAAAUUGUUCAUUCCAUGCAAAUUUGAAUGAAAUUGAGGCAUGUUAAAGGCAUUGAAAUAAGGAUUGAACAUAUAUGGCAUGUUAGGCUGAGAAUAGGGAUUGUGAGGCAAUAAACCAGGCAUCAUAUUCAUUGCAGAUAAAUUCAUGUGAGGAACAGAUGUCAUAGGAAUAGGCAAGGAUAAAUUAGGAGCAACCACAGUUUUACAAUUAGCAGAUAAAUGAUUUACACUACCACACUUACUGCAGGUUUUCCUAAGAGCACUAGCAUUUGGAGUGUAAUUGGUGUGCUUGUUAACUCCUAUUUUGCCAUUUCUAUUUCCUUUCUUCUUUUUAGUCUCUUCAGAUUUAUGCUCACUAGUAUCCAACUUCUUCUUGUUCUUGUUACUAGAAUGAAGAGUGUUAUUAACACUAUCAAUGGUCUCAGAAGAACUAUUCUCACCUUUAACAAAAUUCUUUUUAACAGGACCAUAUUUCUUGUUAAGCUUCUUGAGAACACUCUUGUCAACUGAUGAGUUUUUGUUCAACUGAUGACUCUCAUCAGUUGAGACUUUGCUUUUCAACUGAUGAUCAUCAUCAGUAUUCUCAUCACCUGAACUGUUCUCAGAUAUCUCAAGCACUUUCUUAUUCCUCUUCCACUCAUUCUCUACAAAGGUCUCUCUACCUUGCAUGUUGAUGAUAUUGGUGGAAACAUCCCUACCAGAUUUCCAUUUGGCAAUAAUCUCUUGUUCCUUAUCAAGCUGCUUUCUUAUGAUCUCUUCUCUUUUCAGAACAACCAAGAGAUCAUCCUUGGCUGUCUGACACUCAAUUUUCAGCUUCUCAAACUCAAUAAAUUGAGCUUCUAAGACACUGUUUCUAUCACUAAGAAAGGUGUUAGCUUCCUUAAUUCUACUAUUUUCCUUAGUGAGAGAUUUUAAAGAAACAUGCAAAUGAUACAAUUCUGUAGACAUUUCAUUAAUGGUAGCAUUGCAUUCAUCUUUAGUUAACUCAACUAGGUUUGUAGUGAAUACCUGACUACUGCUUCCAGUGUUUUCUUCUUGAUCUGUGGAGUUGGCCAUUAGAGCUAGAUUGACAAACUCCUCCUCUUCAUCAGAAUCAUCUCCAGCUGCCCAAUCAUCCUUUGUGAUGAAUGCUCUUUCCUUUUGUUUGAGAAGUUCAUAAUAUUUCUUUUUGUAGUCAAUGUUUUCACUUGACUUCUUCUCAACUUUAGGCUUUCUGCACUCAUUUGUUUCCCUGCACACAUUUCACAAACAGAUCAAGUUGAUUUUGGUACCCAAAUUGCUUUGGGUCCAGAUUUGUUAGUCUUAGCAGCCUUUUCCACUUUCUCAACCUCUUCCUUGGAUUGAAUUGGUUCAAUCUUUGGUUUUGGUUGAGAAAUUGGAACAUCAACUAUGUUUUCAAACACAGGUCUUUGAGACAUGCAUAAAUUGUUCAUUCCAUGCAAGUUUGAAUGAAAUUGAGGCAUGUUAAAGGCAUUGAAAUAAGGAUUGAACAUAUAUGGCAUGUUAGGCUGAGAAUAAGGAUUGUGAGGCAAUAAACCAGGCAUCAUAUUCAUAGCAGAUAAAUUCAUGUGAGGAACAGAUGUCAUAGGAAUAGGCAAGGAUAAAUUAGGAGCAACCACAGUUUUACAAUUAGCAGAUAAAUGAUUUACACUACCACACUUACUGCAAGUUUUCCUAAGAGCACUAGCAUUGGGAGUGUAAUUGGUGUGCUUGUUAACUCCUAUUUUGCCAUUUCUAUUUCCUUUCUUCUUUUUAGUCUCCUCAGAUUUAUGCUCACUAGUAUCCAACUUCUUCUUGUUCUUGUUACUGGAAUUGAGAGUGUUAUUAACACUAUCACUGGUCUCAGAAGAACUAUUCUCACCUUUAACAAAAUUCUUUUUAACAGGACCAUAUUUCUUGUUAAGCUUCUUGAGAACACUCUUGUCAACUGAUGAGUUUUUGUUCAACUGAUGACUCUCAUCAGUUGAGACUUUGCCUUUCAACUGAUGAUCAUAUAACACUAUCAAUCAUUUCUUGAUCCAAACCAUUGAACAGAAGGUUCAUGGUUUUCUUGUCCUUGUGCACUUCUUCAGUAUCUUCUUGAGAAUAUUCAUGGAUAGGUUUUGGAAUCAUCUUACCUACCAUGUCUUCACCAUCAGCUCCCAUACUUGUGCAGACCUUCAUGGGGACAUGAGGUCCUUUUUCAAUGCAGUUCACAUAGCUUUCAUCAAUGGACAACAGAUGCAGAUGCAUUCUCACUUUCCAGUGAAAAUAGUUGUCUUUGUCAAGAACAGGAAUCUUCACUCCAGCAUCCUUCUUUCCCAUCUUUCUCUAGCAGUGUUGAUCUUUUUCCCUGUUUGUUGGGAACCUCGCUCUGAUACCAAUUGUUAUUUUACACCAACUAUGAGAAAGAUUGUAGAAGGGGGGGGUUGAAUACAAUCUUUUACAAAUUUAAAAGAUUCAAGAAUAAUACACUAAGAACACAGUAAACAGAAAAACACCAAGUAUUAAAAAUACGGGUGGAUUGAAUGAUCCACCCGUGAGAUUUUAUAUAGAAGAAUCUGUGGAUUGUUUACAAUUCGCACAGCUGCUGGUUCAUCACUCAAACAAGUUCUAACUCUCAGAUUUUUCUCUCAAGUAAUUUGAACAAGUUCAACUGAUGCUACUAACUUGGUUAUAUACUCCAAGUUUUACAAAGCUUUUAGCUAGAUUACAAAAUGCACUCUAAUCUAAAAACAAUGCUGCACAACUUUGUCUUAUGCAUGCUUUCUGAGAUGUCUUCAUCUUUGACCAUCAUCUUGAUUUGAUCCAGAUUGCACUGCAUGAGAUAAGUAUGUUUCUGCUUCUUCUUUAUUUUCCUAAUUAGGCUUCCAUGUCUAUUUUAGUGUAAUUCGAUCCAUGUGAUUUGUCAGACUUAAGCUCUAGUCACUUUCAACUGCUCUUUGCUUCAUCAGUUGAAGGUUCUGGUUGCUUUCAACUGCUAUUGACUUUAUCAGUUGAAUGCCCGGCUCAUCAGUUGAAUGAAUUACAAACUUCAUCAGUUGAAUGCUGUUCCAGUCUCAUCAGUUGAAUUCCUCAGCAUCAUCAGUUGAACACUUUGUCUUCAGUUGAAUGCUUGAUUUUCAUCAGUUGAAACAUCAUCCAGUCUUCAUCAGUUGAAUAGUUACAUCUCAUCAGUUGAAUAUCCUUCACUUAGAUAAAAUUACAUGGCAUUGGAUAUUUACAAUUAGCCAUCCUAUUCUACCCAUCCGUUGAUAAUUCCCAAAGACAAGAAACAUAACAAUUACAACUGAAAUUUGAUAAAGGUUCUAAGUAAGACAUGUUACAAAAUGUUUAUGUUAUCAUCAAAAAUUAUUGAUUCCUAACAUUUUGUGCAAAUAUUGCAAUUUUAUGUGCGAAAAGCGCGAUUGGGGAGAAGUCACUAUCAUACCAUCUUACAAUCAAUUGCUUUUUUAAUAUUGUUGGACGAAAUAAGUUUUUUAAAAGAACUACGAAAGUGUCACUAGUUCAUUUGGAGGAAACAAAUCAACCCAUUUCUCUUGAAAAAAAAAUACUCAAAAUCGGGUUUGAACCGAUCUAAUUACCUAAUUGUGCUAGACGAGAGUAAACAAUUGUGACUGAUCAGGCGAAUCAGUGUGAUUUUUGUGCGAGGAUUAUGGGCUUGUGAUGUUAUAAAUAAUGGAAUCAUUGAUAAAUUAAUUAGAACUUUGCGUAUUUCAUGAAUCUUAACAUCACUGCACGAACUAUAAUGAUAUUUAAGACAUGAUGUACAUGUACACAGUAAUAAACCAUCCCUUUUGUACCCAACCCGAAGCUAAGCAUCCAAGGUACUCUCUAGACUUAUACAAACAAAUAACUCAUUUAUAUAAUUGGCCCAAUAUACAUAUAAUCUUGGAAUGCUAUAAAAUACUAUUACCUAAGGUCCUAAACCUCGAAAUCAAAAUCGGCAACACAUUGAUGACCUUAGAAAUUAAUAUUAUAACCUAUGGGUUAUCAAGAUAAUGUUCGAUACCAUGCUAAUUUUGGGCAAGUUUCUUAUGCCCCUGAGGAUGCUAUAACCUUUUCCAUGAUUGAACAAUCAAUACGACUAGAUUCAGAGGUAACUAUAAUAGUCUUCGGGAGUUACUGGUAUAACUCGAAGGAACCUUAUAUUAGAUUUUCAAAAUGUCGAUCGGACCAUGAAUGAAUGUUGUUACUGGUUGGGAUCACUCAAUUAUAGUUCUGAAGUGAUAAUUCUUUUUGAUAUGGCGAAUGAUUCAUUCAAAGAUAUUGAUGUUCCGGACUAUGCACAGCCAAGUACCAAGUGUCUUGCAGUAUAUGAUGAUUCUCUUGCAUUUCUGUCUCUCCACGAGAGUUUGAAGAAUUUUGAUAUUUGGACAUGGAGUGAGGGUUGUUGGACCAAGAAAUUUACUAUGGGACCGCUUCCUGAUAUUCGACAUCCUGUUGGUCACUGGAAGGAUAACAGGCUCUUAUUGCAAUGUGAAAAUGGUUACAUGCUCAUGGUUGAUCCUGAUACACAAGAAACAAAGGAUUUUGCGUUUCAUAACUAUACAGGGUGUGAAGGAGUGUUUGCUUACAGGGAAAGUCUGGUUUCCAUCAAAGAUAAGAUCAAGGCAGGGCAGCAGUCUUAAGAAAAUUUAAAUCAUAAAACAAUUGAGUCAAGUAAUUCAUCAUUCUCUCCAACAGCUUCCUCACUGUUAUGUGUUUCUAUUGGAAUAAUCUGCGGAUAUGUGCUGAGUUCAUUGGUAUGGGCCAUUUAUGUGUGAUAACAAUUUAUAGACUUAAUUAUUGUUAUCGUAAUGUUUUCUUCAGUGCGACAAUGAUAAUUUUCUUUUGUUUUACAUUAGUUACUGAUUUUUCUUAAGGACACUGUCGAAAGCAUAGUUUUUUUAGUGAAGGCAGCCACAGGAUGAAUUAUUUGUUAUUAUUAAAGUUUCCCUAAUCGUUGUUUAUGCAAGCGUCAAAUAUGGUUUGAUGCUCCUAAGCCAGUUCAAUAGUUUUUAUUUUCUUUCUGAAAGGUAGAUAAUCUGAGAUUUACUCAUAUCAAAUCAGCAUCAGGACCAUCUUAAAACUCAGAAAUGACAUUUUCUUUCUGAUCACACAAUCUGCAACAUGGGUUUAAACUAGCUAAUCGUGCCAAAUAAUGAGCUAGUUUGUUCGCAGAUGCUUUAUCAAAGCUAAUUGGCACAUAAUUCGUCCAUCCAAGAGAUAUUUUUGGUGAGAAUGAGUCUAUUCAAAAUCUUAAGAUGUUAGAAAAAGGGUCUGAAUGAAAUUAAUGUUACAUUCCAACAAUUUUUACCCUGAGAUAAGAAUCCCGACAAAGAUAAAACAGUAACUGCAACCACAAAAACAAUCAAACAUGACUACUAAUUUAUGUAUAUUCAUACCAAGAAAGCAAAGAAUGAACAUUCACCAGAAGUCCACAACUGAGGAAUGAAACAAAUUAAAUAUAUAAUACAAAUUAGGAAAUUGAAUAAAAUUUAUCUGUAAAUUUCAUAUUUAUUUCUGGGAAGGCCAUUAAUAUAACUUUAUGCAUAUACUACAAAUUCAAAAUAUGGAUCAAUUCUUCUGUCACUAGGAAUAUAAAUUGUUGAGUAUCACUCUUAAACUUUCUUAUUGAAGUUUUUCUUUAUCCAUAUAGGUUCAUUACGUGAGUAAUGAGAACAUAUAUUUAUAGAUAUGUUCCUAUUAAUCCACUGGAGUUUCAGAAGUAUUUGUGAUACGACUUUGCAACUAUUUUCAUUUUAAUAAUUAUGAUAAAUUUGUUAGAAUUUAUGCCUUUUAAAAUCUAUAUUGGACUGUGAUGAAAAAGCAUUUAUAAGUAUAGAGGUGUCAGCGAGUUAAACUAAAAAUGAUCGACUAGAGCGUAUUAUUUUAAUUUUUGGUGAAACAGAAUAAAUUAUUAUUGAUAGACUAAAGUUGAUUAUAUUUAUAUCUUAAACUAUAUUUGAUAAAAUAAAUUAGUCAUCUUUGGUUAAUAAAUUAGACCAUAUUUAUUUUUUGAAUAUAUUUGAUAUAUUAAAUUCAGCUAAGAUAGAAUUAAUUGAUUCCAUUUUUAUGAUCAGAAUUAGAGAAAUUUAAUUUCCCAAAAUUUAUUCGAAUUUAUAUUUUUCUUAUACGCCCGAAUGCAAUUUUGACAAAGAAUUCAAUUUUAUGUUCAUAGGUGUUUUGGAAGUAUGCCCAUGAACAUUAAUUUUGAGAACACCCGGAGACGGGGAACCCAGUGAAGUGCGUAGUUGCAUUUUCUCAGAAGAAGUGAAGUGAAGAUCUGAAUGAGGGACCUCUGUUUAUAUAGCAAUGCAUGCGAUGCAUUCAUUAUACUUCUCCUUUGUUUGCAUUUUCUCCUUUGUUUGCAUUUUCUCCUUUGUUUGCAAUAAACUUUAACAUCAUAAUUACAGACAAAGUGCAUUGAAAAUACAAGCCAGAAAGAAUGAAGUUAGCAGCAGCAGGCGCAACAAUAUAUAUCUUCUGCGGUGCAUGAUGAUGGCUGUAGUGCCAUCGAUCAUUAGUAUUAUUGGGACACAAAGAAGUCGGUGAGAACUUGAGUUACGUUAAUGUUACAUUUGACAUAAGCAAUGGAGGCACACCAUUACGGAGCUGAAUAUGUUUAUGCAAAUCUCAAGAUCGCGGCACCUGGGUAUACCUUAGGAAUUGAUAUCAAAAGCUUAGACAUCAAGAUAAUGUUUGAUAUAACGAUAAUUACAACUGUCAUGGAAUGAAAAAUGGUAUCGUUUGGAAGAAAAAUCUACAACACGAUUUAUAAAGCAGAAGCUGAAAAACCAAAAUGUACUAAGAUUAUGUCAAUCCUCCUCGUUGAAUAUACUAAGUUAUACAUUUAACUACAAAAUAUCACUACAAAGCCAACAAUUUCCAAAAUAAAAUUAAAAACAGAAAAUGGGUUUCUACCCAUCUUAUUACCCGAUUACAUUCGACAAGAGCUAAAAAUUGCAAUUCUGGCAAAUUGGUUCGCAUUUUGUGCAACUUUUGUGCAAAUAAUGCAAUUUAUGUGCGAGAAGUGCAAUUGAGGAGAAGUUAUUAUCAUUCCAUCUUACGGUCAAAUGUUUUUUUAUUGUUGGAGGAUAUAAUUUUUUUUAAAAGAACUACGAAAAGUGUCGCUAAUUCAUCUGGUAGGAAACAAAUCAGUCUUGAAAUGUUAUAAAAUACUGUUACCUAAACCUCAAUUCGGCAACACACUGAUGACCUUAGGAAUUAAGAAGUUAUAAAUACUUGUAAUUUUAUUUACAUAAGUUCAUAUUUAUAAUCUUGAUUUAUAAAAAACUGUAUUGAAAAUUUUAAACUUUUUAAACGUUAUCCAUGAAUCUAGAUGGAAAGAAUAAAGACUCAACUAAUUUAAAAUACUCUUUUGGUCUUGUUUUUAUUGAUGUUUGACUGUUGAACACGUAAAAAAACUAAAUAUUAUCUUUAAUUAAUAACUUAUAAUUAGAAGUCUAUGUUAAAUUAAAAUUUAGAUUCUAAACUCUCAUUUGAUAUAAAUUCUAUAAAAACAAAUUCUAUUUAAAUAUGUCUUUUUAAAAUAUUAAAAAGGUUUAAAAAAAUGGAAAUGAGAAAAGAUAUAUAGAUCGAGUAAUUAAUUUCCAAAAAAAAACAAAGAUAGUGCUUAAUAUCUGUUAAUACUUAAGAAGCAAGAGUAUCAACAUAUAUAGCAUUAUUCGACUCUCCGAUCAACAACAGAAAUCUUAAAUUACACAACCACAUGCAGUACUACUGUAAAAAUACUUGUAAAAUAAACAGCUGAAAAGCCACACACAAAGUGAUAAAUAUAUAACCUAGCUAGAGUCCUCAGCAGCAGCAGUAGUCUCUUUCUGCUCAUUAGUCUCUUGGACGAGCUUGAAGACACCAGGAUUAUUGGUGACAACCAUAGCCUUGGAGACACCUUUAAACUUGUUGAAAUUCUUAGGAAGUGAAAUGAAACCAGAGUCUUUAGCGAACUGCAAGAGCUCGGAAUUGCCGUUGUCGUAUGGUUUCCAUCCAAGCUCUAACAGUAUCUGGGUGAGGGAGGCGUAGGAUGAAAUCACCUCUCCAGUUGGGACGUGCACCAAUGAAUAAUCUACGGUUGCCCGAUCGUUGUCUAGGCGUACGACACCGUUUUUGAAUACCCAAACUCCAGACAUUUCUGUGUGUUGAUAGGCAGAAGGGUUGAUGUUUUUUUAGUUGAGGAUGGAGAGGGAAGGGAAGGGAAGGAGGAGCUAUUUAUAGGGAUUUUUUUGGAUAUGGCUCUAUUUUGGUAUAAGGUUAAAAGUGUAAAUUCCAACAAUAUUUUUUAUAUAUAAUCUAUAUUUCAUAUUUUAUUUUGUUGGGCUCCAUUAUAACAAAGUUAAGUGGAUGUGAAUUGGAGGAAUGAAUUUUUUUUAUUGUGAAAAAUAAGUUAAGAGCUAUGUGGUGACUCUUAAUUUUGAGGAGAGAGCAGAGAGAAAUAAAAGACUCUUAAUGAUUUAAAGAGGCGCUAAAAAUUUUUUGGAACAAUUGUUUUUCUUAUUCUUCUCAAAUUUCAAGCUAAGAGCUUGAAGAUGCUCUAAAAAUAUAUAGUUGAGCAUAACAGAUAAGGAUACGGCUGUUUAGCUUCGGUGGAGAACAUAGAUCUAGAUGAUGUUUAAUAUAUAAGCGCAUGGUGCACGCUAUGAAUUAAUUAUUCCGGGAUAAUUAUUCCCAUUUUUUAGGGGUCAGUUAUAUAUUCACAAUAAUAAUUGUCAUCAUAAUAUAUUAAAAAUGUUAAAAUAUCAUACAAAAUGGACAACAUAUAGAGAGAUAUCAGCAAGGCAAGAGUGUUUAGUCGUCGUUUGAUUCAUGGUUUUCAGGAAUCACGUAUGUGGUUUGUCUAUUUCAAUGGAAUUCCAUCUCUUGUUUGGUUUCUGAUGUUUGGGUAGAAAAAAUAAAAUCACAAACUUAUGCUUUAAAUACCAAGUAUGGCUUUUUGAUACAGUUUUUGUUUUUUUUGUCUACAUUUAAGUAAUGAAAUAUUAAUAUUUGAUACAAAAUUAAAUCAAUGAUACAAAAAUAUAUAACAAUAAUAAUUUUAUUUAUAUUUUUAAUUAAUAUAAAUUAGUAACUUAUUUUUUGUAAAAAUUAUAUAUAUUUAUUUCAGCACUCAACCAAAGACAUAAUACUUUGUACCCACGUCCACGUCAGCUUAACCUGCAUUCAUUGCUUAUCCACAAGUUCUAUUAUUAAAAUAUUAAUAUAUUCAAUUAUAAGUGUGAAAGAGAGAAAACAAUAAUAUUGUAUUAUGAAAAUUAAAAUUAGGUUUGAGUAGGACAAUCUUAAAAAUAAGAUAGAUGAAAAAUAUUCCAGAAAUUUUAAAUAUUUAUAUGAUAUACUAUUAGAAUUUUCGUUUUCGUCAAUUAUCUUAAAUUUUGUAUAUAGAUAAUACACCUGUUAAACUUGCUCUUAAUUAUCUCAAAGAAGUUAUAAAUUUUGGCAGGACCAUGGUGAGGGGCCUGAGGGCGUGCAUGCAUGGUGGCUCUUAGAAGCUUCGCCCCUCUUCCAUAGCCUAGGUUUGGAAAUAGACUUAAGUUGAGUUUUGUCCGAAUUUAGAUAAGUUCAAAUUUUUCCGGAAUAAACCGAGUAGAUCCAAGUUUUGCUAGCUAUGAAAAAUGAUGUUUAUGAUGGACUCGUUAAUACAUGAGACAUACACGUCUUUAAUUGUUGAUCACGAAUUAUUCAAAUCCAACGAAUUCGGUAACCAAGUCGAAGGAUAGUCGAGGUAUUUAUAAAAAUAACUUCUAUAUAAUUAUUUUAACUCACCAUCUACUCCUCGUUCACAAAAUAUAAUUUUUUAAUAAAUUUAUUAUUGACCCAAACCCAUAUUAAAAUUCGAAAAAUAUGACAAAUCAGUUUAGAUAUUAAUUUAUUUUCAAUAUUUCUGAAUCUAAACCCGAAACCAAAUGGAACGAAAAUAUAAUAUUGGAUUGGAUCUUACGAAAUCCAAAUCCAUCUCACCCGUUGACAUCCUACAUGUUUAAUAUUUUUAGGGCAUCUGGAAUUUGGAAAUGGUUUACGCUAUGAAUUAAUUAAUGAGGAACCCAGUAAUUUAUAGGCACGUUGCCACACGUGAAUGCUUUUUUAUUCAUUGGUCCUGUGCUAGUUUACAUACAGUAAUAAUUUAAGGUUCCGUAAUUCCGUUUGGUUACAGUGGAGCCACGAGGUCGAGAUCAGUAAUCAGAUUAAGAUGAUUUAUUUAUGUGAUAUAAUUUGAGAUAUAAUGUGUUUAGUUGAGUGGUGAAAUGAAUAUUUAGAGUUCUCAAGUAUAAUUAAUUUAGAUUAUAUUUAUAAAUUAACAUUUACAUAUUUUUGAGUCAUAAAUUUCAUAUCAUAUUAUAAUUUACAUGAAAUGAUAUAAAUAAUAAUGAAAAUAAAAAGAAAAAAAUUGAAUUCUCAAACCCUUGGGUAUGAAAAUUUUAUAUUGGGUUUGAGAAAUGGGUUUUAUGAAAUAAAAUUUUCAACCAAACGCUAGGUAUAAGUUUAAAAUGAACAAAACUCAAUCAGACUAGUAUUAGAAACUACUAUAAUUACUAUAAAAAAAUGAAUAUUUUCGAUCAAUGAUAUCUGGUCAAAGAAAAACCUUUUUAACGCUUAAGAGUCAAAUAUAAUUUUUUUGGCUGAUAUACUGCUGGUUGAGUUUAAACAUGUCAAAAACAUAUAUCCAGUCAAUUCAAAAAAAACUGACUUAUUUUCCACAGGUUUUAUCCAAUAUUUUUUGGUCGAAUUUAAUAUUUUGAAAAUUUUGGCGAAAAAAUUGAAAAUUUUGAAUUACCACAAAAAUUGCUGAAAAAUUUAAUGACCCCCAUUUUCAAUCGAAGUUGUAUUUUCAAUCGCAUUAGUGUUUCGAAGUAAAUAGUCGAAUAUAUAUAAUCGAACCAUUUCAUCUUUCCAAGAAUAAUCAUUUAUCAUAUGUAAAGACAGCUGCUUAUCUGGACAAAUCCAAUUUCAAUCAAUAUCCAAACUAAUCAUUAUACUCUCUCCGUUCUUAAAUAUCCGUUUUUCUAAAAAUGAGCACACAUCAAUAUCAACAAUUACUACUCUAAAUAAUAGUACAUAAUUAUAAUUAUCGUAUUAAAUGCACUGUAUAAUAAUAGUAUUUGUGAGGAACCAUAAAACAAAAGCCUCUGGCUGGGUCUUGGGUGGGUAAGAAAAAUCUGGUUGACGGCUUAUAUUUGAAGUUCUCGGCGAUUGCCUUGGUUUUAUGGACAUGUUCUUAUCUUGUCCACGUGAAGACCCAUUGGGCUGCACCUAUUUUCAUGGUGAUUGUAUUUCGUUAGGGUCAUUCGCGGGCCUCAAGUCGUAACUAUCAUCAUUUUGUUGUUUUUAAACACAAAAUAUCUUACACGUACUGAUUAUACAUAUAUUUGCAUCUCACGUACAAUUGAUGUCCCCACUUCCCAUGCAUAUCCUAUCUCAGCUUCAUAGCUCUCUCUGUCCUGUCUUGUCUGUUAUUUUAAAUUUUUUAAAAUUAUUUAAUGUGAAUCCAAAUAUAUAUUUAUUUUAUAUUUUUUAAUACUUUAGUAAUAAAAGUUCCUCACUUAUAUUUUUAUUUAAAAAAUUAAUUCAAAAAUUAAUACCAAGAGUAGUAUUUGUUUAUACAUAAUACAUAAAGAUGCAAAAUUGAGGUGAUGAAGACAAUGCAUUUAAACAGCUACACAAGUACAAAAAUGGAGUCCAUAGCAUUAUUGAGUAUAGAAUCACUAUAAUCUUAAAUUACAAAAGGCAAACACAAUUAGCUAGUGGCUAGCAGUCUUUGACAACGAAGACAUGAGGAUUCUUGACGACGAUGUCAUACAUGUAGACGGAUUUGAACUUGUGAAACUCCGUAGGAGGUGAAACGAGGUCAAUUGAUGAGGCUUUAUGGAACUGCAAUAGCUCGAUACUCCAUCAUCAGCAUUUGGCGCAGUGCGGUGUAGGAUGUAACCACCUCUCCAGUUAGUAAGUGUGCCAGCCCCUUCUUUUGGCGUAUGAUCCAUAUCCGAAUUCGAACUCGAACUCGAGACAUUAUCCAUAUCCGAAAAUGGAAGUUAUCCGUAAAUUAACCGUAAUAAAUAAGCCUGUUUGUUGCGGUGUUUAUUGUAUUUAGUUGCUGAUGAAGAGGAAAGGGAACUUAGAGGUGGAUAACUUGGUAUCAAAUGAUAAAGGCUGUUUGGCUUUGGUGGAGAAUAUAGAUAUUGUGGGACCCUCGUGUUUAAAAGAUUUAGGGCACAAUUGAUGCUAUUAAUUAGCUAGGGCUCUUAAGCUUUUUGGCUCAGAUACCAUCUAAUCAUAUGGGAUAUUUGGUAGGAAUCAUGUGGGUCCUGCUGAGUUGCGGAAUCUUAAUUUUUUUGGUUGAAAAUUUUUCACAUACGAAUAUAUAAACACAGAGACAGGAGAUGAGAGUUGUGCCCACAUAUCACAUUUGCUCACGUGAAGCUCCUAUGUCCUGAGGGUCCAUAACUUUUCAAUUAUUCUUCAAAUGAUUGAAAUCAUCAUUUUUGGUAAUAAUAACUCGGAUAUUCAAAAUUUUAGUGGAAAUUCCGCUAGAAAUAGUUUAUCAAAGAUUAAUUUCUUAAUUCAGCUCUACCAUGCAUUAUCCAGUGAAGUUUUCAUGAUUUUUACUCAAAAUUACUACACAUGGUUCAAUCAAUAAAAGUUUCAUUACGAUAAAGGUUGACGCUUUUGAAAAACCAAAAAAGAAAAAUUACAAUUCAAUCCACGGUGUUACUGCAUAAUUCUCCAAUAAUAUUUUUUUGUAUUAGUUAUGAUCUAAUAAAAAAUUAUCUUGGCCCCUUUACCGUGUAUUUUUAAUUUAAUUUUAAGUAAGAUCUCGAGAAUUUUUUAAUCGAGAAUUUCUUAAUAAAUCAAAGAUUAUUACAAUAUUAUUACGCAAGCACAUAUAACAAGGUUCUUGACCUAGAAAUAUCUAGAUGGACCAACAAAACUAACCUGCAAGGCAGAUGGAGCAUAUAUCACGUGGAUCAUUUAACAAGAAAAUUGAAGGAGAUAUUUCAUAUAAUUCAGUAAGGCCUUGUCACCAUCGGUCAUGAUAUCGUUGUUCCUAGGGGACCUCUGUGGCUAUAAACCUUAAUUUUUCUUGUUUUGCCAAGUGCUUAUGAUUAUGCUGUACACUAUACAGAUUUGGAAAAUGGGCUAAUGCGAAUACUGGUUUGGGACUUGAGCACAAAAAAAGAUUAAAGUUGGGGACAAGGCAACUGAAUUUUCAAUACUCCAUAACUAUUUCUUUGUUUUCGAAUUUUAACAGAAACCAUAACUAUGGAUCACUUUAAUUUUAUUAAUUUAUUGCAAUUAUUUAAAUAUUCGAUAUUAAAUAUAUACCAUCACGACCGAUCGAUAAUCUAUAAUUUAAAUAUUAAUUUAUCACUAAUUAAUAAUUAAUCAUUGUUUUACUGUGUUUGUGAUUCUUAAUCAGUCAAUUUAAUACAUGAAGUGAUCAUAGAUCAUUUGGCUUAACUUCAGACUAGUACUUCUUGAGAUGUUAUUUAUAAUUUAUUACAUAUAAAAUUACUAAUUAAAACAAUAAAAUAUUAUAUUUUUUUUAAGUGAUAUAUUUAUAUAAAGUCAGAUUUUAGAAAAUAUUUAGGAAAAAUCUGGUUGCCGGCAACAAGUACAAUCUGAGGUUCAGAUUGAUGGUCUUGCCCACGUGAAGACCCAUCGAGCCUCACCUGUUUUCCUAGUGAUUGUUUCUCUUGGGGCUAUUUGUGGGCCUCUACUCAUAUCAAUAUAUCAUACAUGUCAUCCAAUAUUUGUGGUUGCCCUGCAGCCAAUAUAUGCUCGGUUCACAGCAAGAAUAUUCAUAUCCAUUAAAAUUCAUUUUCAACCAGAUGAAUAGAGGAUAAGGAUAUAAAAACUACUUUAUCAUAUUAUGAAAAAAUUACAUACAAGAAACCACCAUAUUUCGGCAAAAAAAGGAAAAAAAAAAAAGAAAAGAAACCACAAUAUUUGUGAUGGACUUUUCANACCAUAUUUCGGCAAAAAAAGGAAAAAAAAAAAAAGAAAAGAAACCACAAUAUUUGUGAUGGACUUUUCACAAUAAUUCGUCAUAAAUGUUCAGUUUCAUCAUUUCUGGUCAAGAAAAAAGUUCAGAAUUGAUCAUAAAAUUUGUUUUUUUUUUCAUAAGUUCAUAUAUGUGACCCAUAUUUACAAUAAGAUUAAUAAAUAAUUAUCCGUUGUUAAUGAUGGGCUAUAUUAAUUUUGUAGUGCUUUAAAUUCAUGAUGAAGUAAGAAUUCUGUUUUUUUCAUGUAAAUUAAGCACCCCUUCUUUCUCAAUAUUUAAAUAACAAAAAUAUCAUUUUUACUUAAAUUUUACCAUUUUGUUAUAAAUGUCAGCCCUACCCUGCAUUGAUACAUGCAUGCCGCCAGCUUUACGUGGCUAGUAUCCAUAAUCCACACACACGUAAAUAUAAUUUUCUCGAUUCAAAAUUGUACUUUAUUCUCACACAAGUGUAUAUAUACGACCGUUUUAUGAUAAAAAAAAAAAAGGUGUGUAUAUAUAUGUGUUUCUUUUUAAUAAUGAGGCUUAUAUAUCUUACUACCUCCGUGUAAAAUUAGGAGUUUAUUUUCAAAAAUUCACACAGUUUAAUAAAAGUGAAUGUUUAUAAAUCAAUUAAACUAAAUGGUCAUAAUAUGUGGAAUGAGGCUGAUCUGGAAAAUAUAAAUUGUAGUAAAAUUGACUUUAAAAUUAUAAUUUUACAUUAAGAUCAAUUGAAACACAUUUUUUUUUUUUCUAGAAAAUGUACAUGUAAAUGAAAACAGAGAGAAUAUAAAUCUAAAUCCGUUCAAAGAGUUAAAUCUCGGGAGGAGUCAGAGUGGGAUCCGCUCUUGAUCAAAUGAAAUAAGGAGUUAUCUCCUAACGCAUUAUAAACAAAACAUUGUUGUCAUUUUAUUACUGUGUUUUAUUAUCCCAUCAACAGAAACAUAAUCUACACACUGUCAAACAGUAAAAACAACAUAAAGGUAUCCAGCACACAGCUAGAGGUUAAUUAACAGUCUUUAACGAGGAAGACAUUAGGAUUCUUGACCACAAUGUCGUACAUGUAGACGGAAUUGAACUUGUGAAACUCCUUAGGAAGCGAAAUCAGAUCAAUCGACGAGGCUUUAUGGAACUGCAAGAGCUCGAUAUCGCCGUAGUAAAUCUCCCAUCCGAGCUCCAUCAGCAUUCGGCGCAGCGAGCUGUAAUUCGAAACCACCUCUCCGGUUGGUAAGUGCACCAGCACCUUCUUUCGGCUCGAUUGCUGCUCCGAUGCCUCAUUUUGGCGGAUGAUCCCGUUCUUGAACACCCAAACUCCGGACAUUGUCCGAAUUUUUCGCGAAAAAAAAAAGGACUUAUUUUUGGUGCUUGUGGAAUUUGGUUGCUGAAGAGGAAGGGGAGGAGAGGGGUAUUUAUAGGGCUUAGAAAUGGAUGUAGUUGAGGAUCAAAUGAUAAGGCUGUUUGGGUUUGGUGGAAAAUAUAGAUAUUGUGGGACCUACAUGUUUAGGGCUUAUUCGAUGCUGUAAUAAUUAUCUGGGGCUUUUGCUUUGUGGCUUACAUGUCUGCAGCCAAUCAUAUGGAUAUUUUGGUAAGAAUCUUGUGGGUCCAAGUUAAUGGGGUAUCUAGAUUCUUAUUGGUGGAAAAUUGUUUGUGCCCACAUAUCACAUUUUGGUCACGUGAAGGUCCUAUGUUGUGAUUUUAACAUGUCGAGACCCGGGAAGGCCCAGUUGCCCAGAAUAGAGAAACGUCAUCAGCAUGUCGUACUUUAUUUAAAAAAAAAAAAGGCAUAUCGUACUUCCUCUGUUUUUUUUAUAUUUCUACCGUUUGUAUUUUAAUAUUUUCAUAUUUUUUAAAAGUUUGUCAUUAUGUAUUUUUAUUUUUAUUUUGUUAAAUAUUUCUUGUAAGUAAAAAUAUUAUUGUAAUAUCUUUAUUCACUACAAAAAAGUUUAACAAUAAAAUUUUUAUGUGUGUGAUCAAAUUUGUCAAAAAUACGUGAAAAAAAGAGAGUAAAGAAACCAGAAUAUCUGAAUAUUCGAUAAUGGGUUGUAUGUUUAACAUAAAUAUAAUUAUUACAAUACUUAUAUGAUAUUGAUAAGAAAAUAUAGGAAUUGAUUUAAAAUAAAAUAUUCAUUUUAAUUAGACAUUUUAAAAUAGAAUUUUAAUUGAGGCCGUAAUUUUUGACUAUUCUCCAAAAUUUAGCGAAGAUAGUGACUUGAAGAUGAGGUCCAUGACCCAAAAAGCUUGAUGGAACCCCAAAGUUAACAGGCAGAUGGAGCUUCACGUGAUGAAGUGGUGUUCAUCAUCUAAACUCAAAAAUAUGCAUAAUAUUCAUCUUACAUCUUGUCAAUAUAAUUGGCCAUGAAUUGACAUCUUGUUGGCCCUGUUGCUCCUGAUUCUCUAUGCCUGUGAACCUUAAAUUUCCUUUUUCUGCCAAUUGCUUACAAUUUCUUUGUACAAAUUCGGAAAAUGGACUACAGCUAUACAUGCAUGUCUGAUUUGGGUUUCAGAAGCUAAUUUGAAUAUACUGAUUUUUGGGAUGCGCAGAAGUAUAUAUAAGGAGCAAAACGGUUGAAUUUUUUAGUUCUUUUGAAACAAAAAAUUGCUAUUUUUAUUUUCCCAUAGGUUAAUUUUAUUUUAAAAUUAUUGAAUUUCUAUAUUUUUUGAUAAUUUAAAAAGAGACUAUAAUAUAAUUGUUAGGAUUUAUAUCUAUUCAUAUCUGUAAACUAUUAAUAUUACAAUUAUUUAAAAUUUAAUAUAUUGAUGGCGGAAAUCAAACCUCAGACUUUUUAUAUGCAUUUCUUUUGAUAUCAUAUCUAACUGUUCAUAUGGAUUUGAGUGGUAAAUUUUAUCAAAUAUGAAUAGAAAUGUUAAUAAAAUAUGAAUACAAAUUAUAUAUAUUCGGUUAUUAUAUAUUUAUAGAAUUGUAAUUUUGUAUGUGUCACACGAGAAAAGCCUAAUUAAAGUCUCAACAGCUUUAGGUUUAUAUAGUCAUUUUACAGAAUUCCAAACAUUCAUUAUAUCAUGUGAAGAUGUAAUAUAUGAAGUGAUGUGAUAAAUUCAAAUCGCUUUUUCUUUAACUAUUUUGACACACAAUUGUUGAUGCCCUUGGAGAAAUGAAUAAAGAACGGUUGACAUUGACUAUAAAUCUCAUUUUCACUGUAAAGAUAUUCUAAAUGCAACCCAAUCUUGAAUGUGUAAAGCUUCAAGUUGAUCUAGUUGCUUUCAAACUUAUGAUUAUUAUAGGCAAUUCGCCUAAUAUAUAUAUAUGUGGGGACGGUUUUGAGAUGUACAUGACCUUAAUCAAAAUCAGUUUUCAAGACAUUUCAUUAAUAUACGAAAAUUUGUGGACUCAUAAUCAUUGAUAGCCGAAGGGCAAGCUUGUCCAUCUAUAAUGAAGGCCAUCUCUAUGUCCAUUUUUUAGAAAGAGACAUGACAGAUAUAAAAAUAUGGAUUCCUGUUAAUUAACGAUAUAUAUCCAAAAGAGGAUUAAGGCAAUGGGUUAGUUAAAUUCUUCUGAGAAGACGGCUCAGUUUUUUUUUUUUUUUUGCUAAUUUAUGUUAAGUUAAUUACUUUAGUUAACUCGAUGCUAAUAUGCUAUAGCGUGCAUCUAUGGAUUUACGCGUUAUGGAGUUAGAAUUGAAGUUCUUACAGCAAAAUAUGAAUGUCAGAUGUUUUAAUGACUUAUAAGUUAUUAUAUUGUAAAAAAUUAAUUAUUAGUAGUUCAAUUCAUCUGUCUUAUUUAACCCACGACAAGAGUCCAUGAACUCUUCAGGUACAAAAUUGUACUUAUAUUAACACAAAUAAAAAUCAAACAAAACAGGAUUGCCAUAACAUUAUUUUGAGUACCCAGUCACCAGAAACUUAUUAAGUAAGUAGGCUAGCAUAUAUAAAUGUAAAACAAUGGCAAAGAUCUGGAGGUUAGCAAUCUUUGACGAGGAAGACAUUAGGAUUCUUGACGACAAUGUCAUACAUGUAGAUGGAGUUGAACUUGUGAAACUCCUUAGGAAGCGAAAUGAGAUCAAUUGAUGAGGCUUUGUGGAACUGCAAGAGCUCGAUAUCGCCAUAGUAAAUCUCCCAUCCAAGGCCCAUCAGCAUUUGGCGCAGUGAGGCGUAGGAUGAAACCACCUCUCCGGUUGGUAGGUGCACCAGCACCUUUUUUCGGCUCGAUUGGUGGUCUGAGCCCUCAUUCAGGCGUAUGAUCCCAUUCUUGAACACCCAAACUCCAGACAUUUCAAAUUUUUACGAUUUUAUUAUAUUUUUUUAGUCGUAAAAAGUGGUAUUUGUUGUAGUGAACAGAAGGGUUGAUGAAGAAGAAAGGGCUGAGGAGCCAGGUAUAUAUAGGGCUGGAGAAAUGGAUUAUAUGGAAGUACAGGAGGGAAAUACUGAUUGAUUGCCAAAUUAUAAGCCUGCAGGCUUUGGUGGAGAAUAUAGAUAUUGUGGGACCUACAUGUGCAGAAUAUUUAGGGCAAGAAUGAUGCUAUUAUUCAGCUAGUGAGGGCUUUUUCUUUAUGUUACAUGCCUACCAACUAUAGGUAUGGAUAUUUUUGGGAAGAAUCUUGUGGUCCCUCUGUUAAUUGGCGUGAACUUACACUCGCAGACGGGGAAUAAUUGGAAAAUGACAUGCGUUAAGUUUUGAUUGAAAUGAGCAUCGUGUAUUCAUAUAAUAGCAUGAAUCAAAACACCUCAUCUCAAUUAUCAUAUCAUUUUGUACCAAAUUUUAUAUUCAAUUUUGUGCAUGUAACAGUACUCAUUAGAAUUUUAGCGGAUUAGAAAUUUAUCAGAGCCAUUGGAAUAUAUAUAUAUAUAUGAAGCCAGACUGAUGAAAGGAGCUGUGCCCACUUAUCACAUGUUGAACGCAUGAAGCUAUUGUGUUGCAGGUCCAUGGUUGUUGGCUAAAAUAGUAUAAUAUUAUCCACUCAUGUUCGAAACUUUGCAGAAUAUGAAUUUUAGUAUCAUGUUUGGAAUGAGAAUAAUUUCUUUAUAUUGAUAUUAAGUUUUAUGAGUUCGACUUGGUUUGUUAAAAUCCCGAUCCUGUUAAGUUCAAGUGAAGUAUUCUUAAAUGUAGUUCUAUUUUUUUAAAAAAAAUUAUAGUAAUGGAGGGGGCACAGCUUCUCUAAACUAUAGUUCUAUAAUUGUUUUUUAAAAAAAAAUUCUCAAUAAAAGUUUAACUAUUAAAUUUUUAUUCAGAAAAAAAAAUUUUAAAAAUAAAUUAUACAUUCAUAUUUUAUGGAAGAAUUAAAGUGCGUGCCAAAUAGUGAACGCAUAGAAUCUAGGGGACGGAAGGAGUAGCUCACCGACUCCGCAACUCCAUUAGUCUUUUGCUUUUAAGUUUAUGUUAAUUUUUCCAAAAUUAGAAGGAAAAAAAAACGAGUGAGCAGUUGAUGGGGCAUGGUGAAAUGUGGAUGUUGAUAUUGUUUUACAAUCUGUGCAAAAAACCAACAAAACAGUACGUGCGUUUGUGUGUGUGUGACAAAACAGUAGAGGUGAGGAGACAAAACAAAACGAAGGAUAUAUGAACGGACAUCCGAGUCCAGUGCGUAACUGUCUCCUUAAAGCGUAUUUCGCCCUCACCGUAUGUGAUGAACGAUCGCCUCCCAGGAUAAAACGGAUCAACGAUGCGAGAAGCACCUUCGACGAACUAGAACAAGGUUGAAAACUAUCACCGACGCGGCUAGGGUUUGGAUGCGAGAGGCUGUGUAAUUUUCUUGUGAAUAAACCCUAAUCUAUAAUGAGUAUAUAGACAAUGCAAGACUUGUGCGCUACGCUUCGUAAUUAAUUAAAACGCGUUUAAUUAAUUUACGCGGCUAUAAAUAAAAUCCGAAAUCAAAUCGAAAUUAAUUUAAACCCAGUAAUUAAUUCAGCAAAACUAGUCCGUAAUUCUUCGGGCCCAGAUUUUGCUGCAUUCGUGUCCGCAGGUCGCACACGCGGAAAAGCCCGAGGCUUGCGAAGCCACGAAAUUUCCCUCGAAAUCCCACGAUUUGCACCCCCCCUGCGCGCACGUAGGUGGUGGAGCAUAACACUAGUAACACAUUUGGACACUACCAAAGUGUUUUGCUAUAUAAAGCCUUUAAAGGCUCUUUAUUGAAUCUAUGUGGGAUUCAAGCUUUUUAUUCCAAUUUUUUCCACUACCAAGGAAGCAACUUUGGAUCAUCAUAACUCAUCCAUUCCUUAGUCGUUUUGAGUGAAUAAACAUGCAUUGGAAAGCUCUCUCGGAGGAGAACAUAAUCCAAGCAUAACCCGCCACGAGCACGUAGCCGAGCCUCACUCAAAUUGGUGCUCAAAAUGACAAACUUCCAACAGAUAUAUCCAAAAUGGAUAAGUGAAAGCAGGGACUACGACUUGCAGAGGUCCACGAUCCAAAAGCUAGACGGAGCCGCAAAGUUAACUGGCGGAUGGACUUCACGUGGAGUCACGGAUCAUUUGAAAAGAAGAUGCGGCAUAUAUAUCAACGCCUUUCGCGACCAUAUAGCCAUGUAGGAGCGGAUCUUAGUAGGAGCAAAGGGGACAACUGAUCUCUUUACAUUUUUUUGUUUUUAAUAUUAUACAUAUUUUUAGGUUGUAAAAUUGAAAUUGACCCUCUUAAUUUUUUUUGACCCCUCUUAAUUUUUUUUACAAAAAAAUUGACUCCCCUAACUUUAUAGUCAGAUCCGCCACUGUAGGCAUGAGUCCAUGACCUUUUGCCGGUGUUGUCGGUCUCGCGGUAACCUUAAACUCCUUACGUUCUGAUCCAUUGUUAACAUUGGAAUUGGACAUGUAGUUUAAGAAAAGUGAUGAAAAUCCAAAACGGUCAAAUUUUUGAUCGGGCGGGCAUGUAGUUUAAGUGAAAAAAGUUGAAAAUAGUUAACUGUUAACAUAAAUAUUGGACAAAAGUGGAGAGAGUUAAAAAGGGUCAACUACUAACAUAAAAAAUGGACAAAAAUGGAAGAAAGUCGAAAACGGUAGAUUAUGUUACGAUCAAUUGUUAACAUAAAGGAAGGAUCGGACAUGUAGUUCGCAAAAAGUACUGUAUGCAUGUUAUAUAACACAUCAAAAAUAUGAUAUGUUAAAAUCUUUUAAUAAAUAAAUAUUCCGAAAAUAAAAGCCAUAAAUGGACUAUUUCUGAUUCUUUGUAUCUAAGAUUUUAGAUUCUCACGUGUUCUGCUCAAGAAGAAAGAUGCAAGCCGUUUCUAUAGAAUGAAACCUGGCAAUUCGAAAUAGCAAAUCUCUUUACAAUGAACUUGUGUCGAUUUUACUUGUAAAUGUGAACUUGAAUCAGAGAUGUAACUAAACAAAUUUAUACAUUUAUUAGUAUAUGUUCUUUUACAUAAGGCACACAAGAACAGAUAGCUUCCCGGACAAAAAAUAGUAAGAAGUAACCAACCUUACAGUCUUCUGUGCGUCCUUAUGAAGUUGGUUGUGUUCAAUGAUAUCGCAGAAGUACAAAAGUAAUAUCCCGACAAGCACAAAGCUGUUGAAACUAUCAGAAGAGCUUUCCACUGUCUUCCAGUAGCUAAAAUUGCUAAAGUAGUUGAAACCAGAGCAAUUGCAGCGAAGGCUUUUUUCCAUGUCUCAAAAGCUUUAACAACACCGCUGCAUUCCUUACAAUGAAUUACAUGUCGGAAAUAUCUAUUGGCUAGGUUUGGAGCGUGCAUGGAUCCUAUCCCACCCUUUGCAGGUAAGGAGGCUGAAAUACUUGCAACAAGACCUGCAGGCGCAUGCUCAACUACAGCAGGCUCCUUGGGGAGGGAAAUGGUGUUAUGUCCGAAAUGGUAAGGCAUGCCAUGACCUACUUUGUCCAUCCACUUUCUGUACUCUGCUACCCAUGUGUCGGAUGACUUCAAGUUUAUGUAGAGUUCCUUUGUCGGGACUUUGGCCUUCAUUAAUAUUUCGUUCUGGGAUGAAAGGAAUCCCAUAUCUUGUUCGAACACCUUACUGGCAUUCUGGUGAAAGUACCACUCAGGAAAAAGUUUUGCCACUGGCGAUCUUUUUGUGGUUCCAAACCUAACAAUAAGCAUCGACUUCCCCUGUCCAGAUGGUCUACAAAGGAAGAGCCCAGAAAAAUAAUUUUUCUCACCAGUUUUUUCAUCAACUAUUUCUCUAUUAUUCUGGAGGUUACAUGGUGCUUCAAAGCGUAGGAAGUUUAACAGGGACUCCUCUUUGUCCUUACCCCACCAGCCUGCAAAGCCUCGAUCUGUUCGUUCAGUUACCUUGAAUCUAAGAGCUUGAGCAUCUUCUCUUUUUGCACUCCAGUCGGUUCUAUCAUGUGAUAUAGGGACAUGGGCUGGAUCCAUGAGGUUUUCGAGAAGGAUGGAAUGAUCAUAUGGAAGUUCAUGAGUAGUCGAAAAAUCUUGGAAUCCUGGCCUGGCAAAGUUUUCGAACCAAGGAAUUUUUUCAGGAUUUGGUGGUAUUGUGCGAGACAUCCAUACCCAAACAACUCCUUGGGAGUCCCUUACCUCAUAUGUUUUCACACAAGCUGAUCGAGGAAUUUUUGCAUCUGUAGGAAGCUGCAAAGAAUACAAUUGGGAUUUGAGAAUCAGAUUCAAUUUAUUUUGAAUUUUUUUAAGAAGAAAAAUCACAUCUCUAGCACCUGAAGACAUACCUGAGGUAUCUUAACACAUUUGCCCUCGCCUUCAAAUUGCCAACCAUGGUAUAGACAUUCCAGUCUCCCAUCAACCAAUUGACCUUCAGAGAGUUUUGCCAACCUGAACCAUUUACCAACGAUGGUUAAAGACCCAUUGAUUGUAAUAUUAUGAUAAAUUCUGGUCAUAUCACAUAGCUAUACCAUUAAUAUUUCUCAUUAGUAUUUGUUAUUAGUCAAAGAGCCGUCAGCUAGUUGAGUAACAAACAAUCUUUUUAUACUUUAAAAUGCUUGUAUAGUCUGUUUUCUACAGCUUGUAGUUUUCUGUUCAGUUCUAAUGGGAAAGUUCAUCUUCUCCGCAUUGUUUCUUGCUCUACUCACUGCUAGUUCUGUACAUAGUUUAUAGACUUUCUAAUCUGUACAAUAAUGAUCAUAAUAAUUUGUCAAUCCUAACUAGCUUAAAAGAGUAUAUUCUAAGCAAUUAUCAUUCACUCUUAUAGACGUUUCCACUUUAAGCUUGCGUAGGUGAUAUAUGAUAAUACUCCUUGUUCGCAAAAGCACCAUACAGGCUUCCUAAUUAAUUAUUAAACGACACAACAGGGUACUUGCUUUUGUAAUAACAGACAUUGUUAAAUUAGUAUACAAAUUCUCAAGCAAAAGCUGUGAUGGUUAAAGAUCAGUUGUACAAGCCAUAACAUAUGCGUGGAAAUAUCGGAACUCAUGCACCCUUUUCAUAUAUCCUAAAAUCAUAAAUCAGAUACCCAUAAUUCCAAUUAUCUAACACAUUGUGACAGUCCUUGACAACAAAAUUUUGCUAUAGAAGGGUAGUAGUAAUAUAAAAUUAAAAUUGUCGACCAUAUUCAUAUUUGCCAUAUGAUUUUGUAGGUUUAAGGAGAACUACUUGCACACUGACUGCAAAGUCUCAAAAAUCACCAUAGACAUUGAGCUCAAACUUAUUAAAAUGCCCUUAAAACCACUUACCCUGCACCUAUGUAACAGAGGAAAUAAAAUCAUAUGAAGUCAUGAAAAUUCAAGAACUUGCAAAACAAUUCAAGAUUAUACACAUUGAUGAAUUAGUACACAAAAUUCUCAGAAGGCACCCAAAUUAAUUAGAAGUCAGUUUUUACAAGAAAUAGCAUAUGCCUGGAAAUAUUAGAAACCAUUUCACCCUUUUUAUAUAUCUCAAAUUCAAAAGUCAGAUGCCUACAGAUCCCCUUACCUAACACAUUGCAAAAGUCCUUCGAUAUACAAUCAAGGUUUGUAGAUCGAAUUCGCAUUUGCUCAUAUAAUUCAUUAGACAGAAUAUAACAAGCACUCCUUGCACAACAAACUGCAAAUCAAUCACUCGACACAAAUUCCAUUAAACCCUUCUAUUUCAUUCACAAAGAUUACCAUAAACAUCGAGCACAAAGUAAUCAAAAUGCAAAAUUUCAUGCCUUAAAAGUAACCAUACCAAGCCCAAAAAAUUCAAGAAAUUGCAAAAAAUAUAAUAAAAUCAAGAUUACCUGUGGGGACACCUAUCUUCAUAACACUGAAGCUCCCCAUUCCCAUCUUUAUACAACACAACUUGCUUAUCAAACACAGUGAGCCCCAAAGGAGAAUCAUCUGGAAUGUUCUUGGUCAAAUACAAAGGAUACCAUUCUUGAGUCCAAUCAUACUCAACCACUUCUCUCACACUCCCCAGCCCUUCAUUCACAUCAAUCACAACAUCUUGAUCACCACUUUUAUCACUUUCCACGGAAACCCCACCACUUAUAUCAGUUGCAACUGCACAAGAACUCAAGAAUUUGGCCUUAAAAUGGUGGGUAUUAUGUGGUUGGAGUAUAGAUACAGAAGGGUUUGGUUUCUUUGUGUGUAUAGAUGGUCUUGGCUUGUGUGUGAAGUGGAGAGUUGAGGUGUUUAAGAGAACUGCUUGGAGAAGAGCCAUUGGUUUGGGUUUGUGUAAGAGUUGAGUUAAGAAGACAUUAUAGAAAGUGAAGAGUGUUGAAACUUGAAAGUGGAAGUUAUAGGUUGUUGCUUCUGCUUUGAUGCAACAAUUCUGGCCACAUAUAAACCAAGAAUGGAGUAGAUGAAGUCAUGAAGACAUGGCUUUAUUGCUUAUUAACGGAUUUAUUAUAUUUUUUUUAGAAUUCUACUCCCUCGGUCUUAUAUGAACUUUAUUCUUCUUUGAUGCGUCUAAAAAAAAUAAUUUAUUAUACUUAAUAUUUUUCGACACGAGUACUUUUUACUAUUAAAAAUACAUUACUUUUUUAUUUUAUAUUUUUUUUAUUAAAUAAAUAUUAUUACACCUAUUACUUUAAUUCACUAUCUCAUAUCUAUUCUUAAAUUUGGAUAAGUCUCAUCACUUUAUCUACUUUUGAACUAAAUUUAUUUUUUUUAUUAUAUUUUUCUUAAUAUUUGUGAAAUUGUUCAUGUAACAUCUCUCUUAUAAAAGUCGGUGAUUAAUCAUGAAUAAUCAGUGAUUAAUCUCAAUUUCGUAACUCGCUGCACUGAUUAAUCCGAUCAAUUCAUUCAAAUCAACUUUGUUCUGUGCCUCGCUGAUGAAGUCUGAUUACAACACACGUGUAAAAUGGGACAGAGUAAAUCUUACCAAUUUUUUAAUUGUGUGUUAAUAAAUUUUUAAUGAUUUUACGUCAUACGUUAUAUUUUUUUAAUUUGAGAAAAAUCUCGUAUUAAUGAAAUCAUGACUUCCUUAUAAUUUGAUAAUAAAUUAGAUUAUGAUUUUGUAUUUACUUUGAAUAUAUAUUUUAGAAAAGUAGUUUGGAAUUAGGAAAAUUUUUAUUUUAUUUUGUAAUAUAUAUGUGCCCUGACAGAGUUUUGUAUAUACCCCAAAUAACGCACUUUAAUAAUUUACGAAAAUCACUUAAAACAGGCACAGGGUUUUUAACUAAUAUCAAUUUUAUUAUACUUUUUUGUAAUCUUUUUCUUUCUUCAAGUGAUCUUCUCCAAAUUACUUAUAUCGCUAUGGAAAUCGUGAGUAUCAACUAUCAACGUACCAGGAUGAUCGGUGAUUCAUUGACCUUUGGGAAUUUAUCAAAUAUACUACUUUUUAGGAUCUUAUUUGCAAAAAUACCAUCUUCCUAAAUUAAUUGCAUAUUUACUAAACUAAGUUUCUAAAUUGCAAAAAUACUACCCCCUCUCCCUGCAACUAAAUGCAACCUCAUAUGCAACUGAAUGCCUGAUUUCAAAUUCCACUUUUCAAAUGUCAUUUUCGACCUCAUCCUUGAAAUCCAUAUAUAUAUAUAUAUAUAUAUAUAUAUAUAUAUAUAUAUAUUAGAACCUAUAUUAAANNNNNNNNNNNNNNNNNNNNNNNNNNNNNNNNNNNNNNNNNNNNNNNNNNNNNNNNNNNNNNNNNNNNNNNNNNNNNNNNNNNNNNNNNNNNNNNNNNNNNNNNNNNNNNNNNNNNNNNNNNNNNNNNNNNNNNNNNNNNNNNNNNNNNNNNNNNNNNNNNNNNNNNNNNNNNNNNNNNNNNNNNNNNNNNNNNNNNNNNNNNNNNNNNNNNNNNNNNNNNNNNNNNNNNNNNNNNNNNNNNNNNNNNNNNNNNNNNNNNNNNNNNNNNNNNNNNNNNNNNNNNNNNNNNNNNNNNNNNNNNNNNNNNNNNNNNNNNNNNNNNNNNNNNNNNNNNNGGGGCACCCAUACAUCAAUUGUAACUUACAGUUUUUCAGUUGCAUAUGAGAUUGCAUUCAACCAUAUGCAAAAUAACAUUUGAGAACUGGAACUUGAAAUCAGGCGUUGCAGUUGCAUAUGAGGUUGCAUUCAGUUGCAGAAGGGAGGGGUAGUAUUUUUGCAAAUUAGAAACUUAGUGUAGUAAAACUGCAAAUAGCUAUUCUUGAGAAAAGUAAAUUUGCAAAAAUUUACUUUUUCCUAUAUAUUUAUGAAAAAACCCAUUGACCUUUUUAUGUGAUUUUUAUCUAUCAAAAUUUUUAUUUUUAAUUUCGACGAGCGUGAUUAUUGUAUAUUAAUAUUUUUUUAUUUGAAUCUUCUUAAUAUUUUAAAUAAAAGGCUUUUUCUAUUUAUUUGUACUAUAUAAUAUAUUUUAAGAAAAAGAGAUGAUUUUCAUUAAAAUAAGUUAUUAAUAUAUUCUCGUCAUCUCUUACGGUUUUUUAUUUUUAGGAUGAAUAAUAAAUAAUAUAAAAAUUGAUAAAAUAACUGAAACACUAAUAAAAAUAGAUAAAAUAAAUAUUUUUUAUAAAAUAAAAUGAAAAUAAUGGGUUUAACCAGAUUUUAUAUAAGUUUAUUGUUUUUAAAAUUUUCGAAUGUAAAAUUUAUAAAAGAUAUCAACAAUAAAAAAAGUAAUAAACAUAUAAAACUAGCUGGAUCGAGGUGAGUCGAUUAUGCAACAAAUAUUUAUUUCAUAUCGACACAAUUUGACACUAAUCCGUUACUAACUUACAAGCUCAUUGAAUCUUUGCGUUAUUUUGAUCUAGGGUUUCAUAAUUUGAAAAAGGACACCAAUUGGGAAUAUGAAUUUUCAUAAUCAUCAUCACGAGGCAGUAGAUAAUCUCCUUAAACUCUUCACAAUUGUAAAUCAUUAUCUUAAUCUUGUUGAGAAUCGACUACUGAAUGAAUUUGAAUAUAUUUAUCCCGAAAAUGUAAAUUCUAUAUCCUCAGAUCUUAUAAAUUUGUUAAUUUAUUCAGUUGUCCACUUUUGUGCGUGUUUUUAUGUGAUUAAUAUGUGCCUUUGCCGUGUAUUAUGGGAUGUAUUUGUAUCUGGGUUUCAUAAUUGGGUCUGGUCUCGGCGGAAAAAACCGUUGGACAAUUUAACCCAAAAUUUUUGAUGUAUAUACAAAGAGUGCUCCAGUGUUAUUGAUCGAAAAAUUACCUUAUUUUAGGGUUUUUCACUUCCAGCAUUUUUUUCCGCUUGACAUGUGCUGCUAUCGUUUGUAUGUUCGGGACCAUCUGCCUUCGUAUUUUCUCAUAAUGAAAUCAUUUAUUUAGGAACAAUGAUGUUAAGAAUGAAGAUUGUGCAAUAAUGUUAACCAAGUAGUUUAGUCAUUCAUUGUAGUUCAAACAAUCAAGGCCUGAUUAGAGUAAUCGGGAAUCAUACUAGUUCAGGUUUUUGAAUGUUGCCAGGGAUGAUGUCCAUUCUAGGAGAUUCGGAUAAAUUUACCCAGGUAAGUCUUUCCAACUCAGAAUAGCUUUAGUUGAAGACAUCGAUUUUAUAUCCAGAGACUCCGAGUUACUAUUUUUCAGUUUCUUCAGCCUUCUUUGAUUGCUAAAGAUCGAUUACUCUUUUUAGUUAAUCUUUAUAAAUUCUCAGGACACAGAGGCUAUGUAUGAGUUGAAGGUUAUCAAUUUGUUUGAUUUUGUAGUGUCAUGAUUUAGCUUGAUAAUGUACGAUACAAACAGAUUUUAUAUUCCAAAAGACCUUGGCGAAUUCAAGUUUGCACGUUUUUGCAGAAACAACUGGUAGCAUCGUGAAAUCUGCAUACAAUCCAGGUAAGUGGUAAGUUAUGCAUGUCAUUAUGCUGGUUGAUUAGUUAACUUAUCUGUCGUGUUGCUUUUAUAAUGAGUCAACUUGAAACAGGAAGCUAUAUUGUAACUAGCUUAUACUCAGACCUCUGUGUCACACUAUCCUGUCUUGUGUUCAAUAAAUUGUUUAUUUUCUCUCUGGAUUAUAUCUUUGUGUACCUGUGGGAUUGAAACAGAUGGUUCUGAAAAUAUCUCAUAAAGCUUUAGAGUCAAGUUAGCAGACAAAUCUGAGGUCUGUUUAUACUGUAAUAAUCAGACUUGAGAAAAAAAAUAUCUCUUUGCAAGGCACUUCUAUAUUAAAUUCAGAUCAAUCAUAAUGAUUCAAUAUAGAAUUUAAAAACCUUCUUGUCAUCUCUUGACACCUUUUCUGUAUAUAAUGUGCAGUCAAUCUAUGUUUGAAGAGUUCAUAUAGCAGUGUAUUGCAUUUCCUUAAUAUAAAUCUAGGUUCUUGAAUGUUCCGAGUGAUACCUUAAUUGAUGAAUAUGGAUAACUGGAAAUAUUAUUGUUUUCUACUUGUUUGAAGAUAUGAUAUUGCUUAUAUACAGGUGAUGAGGAAGCUGAUUCAGUAUCGGAGGAUAUCAAUCAGAAGCUCUUCUCGGCAAUUGUUCAAGGCAACUAGAUAUGGCAGAAAGUUGGAAAACAACUGUUAGUAUUAUGCUCAUCUCAAGUCCUAUUCUUCGAAUAUAAAUUUUCUCCUUGCUUUUUUCUAGUUGUUUCAGCUCCAGUCCAACUCCAAUUUAUAAGUAGCAGAUAUGCAUUAUAGGAUACCUAUCUCUUUUCUAGAAUACCUAUGCAAAAUUGCUACCCCUGUUAAUGUUAAUGCUCUAAACUUUGGCUAUAUCUGUCAAAAUUUCACUAAAAUUACAAAUAUAUAAAAGGAUAAGAAUAAAUACUAGACUUUAUCUUGUUAUUAGAUGAGCCCUUAGUAAAAAUUAAAUUAUUCACAUACAAUACUUUUGGUAGAUUAUUUUAUACAGGGUUAUGAAUUUAUAAAUAUGUCAUAUAUAGUGCAAUAUAAAAAGUAUUAUUGAACAUUUAUUUUAUUUCUUUUUCUCACUUCCUUAUUAUAAAAUUAGAAAAACACCUUUUUAUUUAACGUUGACAUACUCAACUUCAAUGGAAAAUGGUACCAGGUGUGCCAAAUGAAGCGAAUAUAAAAAUAGAAAGGUCAGCUGCCAAGAAAAUAAGUAUUGAGUAUUUAAGCGUUUUUGGCGGAAGAUACAGACCGUAGUAAGCUCAAAAAUGUUAAUACUACAUGGUUAAGUAAUCAGGACUGAUUGGACACUUUUACUUUUUUUUUGCUAAAUAAUAGGACACUUUUACUUUGUUGUCUGCCAAAUAUUGAUACUUUACUUUACUUAACUAUGAUGUUUCAUCGUUUGCUGUUAUAAAUUUCUACUUUGGCACUGACAAGACUCAAUUCCAGGACACAAAAAUAAGUAUGAGUACUUAAAGUAUUUUCCGCGAAACUAACAAUACAGACUGUAGCAAGCUCGUGAAUGUAAUACUAUAUGGUUAAGUAAUCAGGAUUGAUAGGACACUUUUACUUUGUUGUUGCAAAACAUUGAUACUUUACUUAACUCCGAUGUUUCAUCGUUUGCUGUUAUAAAUUUCUACUUUGGCACUGACAAGACUCAAUUCCGAGACUUCUAAUGGCUCAACUUCCAGAUCCUCUUCUGCUAGAAAUCUUCCAAAAACUCCCUCUUAAAUCGGUCUUCCUUUCGGAAUCAGUCUCCAAACACUGGCUAUCCUUGAUCUCAGACCCUUUUUUCGCCCGAUCAUACACUCGCAAUAUCACCACCACCAACAAUUACACACCUCCCUGGACACUCUUCUCCACCUUCCAUGAGGUGAGUCUCGAUGAACGUGCCAUUAUUCGUGAUCCUGAGCUGGUAAAUAUCGACAUCUCAUUAAGGUUUAUGAUCCCUGUUAUAUAUUCUGUCAAUCAAGCAGCUGUUUCACUUAAACUAUUGGAUUCAAGUAAAGGGUUGUUGCUUGCAUGUUCUUUAAAUGAUGAUUCUCAAGUUCUUGAUUAUUUUGUUUGCAAUCCUUUAACUAAGAAAUGGGUUGGUCUACCUAAAUUCUUGAGUCAGCCCAAAUGGGUCAAAGCUGUAAUUAUGGUAGAUGAUGAUUCUGGUGAUUAUUUUGUGGUUAGAAUUGUUCAAUUGACUUGUUAUUCCAAGGUUUUUAAUUUUGAGGUGUUUAGUUCUGAGUCAAGUCAAUGGAAAUAUGUGAAGGUGUGUUGCGAAAAGGGUCUUAGAUUCUUUGUGAUGAGAAGACACACUGUUUGUUACAAUGGGCUGAUUCAUUGUUUAGCUGAUAAUCAUACCAUUUUAGUGUUUGAUCCGAGAAGUGAUGGUAGCAAGUGCCGCUUGAUUGAUUUGCCUUGCGAUAGGGUCAGUAGAAUUGUUGGAGUUAUCGGGGUUUCUUGUGGUUUUAUGCGGUAUGUUGAGGUGGCUGAUACCUAUCUAGAGCCAACUGAAGAACCCAGUUUAGGUGUCUGGCUUCUUAAAGACUAUGAUGCUGGAGAAUGGAUUUUGGAGUACAGGAUUGAAUUGAGUGAAUUUUGUUCUAGCGAUCUUUAUGUUACUAGUAUGUUUUCACGUCUGGGCGAUAUCACAAGAGCUGUAGCUUUUCAUCCAUUCGACCGUGAUAUAGUUUAUCUGAAUUGUUCGAGUCACUUAAUUUGUUGCCAGCUUUCAACCAAAAUGGUGGAAGUUGUAGAGUGUGCAAGCGACAAAAUGCGAGAUUCAUUAUUUAACUUUGAGGUGUUUCCCUUUGCACUUCCACCAUGGCCUACUCCAAUUUCUAGAAAACUCAGAGUACACGAGUCUCUCGAUCCCCUUUUGGUUGAGCUUCCUGAUUCUAUGCUGAUGGAGAUCCUGCAAAAAUUGCCACUCAAAUCAAUUUUCUGCUUCAAGUCAGUCUCCAAACACUGGUUCUCUUUAAUCUCUAACCCAAAAUUUGCCAAGUCAUACACUCUCCAAAUCUUCACCAAAAACAAUUAUUCACCACCAUGCGCUAUUUUUUCAAGCUUGGAUCAAAUGGGUUUUCAGGAAAGAGUACUUAUGCGCGACCAGGAGCUAGCACACACAAACUUUUCACUUCAGUUUCUUGGCCCCAUCAUUGGCCAAGCUUCAACCAAACUCUUAGAUUCAAGCAAUGGUUUAUUGCUUUUAUGUUCUAUGAGCGACUCUCAAAUUCUUGACUAUUACGUCUGUAAUCCAUUAACAAUGAAAUGGGUCUGUCUCCCUCAACCUCUGAGGCAACCCAAAUGGGUAAAAGCUGCAAUUCUUGUUGAAAAAGUUUCUGGCAAUUUUCUAGUGGUGAGAGUUGCAGAAUUGCUAUUCCGUUCAAAGGUUUUCAAUUUUGAAAUAUUCUCCUCAAAGUUGGGUGAAUGGAGGGACUUGACUAUGAAUUGUUCCCGCAGGAUCAGGUUCUUUGUGAAAGCACGUCACACGGUUUGUUACAAUGGGAUGAUUCUCUGGCUCGUAGAUAACCACACUAUUUUGGCAUUUGAUCCCGAAGGCAAUACUAACGACUGCCACUUCAUAGAUUUGCCUCCCGAUACAGAGAGUAUGCAUUUGGGAGUUCUUGGGGUUUCUUGCGGAUUGCUUUGUUACAUGGAAGUGUCAAAUAAUAAAUAUGAAGAGUUUAGAGAACAAAGCCUAGGGGUAUGGACUCUAAAGGACUACGACGCUGGAGAGUGGUGUCUGGAGUGCAGGAUUCAACUAAAUGAAUUUUGGUGUGGUGAUGAUGCCUCGGAUAAUAGGUGGGAUCCAGAUACUGCAUUAUGUACUCGGCCAUUGGGUUUCCACCCGUUUGAUUUCGACAUGGUGUUUCUGGAGCAGGGACGUCGAUUAUAUUGCUGCAACGUCUCAACAAGAGUUGUGAAAAUAGUGGAUUGUGAAAGCCACCUGAAUAAUUCCCUCUUCAAGUUUGAAAUGUUUCCAUUUGUGCUUCCGCCGUGGCCAACUCCAGUCCCUCAACCAAUCUGGGAGACUGAUCAAAGUGCAAAUUGAACUGGUAUGUCAGUUCUGCUUUUGUUGUGUCACUAGCUUUGCUAAGUCUUAGGCUGUGGUUAUGUUUGUUAUCGGUCACAGGACUAUCCGAUUAGUAAUAUGAUAAACCAUCGCAUACCGAUGGUCGUGAUUCCGGGGCGUAUAAUUCCUAUCUUGCUGACAGAGGUCAAGAAUUCAAGCCUGCUACACUUGUGUGAUCAUUUUAAUUCUUGUAACGAAUUUCGUAAAGAAUAAAAUAUAAAUAUGAGUUGGUGUGUGUGAUAUGGCUGUAUGUAUUUUAAUUGAUGAUAAACCUCAUAUGUAAAUUUAUUGAUCAUAAUAAAUUUGCUUCUUAUUAAAUUUGUUUAUGCUGCUGUUUGUUUUUUCUCUGCUUAUAUUUUGGACUUUAUUCUCAUUUUUUAAUCACUUGUUUGGAUAAAUGACUAAAUGUUAGUAUGUGCAUCUUUGGGGCACGACUUAUAUGUUAAAAAAAUACAUAUAAGACGGUUUGGCUAAGUUUAGAAGAAGUUAGCUUAAAAUACUAACAUAUAAUAUAUUUUGAUAUGCCAGGCGCAAUGCAGUAGAUGCAGCAUUGCUUGAGAAAUUACAGGGCUCGAGAAAGAUAGUUCAGAUAAUAUCUCAAGAAGCUUAAGUCUUUAAUUGGCAUGAUAUUUGGAUGGGACAUAAAAAUUCUCUGUUUGAAAGGCAUUUUCAAAUAAAUUCAGAUCAAUGUACAGCAUGGUUACUAUAUGCGAAUCAAAAUUGUCUGUGCAUAUUAUUUGCAGUCAAUCGAGGGUUGAUGAUUUUACAAAGUAGAGCAUUGCACUUCUAAUUUCUAAAUAACUUGUUUAAAUAAGUUAUUCUGUUGGGUAGCUUUGAGCGAGCUAUUUUGCUAAAAUUUCAACCUGAAGCGGUUCUGUAGUAAUUUUAGCCUCCAUUAUAUCAGCAGAUGUGAUGUAAUCAUGUAAUUGUAGGACUUGAUUUUGCCUGUAAAACUAGUGGUUAGGGAUGUGUUUCUUCCAGCAAAAGAACAUCAAUGCCAUGCAUUAGUUCUCCUAUAUUAGUUCUCAGCGAGACCAAAUUGUCGAUAGAACUUAUAAUCUAUCAUUUAGUUUGAUCAGCCUAACAUUAGGAUUGUCCGGUCAGGAGGGAAGGAGAGAGGCCAUAGUGUUUAUGUGAAGUCAUCAACCAGCAGCACCCACCAAUAUUGUUUCUACUCCGCGUAUAUUGACUCUCUAUCAAAAAUACCUCACAGGCUCAGGACUGUUUACUACAAGGGCACCAGACCAAGAAGCUAACCAGAUGAGGCUGAGGUCUGGCCAAACAUAAAGAGAAUACUUAUGUGGUAUGACCUAGUAGCUCUUGUGUUGUGGUAUGCUUGGUGCUGGAGUUUUCGUCACUACAGGCCGUGUUGCUAGAGCCAACUCUGGCCCUUCUGUAUUCAUCUCAUAUAUUAUUGCUGGUUUAUCAGCUCCCUCUCCUCUUUGUGUUAUUCAGAGUUCUCUGUGCAUAUUCCAGUUGCUGGUGGUGCUUUUAGCUAUCUACUGGUUACUUUAGGUAAGAAUACUAUGGUACUAAUGUAAUUGAUGAUAUUCCAUGUGCAUGAUUAGAACUUGACAGAUGUUCAUCGUCUUGGAUAAUACAGGACAAUUUGUCGGUUUUUUGCUGGAGCAAACAUAUUGAUGGAGUGUGUGCUUUCAAAUGCUGCGGUUGCAAGAAGUUUUACUGAGUACUUAUGUUGUGCUUUGAGGAAAAUGAUCCAAAUUCAUGGAGAUUUCAGGUGGAUGGACUGGUAAAGGGUUACAACAUGUUGGAUGGUAUACCAGGAAGGAAAAGUUCUAUGCUUAAAAGCGUUCUGAAUUUAUAAGUUAGAAGUACUUAUUCGUACUGUUUGUGUAAAAAGUCAAGAAGUAUUUAUAAGGAGUUGAGAAUAUUGGUGGUGUUUGUUUACAAGAAGCUGAAGCUGCUUGUGACUUCUGCUUUUCUUGACCCGUUUGUGUAAAGAAGUAGAAGCACUUUUAAGAAGUUGAGAAUACUAGCUUCUGCUUUUUUUUCCAAACACUUUAUUAACUUAUUUACUUCUCACUUCUGCUCCAGUUCUUUACUAUAAGCAAGAAGUCUUAAAUUAUUUACUUCUCACUUUUGUAGAAAUCAUUUACUUCUCACUUUUGUUUCAUGACUUCUAUUUUUUUUUCAAAUACUUUAAUAGCUUAUAAGUCUUUACUUGCUUCUACCUUCUACUUCGCUUUUUAUCUUAAACAAAUAAUACUUAUUUUAAACUCAAUCAAACGGCCCCUCUGUAAAAGUAAAAGUAAAAGAGAGAAAAGCACUAUGGUAGUAUGGUUUAUGAUUUGACUGGUACAGUACCCGAGUUUUCAAGGAGAGCCUGCUUGUUGCCAUUGAUUCAUUCUUUUCCAAACACAUUGAAAAGAAGAAAAUGCAUUUUUUUACUUUCAUGAUUCAAAAGUGAACACACUAGAAGGUUGCAUUUUGAUUUUAUGACAUGUUAGGCUGAGUUUGAAGUAGUUCAGUUCAGAUGGAAUAAUGGAAUAUUCUUGAUUCUUCAAUGACUUGAUCUGCGAACAAAGGUGUAUUAUUAAAAAUUAAAUUUUCACCUAAACAAAUAGAAAAUAUUUUAAAUCUUAAUAAUAUAAUUUUCAUUAAAUAUCAAAUAACUAUAUACCAAAAAUUCUGAUACAAAAUUUCUCAAAAUUCAUAUUUUAUUUUAUUUUUAAUCGACUCAAGUCCAAUAUACCGUAACUUUAUCGAAACAAAAAUUAACCCGACUUCAACUAAUCAUGUCACCCGUUCAUUAUAUAUCUCAUAUUUUACACAUUGUUUCGUAAAUUAUUUGAUUAUUUGAUAGUAAUAUUUUUUUUGCUAAAUUAUUUGAUAGUAAUAUUCCCGUGGCUUAAAACGAACACAAAAUACAAAUAUCAUUAUGUAUAGUCUGCAUCAGCACCGAACCUCACAAAUCUCUCUCCCUAGCUCUCUCCUGUAUCUCUAGAUCGCCGUUCUCUCUCUGCUUAUCGCCGGUGAGUUACGCUAUUAACCCACUUUAGUUUCUUGCUUUUUAAUCUCCCCAGUUAAUUUUACCAAGAAGUUACUGCUGUAAAUUCUUGUUCUUGGCAUUUUCUGGCUCAAUUUAGCUAACUUUGAAAAGAAUAGUUGAUGAUUUUUCUAGCUGUUUGUUGGUUAGAAUCGGUGAAUUAGCAAGUGGGUUGCUUUUAGUUUUGUGGAAUCUUGAGAAUUGAGUUGGUUUUUGGCGUUUCAAGUGAUUUUGUGUAUUAUGAUAACUUAAUGAACUGAGUUGAGGGGUUUUUUGGCUGUAGUUUAUUGUUUGUUGGUUGGAAUUGGUGAAUUAGCAAGUGGGUUUGUGUUAUUUUUGUGAAAUUUUGAGGAAUUCAGUUGGUUUUUAGUGUUUUAAGUGAUGUUGAAUGUUUUGGUAUUUAAAUGAAGUGAGUCGAGGGUGAUUGGAUAGUUGGUUUGAGUUGGGGUUCUGUGUAAUUGUGUAAAAUGGGUUAGUACGUUGUAUUGAGAUGGUGUCGGUUCAUGUUUUGUUUUGGAUUGUAUAAAAUGUGGCAUAUAUGAGCAUAUAUAUGAGCAUAUACUUAUCGUCGAAAGCUAACGAUAAUCGUGGUGUGCAUUCUUGUUGCUUUUGAUUAAGUUGGAUGGAAAGGUUUUAGAGGUAUAUAUGAGCAUAUAUUAGAAGUGAUGGAGGUACAAAUAUAUGUGGUACUAAAAAAAUGACUCAUUGUUCAUUUAGGGGCGGGUGCGGGGGGGUGGGGGGGAUGCAAUUUUUUUGGCUCAUAUUUAACUGUUUCUUAGUAUACAAGAUGUGAAGGUGUCGCAAUAUUUUUGGGCUGCACAGCCUCAUUAAUCCCUCUCCUUAGAUAUAUUAUUGAUAAAUUUGUGGAACACCAUCUCAAUUUAUACUAAUAGUAGGGAAACGACUAUAUUGUAAGUUGGUAAAUUUGUUAUUCUUUCUCCUUGUCAAUGAACUGAUUAUGUGGCACGGUUGUGUUUGGAAUUGGAUAUGUAAUUUUCAAGGUUAAGAUGGUAAUGAUGAUAUAUUGUAGUGACGCAAAGGCGUUAAGCUGCAGGCUACAUCUCUUAACUUAAGUAGAUGGGCUGCUUUCAGUCAGUGGCAACAAAGCAAUUUCCUGGACGCGAGGAUCCAGUAGCUCUGGCUUCUCAAACUGCUUGUAGGUUUUUGGAUUUAAUAGCUUUGGGUCCACACUUCACACAUGGCACAUGAUCUAUUCAAUUUUAAAUGCUAACUUUUCUUUUGAUACAUGUUACUUAUGGCAAUCGUAAUGACAGACCUUUUGUUUGGCAGUCAGUGUUAGCGAAGUUGAAGCACUGUUUGAGCUAUUCAAGAGUAUAAGCAGUUCUGUGAUUGAUGAUGGUUUAAUUAGCAAGGUAAUUUUCAUAUAAUUUCAGCGAAGUUCCCUGAAGCCUUCUGUUACUUUAUUCUAUCCAGCCAUCUUCACCGUUGCCUACUUAACAUAUGCCUUUUUGGCAUUGUUCUUCUGUUGGAGCUAUUUCUAUUAUCCCUUCCAAUUCGCAUUAUAUUAUAUAUUCUGCACUAGUGUACUCUUUGCAUAAUCUCAUAUGAUGUUUAUUCAGUUUUAUGUAGACCACCAGUAUAAAGAUUUCUAUUUUCUACAUUCAGCCUCAUAACUUACUUUAACAACCAAUGUAUAUUAUUCUUAUUAAAGAACUUAUACAUGUCUAAUAGUUUUGCAUUACUCGUCUCAAUGAAAUCAAUGAUAUAAUUGUAACUGUUGUUGGGUUUUAAUGUGGAUUUGCAGGAGGAAUUUCAAUUGGCUUUAUUCAAGAACAGAAAGAAAGAGAAUCUUUUUUCAAAUCGGGUAUGAUCUGUUUCUUAUUCUCAUUAGUUGAGUUGAAGAUUCCUAGAAGUGCUUGUUUAUUCGGUAUUUGUAUUUUUUUUCUUAUUAUACUUGUUUCCUUUAAUCUACUCCGUCCACUGCCUCUGCCACUUUGCAUUCCUAGUGUCCAGUAUAUAGAAUUCACGAUGGAUAUUUCACAAGACAUGCAUAAUAGGUUUAUGCUGUGAACACAUAUGUUGUCUCAUAAUGUUAUUGUUUCUCGUGUCAGGCAAUUUGCAUUUUAUUUGUGUCACUAUGGCAUAUAGUGGAUGAACUUAGUUAUUAAUCUAUGAGAAAGUAGUACAACUAGUUAAAUUAGUUCUGAAUUUUGAUUUUGCUUUGUAAUAUUAUUAUAUGUAGUCAGCCACUGAUUAGUUGGUUUUUUUCUUAGGUCAGAAAUGUCAUGGCUAAAAAAAAGCUUUUUCUUUGAUUUGUCGCUCACAAAUUUAUGAAUUUUGCUGGAUAAUAUUGAGUACACUUUUCUUUGGCUGUUGCAGAUCUUUGAUCUUUUCGACGUUAAAGGAAAAGGUGUAAUUGAUUUUGGUGAUUUUGUAAGAUCACUCAAUGUCUUCCAUCCAAAUGCCUCACAAGAAGACAAAAUUAACUGUAUGUUGAAUGCAAUUUUUUGCAUGCUACCCUUUAUGGUUAUUAGUAUUAAUGUACUGUCGUGUGUUUGCAGUUUCAUUUACUCUCUAUGAUAUGGAUGGCACUGGAUAUAUUGAGCGACAAGAGGUAUGUCGAUGGUAGCUAUGAUUCAGACAUCAAGCCUCCCUUCUAUAUAUUGCCUCUGGCCAGGAAGGAACAACAAUCACUCUAUUAUUGUGUUAUAUUUUAAUCUGGUCUUAUUUGGCCCUCUAAAUUUGGGUGAAGUUACUCUAAACCCAAACAUCCUGAAAAAAUUCUUGAUCAUACUGUCGUACAUCGACUUGUUUGAACCUGUGGGCCCAUCGUAAAUAAGAAUCUUGUUAGUGUAUCUGUUACCAAUAGCAAGUAUAGUGGGCCCAUCAACUGCAUAAGUAUGUUUGAACCUGUGGCACAUUAAUAAGGUACCGUAGAGCAAUCUGGCAUUUUUUUCAGUUGGGUGAGGCUUAUAAAUCACAUUGAUUUCAGUGGGCUAAUGGACAGCUAACUUGUUUCCUUUCUGCUCAUUAGCUUAGCAAUAGCUUGGUAUUAGCUUUAGCCGGAUUCUUCUUCCGGCUAAACUAUCUAUCUAUUUUUGGUGAGCAAUGUUUUGGGAAUUGUUAGUUUAAGUGAAGUUGUUAAAAGUUAAAACUCACGCGUCUUGGGUUUUGUUUUUAUCUUAACCUAGUCACAUCGACUCACAUGCAUCUCUUUUUCUGUAUUUUUUUAGGUUAAGCAAAUGUUAAUUGCUCUUUUGUGCGAGUCCGAUAUGAAGCUGGCUGAUGAGGCCAUUGAGACGAUACUUGAUAAAGUGAGUUUAUUAGGCUAACAAUUUCUUUGUGAAGGAUAAAUAUAUAUUUUUUUCCGUAACAUACACUACUGUCUUCCAUACAGUUGCUUUUACAAUUUUACACAAGGUUUCCUUGUUCAUUCAGUGGUGGAAUGUUUUUCACGUGUAUAAAUUCCCUGUAUAUCCAGACUUUUCUAGAAGCUGAUAUUAAUCGGGAUGGGAAGAUUGAUAGAUCGGAGUGGCUCAAUUUUGUUGGAAAAAAUCCAUCAUUAUUGAAGAUAAUGACUCUUCCAUAUUUGAGGUACCUCAUUGCAAUCUCCAUCUGGUACAAAGUGUUAUUCACAUGUGUAACAAAAUUUAAAUUUAUUAAAAUGCAGGGACAUAACAACGACGUUUCCAAGUUUUGUUUUCAAUUCCGAGGUUGAUGAUAUUGCCACUUGAGUAUAAUAAGUUCACACAUAUAGUCUAGCACUUUAGCAGGUUUCAUUUGUAGGGGUAUAAUUUGUAUUGUUUUAAGUGGAAGUAGCGGGCUCUUUUUGGCAGUUUUUCUUGGAAGCCAUGUUUGAUUUUUGUUCUUUACCAAGCAAAAUUAUAUUGUAAUUUUUUGACCAAGCCAGGUUAUAUUGUAAUUCCAAACAAAAGAAAACUGCAUGUAAUCAUUCUAAUUUAAUCUUCAAAAACCGUGUAUUUAUACACUUAUUAGAGUUGUGCCGUCAAUAAGCUUGAUGCAAUGUUGAGUGAGAUCGACAACCGUCGGACUCCAAGUCGAUGUCCAGAAUUACCAGUUGUUCAGGAAUAUUAGUAGCAUUCGUGGUAUGUUCAGUCUGGCAACACAAGAAAUUUAUUAUCUUGAUUUACCGGAGGCUAUGGACAAAGUAGUAUUAGAAACAAAUAACGGAUGGUUACUCACAUUUGGCAGAGAUUUCGAAGCCAAUCUUUUGCAUCUGUUGUCGAGAUGACAAAGUCCACUUCCUCCCAUGCUCAAAAAAUUGCCUUCUAGCCAGUUCCAAUGUUGUGCAAUGUGUUACAUGGAUGACAAGCAAUGUUAUAGGGUUAUAAUGGUAUGAAAAUUAUAUCAGUUUUUGUUGAACAGGAAAACAAUAUUCAGGCUUAUAUGGUUGAAUCAUUACCGGGUUCUCAUGUCUGGCUAGUGCUGUGUUUCAGAGAGGAAGAAAUUUAUAAAAGAGAGGGUUCAUAUACAUAUGGUCGGCCUUUUUAUUCUACAAUUAACUAUAAAUAUUAAUUAAAAGUUAAAUUUAUAUUCAAAAACUCCGAAUGUUUUGUGUAUUAAAGAAAAGAGAAUGUUUUGGCAAAAAAAAAAGAAAAGAGAAUGUGAUAUAAAGUAGAGAAUUAAUAUUAAUAAAGAAUAAUACAAGUUACUCAAUUACAAUUCAUUUUCGACAGAAGUUAGUAAAGUGGCCCAUUUCAUAUUCUACGUACGGCCUGUUAUAUUUUUUGCCCAGUUAAUUUGUUAUAGGCCCAAACAUAAGUCCACUGCAUUCAUUUAUUUUCACACCACCUAUUCAAACGCUUAUUUGAGCAACCCUGAGUAAAAAUAUACAAGUCCUAGUCUGUAUAUUGUUGAAUUGCUUCCGCACGUGACAUUGCAGAGAACGGCACGUGAUAAUCGAGAGACUCAGGAGUCAAGACUCAGAUCAGUGAUGCUCAUUUUUGACUCUCUUCACUAAGCUAUACAUACACCUAUACACACAUAAUCAAACUCAUAAAUUUUAUCACAAAAAUUUUAUCAAUUGAUUGCAGAUUGUUUAAUUACGUCUCUAAUUACCUCUCUAAUUGCUCACAAAUGGCUGUGUAAGUGUGAAACAAUUUAUUUAAUUGUUAUUGUUAUGUGUUGUGAUUGAUUAUUUAUUUGUUGUUGAUUUGUUUGCCGUCGAUUGAUUUUGAUUUUUGAUAUAUUUAAUUGUUAUUGUUAUGUGUUGCGAUUGAUUAUUUAUUUGUUGUUGAAUAUUUUGCUAUCGACUGAUUUUGAUUUUUGAUGUAUUUAAUUGUUAUUGUUAUGUGUUGUGAUUGAUUAUAUAUUCAUUAUUGAUUAUUUGUUACUGAUGAAUUUUUUAGAGUUGCAUCUGCUCCUGGGAAGGUGUUGAUGACUGGUGGAUACUUGAUUUUAGAGAGGCCUAAUGCAGGGCUUGUGUUAAGUACUAAUGCUCGAUUUUACGCGAUUGUUAAGCCGCUUUACGAUGAGCUGAAACCCGGUAGCUGGGCUUGGGUGUGUGAACUGAAUUUAUUCUAGUGUUUGGUUGUUGAUUCUAAUUAUCGUAAAGUGUGAUUUUUUGAAUUUAAGUUUGUUGUUGAUGUUUUUUAAUUGAAUGCUUGAUGAGAGAAUGUUUUCGAGAAAAGGAGAUGUGGUGUUAAUGAGAUUGAUGAAUAUUAUAGGGAAUGUGUGCUGUUGACGAGAUUGAUAAGUUUAUAUUGUUUGCAAUGUUGCGUAAAAUAUUUUGGUGAAACUGACUUCUUGGACUAGAUGUUCACUGGCUGUAUAUAUGUAGUUGUCUCAAGCACACUUUAUUUUAUUUAGGAUUAGCAACCUGAAUAACGUAUAAAGUAUGCUGAUUGCCUAAAGACUGAAUGCGGCAUAUAGCUAAUUACAGUAUAUGACGACCUUCACUGUUGCCAAGAAUCGGAAUAUUGUGGUUCUUGUUGUGUAUGUCUUUCGAUUGUGUUUGCUUUGUGCUUGUAGGACCUGGAUCUUACAACCGACUUAGUCUUGUCAUUUUCCUUUUAGGCAUGGACAGACAUCAAAUUAACUUCUCCUCAAAUGUCAAGGGAAACUACAUAUAAGAUGUCACUAAAGCAUCUGCUGCUGCAGUGUACUGCAUCGAGGCAAGUAUAGUGAUAUCUUCUGCUUCAGUGUUAUAUUCGUGUUUAUAAUUAUAUCUGCUGUCGCUUAAAGCAGUGAAUAAUCAUAAUGGUUCUGCCUACCUAUAUGUAUUUGAAUCAUGAUCUACCUACAUUGUGAUGUAUAUAUGUUUAUAUAUGGUGGCUUCUUUAACAACCAAAAUGAAUAUGAACCCUAAAUACAUCAUUUAGUGAUUCAUAACGGUGAAUGUUUUACAAUUGUUGGAUUAAUCUUCAGCGACUCAAGGAACCCCUUUGUAGAGUAUGCAUUGCAAUAUUCUGUGGCAGCAGCAUAUGCGAAUUUCGACAGUGAUAAGAAGAAUGUUUUGCAUAAACUUCUUUUAAAAGGUAUGUGUGAUGCAUAUUUGCUUCUUCCAUUAUGAAGGGGACAUGGAAUUUCAGGAUUUUGCUAUCAUGCAGGCCUGGAUAUAACAAUUUUGGGUUCCAAUGACUUCUAUUCAUACCGGAAGCAGGUAUAUAUUUGCUUAAUCAUAGGUAUUUAAAAUAGUUCUAGGUUUAACAGGGGCACUUGAUCUUACGGCCUAGUGUUUGUUUCCUUUUCUUUUUUGUUAGUGCUAAAAAUGUUAUAUCUUUUUAGUUGUAUGAGGGAGCAUCAAUAAUUACUAUAGACAGUAACCCUCAUGCAUUUAUCACAAGGCUUCUAAAUAUUUCAUAUUUUUAUGUUGUGACAAGUAUAAUUCUCUAAUGUAAGAGAAAACUGCACUUUGUGUACCUGCAGUAAGGGGCGUCUAGCACUUGAAAUACUGCAGUUCUGAAUGUACCACUUGCUAUACUAAACUUCCCAAGCGCUAAACACUUCGUGUAUCACCGUCAAGUUUGACUAACACCGUUAGUUUUUUCAGGGGUAAUUCCGUCUUUUCAACUACAACAUAUAUAUAUACGUCGAUUUUCCCUUACUUUUAAACCCAGAAAACUCAAAGCCCUCAUUCCCUUGCUUCUUCUCAAAACAGUCGCAACAACCCCCCAGUUAUCUUUUCUUUUCUUUUUUUUCCGAUCAAAACAAAAAUCUGCGGAGCAUAGUGUUCUGUGGAUUUGUAUGUUGAGUCACGGUACCGAGUCUGGGUGUUUGAUAGUUUAGUAAUCUUCUUAUGUUUGAGUAAUUUUGAGUAGCUGUUGGUCGACAUUUCGUUAUGCCGAUUUGUUGUGUUUUCUUUGUAUUACUGAGUCAUUACAGAGUCUUUGUCCAAGUUUGAGCGAGUCAUGGCACCAGGUUUCGGUUGAGUCAGGAGUUUUGUUUGUUGUUUAUGCUGCAUUUAUUCUAGUUUCAGAAUUGUUUGUUCUGGUUUAUUUCUAGUCGUGAUUCGUGAGUUGAGUCGCCAUUGCUGAGUUUGAUUUUCGAGUCCUUUGGCUGAGUCGUCAAAUCUAUUUAUGAGUUGCUGUGUGGUGUCAUUUUGCUCGUUUUUAUUGUUGUUCGCUGCUGCAUUUUAGGAUUAGUCUGUAACCGAGUUUUGUAUUGAGUUCUGCCAUGUUUAAAAUCUGCUUGGUGGUUGUUGUUAAGUAGCAGAAUAGUUGCCGAGUUUUCAGCUAGUUGUCCCCAGUAAUGGCCUGUUGGUUGUUUUUAUUUGUUCCGUCACACUGAACUGAGUAGCCAUCGAGUCUGUUUGUUGUGCUGAAUUGAAUACAGGGGUGGUCUCAUUAGAUUGAGUUGCUGUGGCAUGUAUUUGGUUAAAUUCUGCAUAUCCUUAUUUCGAGCUGCUUAGCUUAGUGUUUUGUUGGUUAAUUAAUUUUGUUGUUUACGCAGAUUGGUUAUUAAACCGAGUAGCUGUAAUUUGGUAAUCUGAGUAUUACAAGUGCUGGUUUUCAAAUAUGCAGUAUUUCAAAUGGUUUGACACAUAAAAGUGUAUCUAAAAAAACUAACGGUGUUAGUCAAAACUGACGGUGAUACACGAAGUGUUUAGCACUUGAGAAGUUUAGUAUAGCAAGUGGUACAUCCAGAAUUGCAGUAUUGCAAGUGCUAGACGGCCCUAACUGCAGGUACACAAAGUGCAGUUUUCUCAUAAUGUAAUUAUGGUCAUAAACUCAUGAUACUGUUGUUUUUGUCCCCGAAACCCUGGCCCUUCUUAGAUUGAAGCCCUUGGCCUCCCUUUGUCCCCAGAAUCUUUGGCUACACUUACACCCUUUACUUCAAUUACUCUCAAUGCUGAAGAGUCGAAUGGAGAAACAUCAAAGCCUGAAGUUGCAAAAACUGGGCUGGGAUCAUCUGCAGCCAUGACGACAGCUGUGGUCGCUGCAUUACUUAAUUACCUUGGGGUUGUUAACCUUUCUUCGUCAAGUGAAGAUCAAGAUAUGAUGGAAACUACUGAUCUUGAUGUCGUGCAUGCAAUAGCUCAAACUGCUCAUUGUAUUGCACAAGGAAAAGUGGGCAGUGGAUUUGAUAUCAGUUCUGCAGUUUAUGGAAGUCAACGUUAUGUCCGCUUUUCACCUAAAGUUCUUUCGCCAGCUCAGGUCUUUUUCUCUCUUUACAAUAUAUGUAUCUAUGUGUAGUGUAUAUCCGCAUACAUAAAUCUUCUGGGCCAUCAGAUUAUAAUUCUAAGAAAGAAAAUGAGUUAUGCAUUUGAAAUUGGUUUUUUCUGUGGAAAUGAGGCCGGAAUCCUGUUAUGGUGUUCCUUGCUUCCACGGUAUUCAGUUUACACUUUAGAACAUAUGUUAGAAAUCUUUAUGAUUGACUUACCUGCAACGUUUUGCAGUGUGUUAGACCCAUUUUGUGGAAAAUAUAUUUGAAGACUACAUGUAACAGUAUACUGCUAGUUGAAGAUACGAUCUCUGGUUUUUGUUGCUAAAAAUUAUCCAGUGUCAUGUUUAUUAUGAUUUGGGAAGUACUUGUGCAAUCCUAAGUUCAUUUUAGUGAAAUGUUCCAUGUAUGAUAUUUACCUGUGUGUCUAUUUGUUAAAGAGUUGCAGGAUGCAUAUGAAGGCAAGCCACUGGAUGAAGUUAUUAGUGAAGUCUUGAAAGGCAAGUGGGAUCAUGAGAGAACUAAAUUCUCAUUACCUCCACUGAUGACACUUGUAAGUACAUUAAUAUGCCCCUAUGAAGAAGAUACGUCAUUCAUUAAUAUGCCCCUUAUGCUAACCUUAUAUUACUGCACGUAGUAUCUGUUAAGAUUGAGUCACUGAAAUAAUUAUGAUGCGUUUUUUAGUUGCUUGGGGAGCCUGGAACUGGUGGGUCGUCCACGCCAUCAAUGGUUGGUGCUGUCAAAAAAUGGCAGAAGUCGGAUCCUCAACGGUCCAGAGAUACCUGGACAAAGUUGUCAGAUGCAAACUCAGCUCUUGAAGAACAACUGAAUCUGUUAAGAAAAUUAGCAGCUGAACAUGGAGAUGCAUAUCAAUGUGUUAUCAACAACUGCAGUAUUCGCAAGUCGGAAGAGGUAACUCUUACAAGCAGAUGCCUUUGUGCUAUGUCAUAUAUGUCUACUGUAUAUGACUUUAUGUAAGUUUUGAUGUUGUUGAUAGACAUGGUGUAUGUUACAAGUAUAUUACCUGGGAUAUUCGUGUUUUGUUCAAUUCAUAAUUGUCUGGUUCCUAUAUGUUAUUGAAUAUGUCAUAUAUGUCUAUAUGAAUAUGAAAUUUUAUUUUUUUUUCAAUUGUUGGAAGGCAUGGUAUAUGUAAGAAGUACUGUGAUCUUCAGAUUCUAUAUGAUGCAUAUACACAUAUUUUACAGAUCACAAUACACAUCUUGUAAAGACUGUCUUGUCAAUGUUAAGUUAAUGUCCGACUCUGAUUGCUUGAGCAGUGGAUAGAACAAGCAAGUGAACCAAGACAAGUAGAAAUUGUGAAAGCAUUGUUAGAAUCUAGGAGUUCUAUGCUUGAGAUCAGGAAUCACAUGCGGUUAAUGGGAGAGGCUGCAGGAAUUCCAGUAAGCUCUCUUCUUUCUGGUUAAAUGUCUAUUUUCUAUGUCUGCUUGAUUUUAGACCUAUUUUGAAUACUUGUUUAUUAUACACAUUCCAGAUAGAACCUGUAUUACAGACUCAGCUCUUGGAUGCUACAAUGAACACAGAGGGAGUCCUCUUGGCUGGAGUUCCUGGUGCAGGUGGAUUUGAUGCUGUAUUUGCUGUCACCUUAGGGGAUGCAAGCCGCACUAAUCUCACAAAAGCAUGGAGUUCACACAAUGUUUUGGCCAUGCUAGUAAGGGAAGAUCCUCGAGGAGUUUCUCUAGAAAGUAAUGACCCUCGUGCCAGGGAGAUCACAUCAGCUCUGUCGGCGAUUCAUGUUGAAUGACCAUACAUUUCAAGGUCCCCUGGUUCCCUUUAAAUCUAUUCUAAAGUUUACA
rnacentral:lncRNA from 1 species